rnacentral:lncRNA from 1 species
UUUUUUUUUUUUUUUUUUUGUUUUGUUUGGGGGGACUGGGACUGGGAAUUAGCAUGGAAACUUGGAUUAGUGGCAUGAUUGGUACAGACUUGAAGAAGAAUACAAAUAGGAAGUUCACCAGAAUGAAAAACCUCAACAAGAUUCUUUGAUUCGAACUUUUAUGUUUACUGUUCCCAUUUUGAUGAUGAUCAAUGGUAAUGAUUCUUUUUAUUGGCCUCCAAGCAUUGCAACAUGUUAAUUCGCAUGUAUGGCUUCUUUAUAAGCAAGCAAUUUUGUCUUUUUUUUCUGGUGAAAUAAUUAAUUAAUUGUCUCAUAUGCCUGUGGUAAAUUUAUAAUAUGAAUGAUAACUUAGCUGACUAGCUUUCAUCUAAUUUAGUCGCAUAUUUAUACUUUAUCAGGUUGGUUUGCAAUAUAUGGCCAGAGACAUAUGCGGAGGCAAUGCUCGUUGUAUUGCUAUGCUUCAUGCAUUUCAACAGGCCAUCAAAGACUACUCAACUCCGCCACAGAAGUCUCUGGGUAGAGAUUUAACUGCAAAAAUUGGUAGCUAUGUGUCCUUCUUCAAUGAGUGCAGGCCACUGUCUGUUAGCAUGGGAAAUGCAAUUAGGUUUUUGAAAAACCGCAUUGCCAAAUUGCCACUGAAUCUUCCGGAAUCCGAAGUAAAAGCUACACUUUGCUCAGAUAUCAAUCGCUUUAUCAAUGAAAAGAUCAUAAUUGCAGAUGAGGUUAUAGUUAGACAUGCUGCCACUAAAAUCAGGGAUGGAGAUGUUUUACUCACAUAUGGAUCGUCAUCUGCUGUAGAGAUGCUUAUAUUAUAUGCUCAUGAGCUAGGAAAAGAAUUUCGUGUUGUGGUGGUGGAUUCCCGUCCAAAACAAGAAGGGAAAGCGUUGCUUCGUAGGCUCAUAGCGAGGGGCCUAAAUUGCACAUACACCCAUAUAAAUGCCAUUUCUUACGUGAUGCACGAAGUAACACGAGUUUUUCUAGGGGCUGCUGCAGUCUUAUCUAACGGAACUGUUUAUUCAAGAGUGGGAACUGCAGCUGUUGCUAUGGUUGCUAAUGCAUUCCAUGUUCCAGUCUUAAUCUGCUGCGAAGCCUACAAAUUUCAUGAAAGGGUACAGCUUGACUCAAUAUGUUUCAACGAAUUAGGUAUGUAUUAAAUUAUCUUCUCCUGUAUUUCCUUCCUGCAGAAAGGGAAGAGGGACGAUGUCUGAACAUUUUCAAAUGUUGUGCAGGUGAUCCAGAUACUAUCUCAAAGGUUCCCGAGAGGAAGGAUAUUAAUGAUUUGGCUGCUAAAGAACAACUGCAACUUCUAAAUUUAAUGUAAAUGAACAGAGUGACGUAUUCAGAUUAUUGCUCCUCAUUAUUGCACCUGAAGGUGAUGUAUUCUAACUUUGUGUUGUAUUUUUCCAGGUAUGACGCCACACCUUCAGAUUACAUCUCGAUGAUCGUCACAGAUUAUGGGAUGGUGAGUUUUGUUCCAUAUACCUUCCUCAGGCACUUAUUCAGAUAUAUGCCAUUAUUCCUGCUGAUUGUACUUUAGGGGUUAAAUUCUUUCUGCAUCUUACUCUUUUUGUAUGUCUAUUUCCAUGAUACGCUUAACUUUACACGUUUUUCUUAAAAGCUGUUCUAAAUUCUAAAUUUCAGAAAUUUAUUUUAGCAUACCAAAAAUAGUAGUUUUUAAUGGUGUUUUUAUUCCUCGUUCUAUUACUAUUUAGUUUUUAAAAAUUGAAGUUUGAAAACGCUAUGCCCGUCUAUAGUUUCUUUUUGAUUUGUUGACUCCAACUUCUCGUCCACACUUCUUCUUCCCCUUUACCAUCUCUCUCUAGUCUCUGUACAUUUUCACUCUUUUUUUUUACGUAAGAGAAUUAAAACAGAUCUUCAGCGGUCAGAAUUGAGAAGCUGAAAAUUCAGGGUUUUGCAGCCUGGACUGAAAAAUUAUGUUUCUUAUUGUUUUGAACUGUAGAUCCCACCUACAAGCGUGCCGGUGAUUGUGCGGGAGUAUAGGAGAGAGCACCUGUGGAUAUAAGGAGGUUAAGAAGGACCCUUCAUUUGGAAAGAAGCUGAGGAUGACCGAUUGAUGCUUGUUCCAUGUAAUCGUGCAAGAAGUAGCCGAAGCAUGCUGCAAGGUCGACAUUUCUUGAAUCAUCUUGAUGCAACCUUUGUUCUACUCCUCCAGUACUCUUUUCAAAUUCUGAUUUUGGUAGAUUAACAGUUAGCUAAAAAUGCGGUUGACGCCUCUCCUUACAGUUUUCCAAGUGUUUUUCUUUUAGGAGAAUAUGAAGGUUGACGCCUCCCCUUACAGUUUUCCAAGUGUUCUUUUGAGGAGAAUAUCUAAAGUUUGAUAGUUGAUGUUGACAUAGGAACAUAAUAAAAUAAGUCGUGAAAUUUAUUGGCUUUAUUUGAUUCAAUGAACAAGAAAUUUGAAAGAAAAAGUUCAAUUUAUGUUAAGUGUUUUUAUUUGGUUUACCGAAACACCCUCUUGAUAUGAGUAAUUUACUGAAACAUCCACAUGAUAGCAUAGAAAAAAGCUUAGGUUAUCACAAUUAAAUCAUAGUAGUCUCGAGUUUGUUUGGAACGAGAUUGAAAGUAAUAUGCAAGGGUCCUAAACUAUUUUUAAUUUGACAAAUAAAUAAAAAGUACAAAAUAAGGGCAAUCAAUGAUUUAUAAUCUCGUUUCAAUAAUUCUUUUGUACUACAAAUAUUAAAAUCUUGUUUAUUGUUUUACAAAUUAUACUUUUGUACUAUAGCUUUUGCUUGCUUGCUUUCGCAUUUUUCCAAUCCCAAUUUUUAGAGCUGUUACUUGCACAAUAGGGAAAAACCAAAUAGAAUGAGUCGACAUUUUUUCACAACUGCAAUGUAAAUCUUUUGAAAAUUGUGGUACUUGAGAUUCCCUAUCUUGGAGAUGAAAGUAAAUCAUUCAAAAUCACUUUUUACUCUUGAUUAUUUUGAUGGAACAAAAUCAUUUUUAAGUUAAAAAGCAUGUCAAAAAAUAUAAUUAUGUUCCUUAAACUAAACAUAAUAGAAAUGAAAAUAAACCUAACAAUAUAUAUUUAUAUGCCAGAAUAUAUAGUUCAAAUGUUUCACACAAUUAUUUCCAAAUGUUUAGACUUCAAUAUUAUAAAACAUAUACAUUAUUGCCUACCCAAAUAUAAGAUUUCAAAUUAGGGCGGAUUAACCUGUUUAUAUAAGUCCCUUCAAAUUAUACAAGCACAUAAUAAAAUUCCUCAUGAAGCUUGAACAACUAAUGUUAUCGAUAGACGAUUAAGGUAAAACCCGGCCAACGAUAAUCUAGUUGAACCCAAAGGAGAGAAUUAAUCCUCCCCUUUUCUAUUUACACUGUUAUAUAACUCCUUCAGAUUAUACAAGCACAUAAUAAAAAUGAGAUUGAUAGAAGGUAUCGAUAAGUAGUUGAACCCAAAGGAGAUAAUAAUCCUCCCCACAGCAAAUCUCAUAAUCACACCCAAGAGAAAAAAAGAUGUCUAUUUGAUUCCAAUCUCAAUUUAUUUAAAAGGAAAAAGAAAAGAAUAAUCCUCAAUAGUGUUUAGAAUUAUUCUCAUGCAUACAAUAAUAUAACAUACCAAAAAUCUCCUCCUUCCUCUUAACUAUCAUAUGAAAACCCAAACACAAGAACAUACAAAAUACAAAUUAAAACCAGUUCAAAGAACUCAGCUUGAUCUCAACUGGCCUCAAGCAACAAAAGAAAGAAAACCAAAACAUGAAUUUAUAUAGCCGCAAGUACUAAAAAUAUAUCAUAAUUAAUCAAAUGAAAUUAUGCUCCCGGAGCUGCAUCUUUCACCUUACUUUGCAAAUACCCUCCAUACUCUCUAGCAUAAUCCUUCACAUGGCUCGCCGUGUCAUAGAUUCGGCGACUUGCAUACUCGAGCCGGUCUGAUCCAGGUGGGUGCAUGCCUUUAAAGUACUUAUAAGCCCACGACAAUCCCGCAGCUGUGGCGAGUGCAAGACCGGCGAGGGACAAGACACCGGCAGUGGCGAGGAAGAGGAAAAAGGCAACAGGGAGCCAAAUGGGGGAGGUGAGAAGGAGGAAGGGGGUGAGGAAAAUGAAGGCGAGGACGGCGGCGGUGAGAGUGAGGCCGGUGAGGAAAAUGAGAAUGGAAGCGGAGAUGAAGAGGGUGAGGAAGCCGAGGAGUUGAGGGGAGUUAGGGGCGUGGUACUGGAUGCGGCGGAGGAGAGAGGCGGGGGUGGGAGAGCGGUCGUCGGCCAUGGGUGAUGAAGGUGGAGAGAAGGAGAUGAAUAUUAUUGAAAUGGAAAAAGAUGAUUAAGAGAAAUGAGGAGUGAGUAUAGGGUUUUGAGAACAGGUGGGGAAAGGAGAGGACAUGCAAUGAAGGUACGUGGUGGGAAUAUAGAUAUGUAUGGCCUACACAUAUGGGUGCCCAUGGCUGACCAUUUCUUUUGCAUUAGUUCUAUUUUAGUUCCUACAAAUAUAUAUCGUUAAGUCUUAACGUUCCUCUUUUCCUAUAAAUAGAGAUUUUUUUUUAUGAAUUUUUAAAAUUUUAAAAUUCAAUUGUGCUAUUUGGAAAAUUUGAGAAAUUCCAUAUAUUUACUAUUUUUUUGUUAUUUUAUUUAUAUAUAUUUUCUCAAUAAUCAUGUUUUCAUCUCAUUCUUGUAAUAGUUGGCUUCGACUAUAAUUCAUGAUAUAUAUAUAUAUAUAUUCUUUUGAACGGUCACAAAAAAUGUUAAAGUUCAAUUUCAAUUCAAUAUUUUGAAAAAACGUACUUGAUAUUGAAGUUUAAAAAUGUGAUAUUGGUUCAACUUCAAACUUUACAAAUUUGCACAUAAUCUCCACUUUUAUAAGGACAAUAUUAAAAAAUAAUAAUAACACCUAGGUAUAGCGUAGCAUCUCUUCUAACUUAUUUAAAAAAAUUAUUAAAAUAUUAAAUAUAUAUAUAAUUUGUUACGAUGAGAAAUUAAAAUAGAAUAAUUUAGUGAAAUGUAAUAAUAAUUUUUUAAAAAAAAUACAAAAUUAUUAGAGAAAUUGUCAUAAAUAAAAUAAAAGAGAAUUAAAAUUAUUUAUAUAAUAUAUAUAAAUAUAUAUAAAAAGUCAAAUGUGUUAUAGAGAAUAUAUUAUAGUUUGUAAAGAGUUUAUUUGCUAUAUUUAGAAAUGACCGUAAAUAGUUCCUAGAGCUAAUGCACAACGAUAGCUAAGAGAGUAGUAAUUAAGCAAUUUCCAUAAAAGUUAGGGUCGCAAUAACGGUAAAAUUAAAUCAAGAUCUACCAACUAAUUAAUGUUAAUUAUUAUUUGAUUAACAUGUGUCAUCAUGAAGUCCCUAAAGUUUAAACUAAAUGAUAUAUAUAUAUAUAUAUAGUCCUUUUCCAAGUAAGUAAAUGAGUUUAAAUUCCCAAUGUUCAUCCAAAACCAUUGCUCCAACAAAGAUAAAUAUAAAGAUUCAGAUUCCCGAGAUGAAAAUCAUUUUCAAAUUUUUAUAUAACAAUAAUAAUAAUAUUCAUUUUCUCUUAUUUAUCUAAAUUUCUAUCUUUUACUUUUGUAGUUUGUUUUUUCGAGAGAUAAAGACACCAUGAUGCUUUUGGUCACGUUUAUGUUUAUUUGGUGCACCAAAUUUUAAAACACAUGCUUUAGUUCUUGGCACUUGUAAACUACUUCUAAAUAGUUUCUUAUUUAACUCUAAGUUAACGAAAUGUUAAAUGUUAAUUUAUUUGAUUAACUUAUCAUCAUGUUAUGUCUCUAAAAUUUAAGGUUUAUGUUUAUUUGAUUCACGUAAUUUCAAACACUAGCACUUUAUAAGUUACUCAAGCUUGCAAAAUACUUAUAAAUGGUUCAUGAUCUAACUUUAAGUCAAUUGAAUGCUUAUUUAAAAGUUGACAAUCAUUCACAACGGAUAAUCGUUCUUUGUGUUCUUCGAUUCAUACCAAAUAUAUACGAGCCAUGUCGUUCAAGCAAACUCCAUCUUCACUCUAGCACAACAAGCCUUCCAUCCGUCGUUGUAUUGUUCCGACCAGCUGCUGGAGACGUAAAUGAACAAAAUGAUGCAAGUUCAUAUCAAAUCAGGUUGUCAAAUUACAACGCCACUUAGCCAAGCUCUAAUUUGAAAACAAAUAAUUUUGCUUUUCUCAGUAAGUUUUGGCUUCCAUAGGAUUGGCAACUAAUUAUGGAAUUCUUAUAUUUAGAAAAUUUGUGAUUGGAAUCGGUGUCAGAUAUACUCUGAUGAUAGCAACGAUUUACACGAUGGAGGUUGCUCCGACUUUGGAUGUGCUAUUAACAAUGCAUUUAAAUGAGUUUUGAAUAUAUUUUUUUUGUUGAAAAUUUGCAUCAAAUGACAAAAACAUUUGAAAAAAACAAAAACUUACAUCACCUAUUUUUUGCAUAUUAGUGAUAUCGUCUAUCAAACGGUAAUUAUAGGGUUAUUGGAGGACUAUCAGAUAAUAAUAAUAAGUUUAUCGACUUUUAAAUUUUAUACUUUUGUAGUUCAAAAAAUGUAGUGACAUAAACUCUAUUAUCGUAAAUUUCCUUUGUUAUUUUUGGAAGAGUCUCUAUUUUGUUACCUUGUUAAACCCCCGUACUUUUGAAAAAAAUUAUGAGUUUGAUUGAGAGGUAUGUUUCAACGCACUUUGUAACGGUUUGUGAAAAUGAGUGUGUGAGGAAGUCGUGGCAUGCAUGAAAAAAUAGUUUUUGGUUCAACGGGAAAAUGGGAAGAAACCAUGACAGAACAUGGUUUAAGAUAAAUUUCAACUUUUUUAUUUUAUUUUAGUUUUUAAAAUUAACUUAGAGUUUAGGGUUGUCAACUCCUCAAAUAAAUUAAUUAACUUUCAUGUCACCACGUAACGAUUUGAUAAACAUUCUAUUAACUUAAAGUUAGAUCAAUGAUUAUUUAAAAGUAUUUUGUGAGAUUAACAUGCUUGUUUUAAAAUUUUAGAUAUCAAAUAAACAUCAACUUCAAACCUCGCAUGAACAUGAACACAUGCAAGUUCUUUAUUUUUUUAUUAUUUUAUUUAACUUCUUCGGUCAAAAGCCCAAUUGAAUAUUUUGGCCGAUAAAUGGGCUGUUUACUCGGGUUGGUCUUGUAAGUUAUUGGGCUAAAGGCCUAAGUUGGCCCAUUGAUCUUGACAUUCUAGAUUUCCAAAUGUGUUAUAGCUUAGAAAAGGUCAAAAGUACUUGUAUAAAAAGCUUAAUAGCAUAUACAUUUUUCAACUAAAAAAAAGAGAACUUUUGAAAAUAACAAAAUCAAAAAGUUAAAACACAACCACCUUUUGGAAAAUGGCAUGUUUGAAUCUUAUACAUAUUACCUAGUAAAAUAUGGUCCACUUGUCUUAUAGUUAUAUAUAUAUAUAUAUAUAUAUAGUAUAUGACUGGGUCUAACAUUAGUAUCCUUAUCCUUUCAUAAGCAUGCAUGGUCAUGGUUUUGGUCAAAGGGUAUACAAAUAUGUGUUAACAAUUACUUUCACAAACAUAACCUUGUUUUUAUACUCAAUCCCUUAGGUAAUAGUUAUUACUAUACCCACUUUUAAUUAAUAUAUAUCUAUAUAGUAAAACAAAAAAGAAAUAAUUCAUAUUUAAUUUAAAUUAACUAAAAUUCAAGAUGAACUAGUAAAAUAUACUUAUUCAUUGAAAUGAACAUCACCCAUUGGAGUAUUAGAAGAAAUUAUUGAAGAUAUCCAAGUUUCAUACUCCUAAUUGUACUAAAUAAAUCAAUGUGAGUUUAGUUCGAUUAAUAAUAGAAAAUACAUGUUACCCAUCAACAUGUUGUAAUUUGAAAGACGAUAAAAAAUUUAAUCACCGCAAAUAAUGUUUCAAAAUUGAUAUAGUUUAUAGUAAUUAAUGUGACAAUGAUAUGAUAUUUUAGUCUAUAAACACACCAACAUGCAUAGUCCAAGUUUUGGAAACUAUAAAGGCAUUUCAUGUUUUUUUUUCUCUUUUUAUUUUUUAAAAUUGAUUAUAUAAAAAGGGUGGACUCUUUGAAGUCUUUGUGCCCAAAAAAUGAGUCACCAUUUAUGGAUCAAAAGAAAAAUGAAUGUUUGAAGGGUUCAGAGGCUUUAUGUCCUUAAUGAAUGUGACAAUGACUAAAAUGCAAUUUUUUCAAAAACCAUAUUUGCAUUAUUUAUAUUCAUAAGGUGUUGACAUUUUUGGAAAAAAAAAAAUAGACUACAAAUAUUUCCAUGGAAUAAUUUAACAGCCCAAGGUACAAUGACUUCUUUUCCAUUUAUGUUUUAUACUACUUUUAAAUUCAUUUCUUAGUAGAAGAAUUUAAGAUUAUUGAGAAAUCUUGGUAGAGACAAAUACACAUGCAAUUAAUAAUGUAUUGUAUCAUACUAAAAUCAUCAUAAAUUAGUUUUUUCCCCUUAAAAAACCACAAUUACAAACGUAUAAAAAAAUUAUUCAUAAGGGUUUUACUUAAAAUUUGAUGAAAAAAAAAAAAAAAACUCUGGGAGUAACAAUUCCAAAAUAUUACUCUAAUUUGAAAAAAAAAUAAACAUAUAAAAUUUCAAUAAUUGUAAAAAAAAAAAAUGUACCUUGCCUUAAAUAAAAAAGAAAAUGAGAAGUUAAUAGGUUCAAAUUCAAGACAAUCAAAUAAGGGUUGAACCAUUAAAACACUUUAAAUUUUUAUUAAUAAAUGAAUGAUACAUAUAGAUACAAAAUUGAGGAGAGACUUAAAAUUAUUACUACAUAUUCCACUACUAAUUACAAAAAUAGACGAUCAUACACCAUCGACUAACAAUAAAACGAUAGAUUGAGGUAUGCCCAAAUCGAUCUAGUUUACUAAACACACACUUACAUUUAAAAAAAAAAUCACUAAUUUAUCUAAUUUAGCCAAAAAAAAUUUACAACUAAAUAAAAAUUUAAAAAGACAUUAAACACAAAAUAAUAAUAAUAGAAUGACAACACGGUUUAGGGUUGAGAUUUUCUGAGAAGGUAACCGGGUAAAGGACUGGCACGUGGCGAACGGAGAGGGGGUUCGUCCAUCUUCUGGCCGUUACUAUCGUAAUAUAUUGCACCCGAAAAAUCCAACGGUUGACAUUUGUCCCCCAUCAAGAUCCCUCUUUGCCAUACCCCACCCUGGCCCCACUUUUCUUCUUCUUCCUCCUCCUCCUCCUCCUCAACCGGGCGGCCGGUCCUUUUCUUGUGAACCAAACUCAUCGCCGAUUGGCUUAUUGUCUUCAGCAUCUUCUUCGGCCGGGCCAACGGUGACCUCGGACUCGGGUGACUCGGGUGGUCUUGACUGGGCUUGAAUUUAAGUUUUUUGGUGAGUAGAGCGGCUUUUUUGGCGCAGAGAGCUGCUAGAGCUGCGACGGAGCCGCGGAGGCCGGUGGAGGGGGUUUUUGCGGUUCUGCCGGAAUCGGGGGUGGGAGGAUGAUCGGGAGUGGAGAAGAGCAUUGUGGAUUUGUGGGGGGGAUUUUUGAAAUGUGAAAUUGAAAUUGAUUGUGUGGAUGAAUGAUUAUAAAAAGAGUGAUGGAAAUGGAAGGAGGAUGGAAAUUAGUUGACUAGUAAUCGAUUUGAAAAAUAAAAACGAGGUCUUCGGUUUUGACUUUUGAAGUUGGACUUAGCAACCUUUUUAGUUAUACUUCAAAUAAUACAAACUUUUUUAAAUUAUAUAUUUAAACAAUCUAUUCCGAACACACACUUAUUCUCGCUAAAUUAGGGCCACACAUAUUAUUUGUUUAGAACUUCGUUAAUAUUUCUCGUUUUUGUUAAAUUCUUCAAGAGAAACAAAUUUUACUCAUGUUAUUGCAACAUUAACUUCCUUUCUUGAUUGUACUUUGAUCUAUAAAUAAGUCUUUCUCCAGAGAUCAUUAUUGUCUUAUUUUGAGGAGGUUAUUUUGUUUUACUAUUUAACUAAAAAUGUGUUAAAUCUAAAAAAAAUGAUAGUAAAUCAACAUGCAAAUGGGUUGAUUCAAUUCUUAUUUUCGUUUUAUUAUUUAUUAAAAAACUAUAAAAUUAAAGGCAACCAUCUAAAAUGGAUAUAGAUUGGUUUGUUAUGGUAUCUUUCUAGUAGUUCAUAUAUAAGUCGUAGUCACUUUCAUUUUCAUGCAUUGUCGAGUGUUUUUAGUUGUUUUUUUUUUUCAAAAAUUGACUUACCUGUCUUAUUCUUAGAAGGCUAAUAUUAGAUAGACAAAUCACAAACAAAACUUCUAUCAAAAUAUAUUUUUACGUAAAUAAAAUAUUUCAAUAGUAAAAGGAGUUUGUGGAAGGUAACCAAACAAGUUUUUUUUUGGAAUGGAGAAUUUGGAUGAAAGCCCAAAAGGAAAUGGUAGGCUACCUUCCAUUAAUUCAUUGCCCCCAAAGAUUCUAUAAAAUGUGAGUAAUUAAGUAAGAAGUCAUUAAAUCUUUUGAAAAAAAAAAAAACGAUUUGUUUUUAAAUUUAUAAUUUGUAUCGUGAUAAAGUCGACUUAGACGACUUAGACACGGUUCAACCAAUUAAGAUAUAAUUGAAACUUUUCGCUGUAAUGUACAGUUUAGGAAAGACGAUUCUAUUUUUUCUUUUUCACAAAGUAAACAAAAGAUUUUAGUUUUUGAUGGAGAUGUUAGUUUUGACUAUUUCUAUAUCACUUUGGUUUGUGUAUUUGAGAUCAAAUUUGGGUUUAUAAUAAAAGCAAUGAUGAAAUUUCAAUAUUCUUUUAAAUCAGGUAGUUAAAUCGUACCCAAUUGCAUGGCUUCUUCUAAACUUAAUUUUAUUUCUAAUAGACUUUCUAUCUAUUUUUUUAAAUAAAAAAACCAUCUUGAAUUUAAAAAGUUUGACUUUGUAGAUUAAAAUAUAUUAAUCAAUUAAAGAUAAACAAACAGCAAAUUUCACGUAUGAUAUUAGAGACGAAUAAAGAUAUAUUUAGGAAAUCUUUUUGUUUGGUAAUUUGACAAAUGGUCUUUUGAUAUUUACAACAACUAUUUUAAAACUUCUAUAUCCCAUAGAUUUUGUUAUAUUUAUAAUUUUAAAAAGAUGGUUAUAUGUUUAAUUGUUUUGAAUUUAGUUACUAUGUUUGCAAAAUAUCCCUAAAUUUAGACCAUUUUGAAAAUAAGUUUUGAAUGUGUUAUUUGCUAUCUAAAUAUCCAUAUUAGUUUGGACUGUGGUGAAAGAAAGAACGAGCCCAAGGGCUAAUAAUGUGGGCUUGGGUCAGCUGUGUCUCACUAACUAGAAUUUAACAACAAAGGCUGGCCCAUUGGGCUUUUGUAGGGCUUGUGAUGAUGGUGGACUGGUCCACAACGUUGAAGUGCAACGAAUAUGAUGAACUUCAAGGGAGUCGGAUAGGUCACACCGUCAAUUGGAUUUGAGCAGGGAUGGUGAUUUUGUGUUACAAUGAAAAAUUUUACUUAAGCAAAUAUUUAUUAAUGUUUUAUUUAAAAUAUGCAUUUCAAAAGUUUCCUUUCUAAACUCAUACAUUCAUUCAUGGAUUUGGACACCAACAACAUUCAAAUUUUGGAAUGAGUGAGGAGAUUGAUAAAUAUAGAUUUGUCGAUAUUUUCACACAUGCAGGUGCCGCUGUCGUUCGUCGGGUUGGUGAGGAGGGGAGAAGAAUAUAAUUUUUUUUUUUGUUAAACCGUUUCUUUGUAUGCUAAACUUUCCAAAACUAGAACCGUUUAAAAGCUAAUUAUAUUUAUUAAUUGGUUCAGUUUUUCUUUUGUCAUUAAUCUUACUGUUGGAGUCUCACCAUGCUCACUAUAUAUAUUGUCUCAUUUGUCUAUUCUAAAACACACAGAAAAUAACACAAUGAUUUCGUUUUCUUCCAAAAUUCUCUCUCAGUGUAACGAAUGUUAGAGUAUAUGUUUGAGUGUUGUGAAUUUCAAUUAGUUUUAGUGCAAAACUAAUUGAAGAACGAGACUGUUUUAUCCUGGAAACGAUCGAGCGAUCAAACAUGUUUACACAAAAAGAGCAGAGUCAUGAAACGUCUUAAAGAGAGCGAGAUAUGCAGAUCGAUCAUUUUUAUAACAUGUUUAUGUUUUGUAGUGUGUGUUUUGACCAUUAGGCGUUUUGAUCGAUCAGUAGGCGAGAUCAAGUUGGUGAGGUGAUAAUAGGCGUUUAAUCAUUUGGCAUCUUAACCAAUCGUGAUACUAGUACCUUAUGCAAGAUACAAGGUAAUGAAGCACGUGUUCUAUCUAACCGUUAAGGCUUCUCAACGCAUCACUCCUUCUGAACGAAGUGCUACAACAUUUUGGAAAGUAAACAAUCGCAGAAUAAUCCUUUGAAAAAAUGAAAGCUAAUUCCAAGAGGAAUUCGAAUACCAUUGUCGGAAUAAGCUCAUGAUUAUUUUUAUUUAUCAGGUACUUCUGACGUGUAUAGUCAUUCCUCACAAUUUCUGUUUUAGUAGGUGUGUUUUAGCAUUGAGUGAAGUCGAUUCAAUUUCUUUCAUCUUUGGGAUCAAAUUCGACUUUGAAAUAUUAGAGUAGGUGAUCUAGAAAGGUUCGAUGUUUAAAAUUCCAUUAUUUUAUUUUUGAUUAAACUUGAUUUGACCUUGUUCGUCGAUGACUCAUUUGAGCAAUACAAGAACAAACUUAGUAACAUCAAAUCCUUCCUAAUAGGGUAUUCACAAACAUAACAUAUAGGAUCCCCGAAUAUCAAAAUGACUCAGGAAACUAAAAGCAAGGCACCCCGACCUAGCUAUUUAUCAUGAGAUGCCACAAAACAGCAAAAUGUCAUUAGAUAAUCAACCUUUUGUCCACAACGAAAAACCAAUUGAUGGAAUAAGCUCUUGACAAUAAACAUUAUUUCUAUCAUCCAAUAUAACCCAAUCUCCCACACAAGCCUAGAGUGAAAUCAACCAAAAAAAUUUGAAGGAAUUCAUUCACUCAUAAUUGAUCGACCGUUGAAAAUCCAGCCAUCCCCAAAUGGGUACAAGACUCGUUCAAAUUUUCUAACCCCUAAUACAUCAAUUGCAUGCCGAGUGGACUGAUCCACAACCCAUAUACUAGAUCUUCGUACUCUUCUCCUUUCUCAACAAAAUAGGUUACGAAUAUUUUAACAAGCUUGAUCUCAAUAAUUAUUGUAACUAAUUUAAAUAUCAAGUCAAACAUAAUUAUAUGUAAAAGUGAAAGUGAGCAUAAUUUUACUAACUCUUUACCUUUCUCCCUGUACUAAACAAAUUUUAGAAAUUGGAUCAACACAAACCUCUCUAAUUAACUUUUAGAUACAGAAAAAUAAAGACUAUUCAUUAAUUUUUUGUUAGUUAGAAUGUCUCUAUAUAUAUAUAUAUGUGUUUGAUUGCAUUCUUACAUUCAAAGAGGAUCCAAAGUGAUUAUUAUUAUUUUUUUCCAUAAAUCCUCAAGUGGUAAGUUUAUUACAUGAAAAAUAAACCAAUAUUAUUAUUACUUUAAUUGGGAAAGUCAAACCCUUUUGAAAAUCUCUCAUCACAAAUAUUAAUUUCAUCAUAAAUUUCAUCACUAUUACAACUAAUAAUCUUAAUUUAUUAAUUAAACUUCCUCUAAUUCCCCUUGUUUUCAGCAACGUGCCGUGUCCUCACAUCCAUUUCUUCUUCCUUCGUUUUUAAUAAUGCAAACACAUUUCCCUCUCCUUUUAUAAUUCAUUCAUUUUUUUUUAAUUUCAUGCAUAGAAUAAUAUUAUUCAAGUGUUAGAUGUAAUCGACCUUAAUUAAUAAAUCACAUAUUAAACUCAUCGAUUUUUAUUCAAUUUCCAAUUAUUUCAUGAUUUUGAAAGGCAAUAUUAACAAAAAAUAAAAAAAAUAAUAAUAAUUAAUCAAUUAGGAUAUGAAACAAUGAAUUUGUUCUUCUAAUUUAGCUCUGUAAAUUACAUUAAUUCUCGUACAAAUGAGAUUUUGAAUUUCGACAAUUAUAAGGAAAAAACGAUAUACACAUACAUAUAUAUAUAAUGUUUUGCUUCCCUUUCUUUUCUUUGGAAGUUAUUUUUUUUUUUCACUUCUCUCUUUAAUGAAGAAUUGAAGAAAGAUGAUUACAACACGAAUACACAUAAUAAUGAUUUGAUUAGAAUAUUAAACAAAAAAAAAAAAAAAAAGGAAAAAAAGAAACCUCUUUGAAUCUCAAUGGUGCAAUGGAUUUGGACCAGUUGGGACGAGGCGUUUUUCGACGCCAUAUCGAGGAUCAAUCUCGGUUCCAACCUCGGGAGAAUCAGUGCGAUGGUGGUGACGGUGGUGACGGUGAUGGUGGUGGUGAUGAGGAUGAUUAUCAACAUGGAGAUGUUGGAGAAAGAGAGUGAAAUCAAAUUUAGAAGAGGUCAUAAGUUUUCUGUUGGGAGAAAAAGAGGAGAUUUUGGAAAGAUUGUUGUGAUGAUUAUGAGUAGAAAGUUGAUGAAAAAGGAUAGCUGAAAAGGAAAGAAAGAUGAGAAAGAAGGAAAAGAAUUUGAAGAGGUUUACAGGCAUAAUUAUUAUGGUUAAGAAUAAAAGGGAGAGGGAAAUGGAGGGGGAAAGGACACUGCAUGGGAGAGGGAAAAGGAAGAAGAAGAAGCAGAAGAAGAAGAAGAAAGGAUUAAGAAAAAUGAAGAUUAUUAUUAUUAUUAUUAUUAAUUAGUAUAAGAAAUAUUGGAAUAGAAAAAGGUUGAGAAGGUUGACAUUGGACAGUGAUUGCUUCCAUGAGAAGAGAUAGAAAUAGAAAUAGAGAUAGAGAGAGAAGAAGGGGACAGGAGUGUGUGAAGAAUUCUUGUUUCAAUGAGAACUUCCUUUGCGUUAAAGGAACAAAGCCUCAUUUAAAGCAUAUUGUCAAACUUCUCAUUAUAAUAUUCCCAAAAAUCCAGAGUGAUAGAGAGAAAUUUAUCUAUUUUUUUUAUAAAAUAUUAAAAAUGCAGUUAUCUAUGUUAAAAAAAUACAUGAAAAAAAAUACAUCCAAGUCGUGAGGUUUAGUAUUGUGAAAGGAAUCUAUGUCUUUAAAAAUAUACUAUUUCUGUUUCAUAGUUCUUUCUUGAUAUAAUUCUUAUGAAAAAGAUUAACAUUUCAAUGAUUUGAAGUUAAGUUUAAGUUUUGUAGUAUUCAAUUUUAAGUCUAAAAAAUUUUAUGUGGUUUCAAAAAAAAAACUUUUCAAUUUAGUUGAAUAGGUAUACGAAAAUUCACAUAUUUGUUUAAUACGUGUUUUGACCUAUAUUCAUGGGUCUCUUGUAUAUAAGAUAUUCAAAAUUUACAUGUGUUUACUUUAAUUAAUUUUUUGUUAAAUUCUAUUUUUGAAAUUUUUGUUCAUUAAAAACAAAAACUAUGUAGUUAAUUUUAAAACAAAACAUACUUUUUUUUUUAAGCUUCUUUUUUCUUUUCAUUUUUAAUUUCUCCAUCAUAUUUUAAAAACAAGUUUCUUGUUUAAAAGAUCAAAAGUGUUAGUUACCAAACAUAUCUAUUUUUAAAAAUUAAUUUUCAAAUCCAACAAACAGAAAAACAAAUGAAUUAUUAAACAAACACAAAAUUAUUAGUAAAAGAGCUUUUGUAAACUAAACUUGCAAGUAAACUAUGAAAAAAAUAUCUACCAUUGAAAAUAAUGUCUCUCUAUAGGAACAGCUUAUUAAGACCACCAUAGUUUUUUUCAAAAAAUAAUUUAUUUGGAGUACAUUUUGACUAUAAUAGUUGUAAUAGAAGAGAAUUCAAAUAUACAAACAAACAUAUAAAAAAUUAUGUACUUCUUUGUUAAUCAACAAAAUAAUAUAUAUAUAUAUAUAUCUUAGGCAUUGCAGGAGCCAGCAAAACAUGCCCCCAUUAUUUAUAUUUUGGAUUAGACAGAGAGAGAGAGUACAUAAUUUUUAAAUUAAAAAUGAAAGAAGGAAAUAGGGAGAGAAGAUAGCUGACUUUUGUAUUGAACUAAAAAUUUUGAUCCAAUUUCACAAGUAAAGUGGGUGUGGGUGUGUGGGGAAGGUGUCUAUUUUGCAGAUUUCAAGGUGCAUUUAGGGACAACUCAUACUAUAUUAUUACUAUAUAUUUAUUUCAUUAAUCUUCCCAUAACAUAUAUUCAAAUAUCAAAUGCUACAACUAGAAGUCGUAAUUUCUCAUCUACCUUAUCAUAUAAUAAUAAUAAUAUUAUACAGAUAUAUAAAUUACCAUACCUCACAUCAACAUUUUUUGCUUGACUUCCUCCUUUAAAAUUCUACCUGUUUUAAUGGGCAUGCCCUAUACAAGAAAACAGUUUCAUCUCAUCAGAAACAACAAUACAACUUGUUUAGUGUAAGUAACUGAUAAAGGAAAGACUAGUUUAUUCCUCCUGUUCUAGGAUUUAAUAUGAAAAGGAUGGUGAAAAAGGUGCAGUCAAAUCAGAAAAAAGGACACAAUAAAGCUCCAUUUUGAAGAUUACAGAAAGGCCUUGAGAUAGAAUAGAGAAAGCAAAAGCAAUAUAGAAACAAACAACAAAGAUCCAAUAUGGUUGAGUGUGCAAACCCAAGUUCCUAAACAAUCUUUUUUGUUAAAAACUAAGCCAUUCCCUUUUCUUCAGGAAGUGGGAAUACGGACUUUCAGUGGCUUUUUUUCUUUCUAAAUCACUUUGUCGGCUAUGCCCACCCCUUGGCCAUGGAUACCAUAUCAUAUGCUAAUCUUAUCACUUCAUCAAAUAUUGACCAUAAGAUCAUUCAGCACGGGGGAGGGACGACAAUUCUUAUGUAGAAAUGUCGGCAUAAGCUGGGGAAAAAUUCAUGAGAAGAGGGGGAAAGUCAAAUCACCCCCCACCAAUAACUUUUUUGAUUAAACCGCAGACAGUUUUACCAAAUAACACUAGCAAAUUCUGGUGUAUUGGUUCACAUUUGGUGUAUCAGAGUGGAUGGUCUUGAUCCUGAUGGCUUGGGUUUCCUACUCCCUUUCCCUUUCUUCUUUUCAGCUACCCCACUAAGAUAAGAUCAAUCACUUCCUAGCUAGCUAGGAUGUUACUUGAAUAAGAUCUAUUCUAUAGGUUGUACGGUUCUAUAGCUUAGAUGUUGUGCAAUAUUCUCUUAUCUAAAAGUUGAUAUAAACAAAGCUGCGGAAUGGGGCAACAUGUUAAGAGGGUAUCAAGGUCAUGCAUAUGCCGUAUAAAAAUGUAUUCGUGAGACAAAACUGUGAAAAGUAAACAGUUUUAUGCAGGAUUAGUACCUUCUAUAUUCCAUGCUGCUGCAAUCUACGAAAACUCAAUAAGUAGAAUCCUGAACGGAAUUGUGAUCUGAUGAGAGCGGUUAAUUGUUAUUGUAAUUGAUGAGAAUAUAAACAUACAAAUAAAGCACGAGCAUUAGACAAUAUUUGAAAAAUACUUGUUAUGUUCAGUUGAUUCUACAGGGAGAACAAGGAGAAAUUGUUUGGGAAUCGCUGUUUAUUUCUAAACUUCUAUAUAAGCUUAACAUGUAAAAACUAUCGUAAAAUGCAUUCUAUUGUUUCAAUAGAAAGUUAGCACACGAGUUUUAUCCCACUGUAAUUGGUAACAAAUGGAUUGACAUUCCUCCUUAUUCCUACUUAAUUAGUGAGUGAAAAUCAAUUAAAUAUCCAUUGUUCUUGAUCUUUUCUUGCAGCACACCAAACAGUUCAGUUCAUCCGUGUCCCCAAGAUGAAAUGUCAGCAGUAACUCAGGCUAGAGAUCUUUAAAAUCGGCUCCAACAUAACAUGUAACACGGCUGCUGAAGAUUAACUGCAGAGCUUCUACCUCGAUUCAUUAAGGCCUUCCGAUGGAAGAAAGGCAAUAUCACCUUGUGUCAUAUUUGAGGUAUAAAUUCUCUUUGCCUCUUCAACCUUCCUCCCAAUCCACAUCAUCAUCUUCUUCUUCUUCUUCUUCUACCAAAGCUGAGGCUUCAACGUUCAAGUCAACCUUGUAAUUUUCAUUUGCAUUACCUGUGAAAUACGCAAUGAAAGGUAAGUUCUUCCUUAACCCAACUCACUUUUACUUAUAAAAUAUGCUACAGUCAAUUGUUCAACUUGACUGUUAAUUUCCGCAUCCUGAAAAAGUUAGUCUGAGAAACAUAAUAAAAUCUAAUGUACAACUGAAAAAUUAAAGAACCUAAAGCCUUAUGGUCGUUAAAUAUCUUGCAAGAACUCCCAAGUACACAGUGGAGAAUUUGAUAUGCAAAUUUGAAGCCACUAUCAGUUCAGAAGCUGGUAUGAUAUGACAGAGCUUAAAAUAAUAAGACUUAAGUUGUAAUUUGUAAUAAAUCAUGUUCUUUUUUAUAAGAAUUAUUAAUCAUGUUUUGAAACUAGAAAGUCAGUACACGGCUCCAAAUACAAAUAAUAUUUAAACCACAUGAAACAAAAAAGUGAUACACAAGAUCCCCUUUUGAUAAAAUUGGAAAAAUAUAGAAAAUAGUUUGGCCUAGCUUAAGGAUGAUAAUUUAUACGCAAAAGAAUGAUGAUUACCAAGAAGCUUAACUCAUACUAAAUCAUUUUCUUUAUCUCAUACAAAACAAUGCAGAAUCUCGAAACAGAUUAAAGCAUGUGAUGUUGUUUAUGUCAUUUACGAAUUUAUGGUACUAUCAAGGUGCUUAUGCCACCGCAGAAUAAUAAGCAGAUACAAACACCAUAAAAAUUUAAAGAAUCAAACAUGGAAAAGAAAAUUCAUGUCUUACCACCUAUUGGAGCCUCCUCCCACUCAAUAUCAUCAUCUUCAUCCUCUUCACGUUUGGCCUUCAUUCCCACCUGACGACUGGAAUUUGUGUUAGCCACGCUUUCAGUAACCUCUGUACUGGAUAAUUCCUGUUGUCCCUUAGCAGCUUCUUCAAGCUCUUGUUGCUUCUUCAGUAUAGCAGCAUAAUAAGCUUUAACAUACUCAUCCUACAAUACAGCCCCCAAGUACAUGAAUCAUAAAAUUUCUGUCAAUUUAGAUUUUAGGAUAAGGAAACACUUAAAUUCACAAGAAAUGAAAAGAGCCAAUCUAAUUGAACAAACCUGUAUAUUUGUUUUAUCAUCAUCGUUAGCCAAUGACUUUUUAUCAUCAGAAAACUGAGCAGAAGCUGAACCAGCAUCUGUCUUUGACUCGUCUUUGACCUCUCCGCGUUGUUCCUUUGUGAGGUUCAUUCCUUUCUUGAUCAUCCAAGGAGGUAAAACUUUCAGACUUGUGUUCUCGGAUUCAGAUUUAGCGUCCACUCCUGUACCCUCAGCGCCAGAAAAGGCAACUUCAACCUAAAGGAUUCAUUCAGAGACUCUUGAUCGUUAGACUGGUACAUUUCAAGGUCCAAAAAUAAAACGAGCAUGAGGUGAAAAAUGGGAUACCUUGGUCUCGCCAACAAAAGGCAUAGGUGUUCCCCCAUAACCUUGUGAUGAUUUUGAGGGAUCAUUUCCAUUAAGAUCACCAUUUAUACCCCGUGCAGCUGCACUGGCACGAGCUUCCCAUGCUAAAAGAGUUCCAAAUUCUGGAACAGGCAAAUCUUUGACUCUGCUGAGUUGUUCCACUAAAGGUUUAAGCUGGGCCUGCAAUUAUUUGAUUUAUUCAUUAACAUUUAGUGAUUGAAAAAUUAUUUUAUGCAAUCUCAAUGGUUAAGACACAAAUCCCUCAUAAAUAAUUUCAGAAACAGGGCUUCAAGUUGAAUGACAUCAUUACUUAUGUAAAAGAGUUUCAGUAAUCAAUGAUCCUCAUAAAUUCUGAAACAGACAGAAGCCAAGAAGGAAUGAAUCUGAAACCUUCUACGAAAUAGGUGUUCAUUAUUAAAGAAAAAUAAACAGCUCACUAAAGCAUAGAAUAAUGCCUUGUGUGAGGCAGCGAGGAAGUUAAUCGGUUGGGGAAGCUAAAUGGGGUGGAGGAUAAACUAAGCUCAAUGAUUUGUUUAAUAAUGAAGAGGAAUUUAAUGUUUGAAAACAAACCUCUGGAAACCCCUCUCAGUCUCACAUUGCAAAAUCCAGCACGUUUAAAGUCACUGGUAGAUGAAUGCAAAACUAGUUUUCAUUUGAGAUCUGAUUCUAGUCACUUUUUUGGUUCAAUAAUCAGUUACAUUGGAAUUUCAAUGGCGAAACUUGUGUGGUUCGAAAGUUGCAGAUAAAGAGAUUGGAAUUCAAGACUCUUGAAACACUUAAUCUAGAUCUAGUACUCUCCCAAGAAUCAAAGAAGAAGCUAGACACAAGAACUGUUUCCAACCAGUUGAACAAUUAUCGUUUCUUAGCAGUUUUGUGGUUUCAUCUUAGUGACGAUUCAGCAAGGCUGAUUGUUGUUCUCUUGGUGUUCCCUCUUCACUCAUCUCGAAGCUUAUUGUGGGCAAGUUGUUAGCUUACUUUGGGUUCCUUUUGACAAUCUUUUUUAAUUACUUUGUACUUAGUUUACAUUCUAGAUUUCAUUGUUGUUCCAGGUUAGAGGAUUUUGACUAGCUUGCUGUUAUUGCUGGUUUUGACUUGGUUAUAGUUUGUAUCUGUUUUAUUCCUUCUGCUCUCAGUAUAAUUUUCUAGUACUUUUUAUUUUCAUAAGAAACGAACAUUUCAUUGAUAAAAUGAAAUAAGGGGAAACCCCAAGUACCUAAAGGUGAUUACAAAAAGAGCGUCAAUUGGAAACUAAGACCAAUAAGCUAAAGUUCUUAAAAGGGUGCCCAAUUUUGCAUCAAUAAAAAACUGUGGACAAAACAAUGUCCAAAAAAGAACUAAAAGAUGAAAAAGAGUCUUGAAAUAGACACCUAUGACGCUCGGCCCAUAACGUCCAAAAGAAAGCCCAAUGAACAGCCAGCCAAAUAACCUUCUUACAACCAUUAAACAGGUGGCCCACCAUAAGAGAGUUGAGGAUGUCCAGAAUGUAAUUGGACAAAACAGUAGACCAACCAAAAGCCUCUAAAAUGAGAUCCCAAAAUUGUCAAGCAAAAGGACAAUGAAUAAAAAGAAGAGCCGGGAUCCAGCAUUAGCACAACACAUAAUACACCAAGAAGGAGAAAGAGACAUAUAAGGCAUACGAUGUUGGAGACGAUCAGCAGUGUUUAUAGCUUUAUGACCAAGCUCCCAAAGAAAAUUUUUAAUUUUCUUCAGGAAGUGAUCCCCUAUCCAAAUGAUCGAAAAAAAAUCCCGUUCAGAAGGCUCAAGAGCACAUGUCAAGUCAUCAAUCAUAGAUUUCACAGUUAACGUAUGAUGCCUGAUUCUCUAGUACAUUUUUUUUAUAAGAAACAAGUAUAUUCAUAUAACAUAACAGAACAAUCUAAGGGCAAGGGACAAGAGGACCCUCCCCGGAAGAAGCUAAGGAACUAAGAAAUGAUAGCCUUCCAAUUAUUGAAAAUCAUUGAAAGGCUAUAAUUACAAAAGUGUUUGGUGUAAUUCGUACUCCACCAAGAAGCUGUGUGUUGCAACACAGUCCAAAAAGAAUCAAAAGAAUUAUAUCUAUCUUCAAAAAUUCUACUAUUCAUUUCUUUCCAAAUGCACCACAAAAGGGAUCGAGUCGCACAUUUCCAUAAGAUGUUUCCUUUUGGGCUAUAACCUGUAAUGUUGAGUCCUUCAAUCAUCCGGCUAUCAAUCUUACUAGGAAGACAAAGCUCCAAGUCAAAAAUCCUAAACAAAGUGUUCCAAGCUUUUUUUGUAAAGAAACAGUGUAGAAAUAGAUGAUCCAAAGUUUCCUCUUCUUUGGAACAAAGACAACACAUCGAGGGGCUAAGCAAUGUGUUCUGAACAUUUUUUUGUAGCUUCUCAUGAGCGUUAAGGCUUCUGUAAGCAAGCAACCAUAAGAAAAACUUCACCUUCUUCGAAAUUUUGUUCUUCCAAAUAUGACGAAUCAAAGGAACAACAAUGGAGGGGGAUCUCUUGGUUAAGUUAAGAAAGGUACACUUCGUAGUAAAGUUGCCAUUAGCGUUAGGAGUCCAUUUAAGACUAUCAUUCCCUUCAGUGGGGGCCCAGGAAUGAAGAAUUUCUAAAACUGAGGCCGCAUUGGGAAUCUUGUUAUCGAGCAUAUUUCUUCUAAGGCCCAAAUUCCAGGAAUGAGUAGCAGUACAAAAACAUUCAGCCACAUAAACAUCCUUAUUCAACGACAAAGAGAAUAAGUUAGGGAAUUUUUCUGUAAGUGUUUCCGCGGCACACCAUUUGUCCUUCCAAAAUCUGAUUUUUGUUCCUUCUCCCAGAACAAAAGCAGAAAAAUUAAAGAUCUCCUUGUGCUUUAAAAUACCAGCCCAUAAUCUGUAAGAUUUUGAGCAUUGGUUUUUCUUAUUAUUAUUCAUGAAGAGGUUUAUCUCUGUUAUGAAUUUAUAGGCUUGUUGCGUGUAGAAAGCCCAAGGGUAUUUAUGUAAACUAUUAUACCCUAGUUUUAUUUUCCUUUUUUGUUAAGGCUCUUGUUGCCUAUUAAUUCUUCCCCUUUGUUUUUUUUUUAUUAUAAGAAAAUAAUAAGCAAGGUCUCUAGUGGUUUUUCUCCUUGUACUAGGGUUUCCACGUAACUUGGUGUGUUAUUUCAUUUCAUCACUUUUAAUAAUUUCUGUUUCAAAGAAAAGCAUAGGAUUAUGCCUUGUGUUCUUAUAGCCAGGAUAUAAUUCUUCCAACAUCGAUAUGAUUGAGAGAGAGUGAGAUUUGAAGUUGAACAAGAUUCACAAUGCACUUUGUUUGGGUCAUUGUACUAAAUGUAAAAUGUACAGCACGUUGAAAAAUAAAAUUCAAACCUCCAUCUUUUGGAGCAUGUCCUUCAACUUUUCAUGCCGACGCUUCCUGACAUUGUCAUCUCCAUCCACUCCUUGGACAGCAGCCAGUUUGUCACUCUCUGCAACUAGCUCUCCGUUGCAAUUUUCACAAUGGAAGUAUUCAUCCUCAAAAGAGAUUAAUCGAAGAGCAUCCAAAGCAGUGUACCUAAUUAAUAUCAUCAAAUUUUCAAGCUCGCUUCCAGUUAAAGAAGUCAGUAACAAGUGUGCCGUGCUGUGAUUUCAUCCGGUUAAAUUACAAAAUAUCAGAAAUAACAUUUCUAAAGAGAAACUGUCAUCAUCAAAACCUUCUCGAACAAUUAGGGCAUAUAUACUCUUGAACUGUGUUCUUGUCCUCCAGUUCAUCUUUCAGUUUCUUCUUCAUGCGGUGCAUUCUGUAUCUAACCACAUCAUAAACCUGAAACCAAGUUUAGCUUUAGUGUGGUAACUCAUCAGAACUAAGUCUGUUCUCAUUGGGUUUAGAUACAUUUAUUAUUUAGUGAUGAAGCAACCAUAAAAAUUACAUAUAGAAAAGAAACCUGUGCAUAGUCUAGUGAGCAAUAAGAGUGUGUGUGCAUCUUAAUCUUUUCAUCCCCCUCCUUCGAAUGGUGUGGACCAUCGGCUGUGGCAGCAACCGCAGCACUAAAUAUCUUUGCUCCCUUGGCUGUCUGGAAAAGCAAAGAACAAAACAAAAUAAAAAAAUGAAGAGCAUGCCAAUAAAUAGUGAUAUAAAACAAUAACUCGUUGAUACACUCCUCCACAUUAAAAAAAAAAGUAUGAAUCAUUAAGCAAUAUAUUUAAAAGAAUUCAAAAAGAUUUUUCUGUAUGAAAAAUACCAGUCAAGUUUACAUAACAUCUAUAUUAAUCAGCCUCAAAUGAAGAAAUAAAAGAAGAUAAAAGGUACAAUGAGAGAGAAAAGUGCAGAGUUGACGAAAGUGAACAUCAUUCAACUUAGUUCUAAGUCUUAACUUUUCGAAUCUCUCCUCUAGGGAAGAUUUAAAAUGGUGCAAGACAUACAAGAGAAAGGUGUAUUGUCCAUAUGUCAUCAUAGUCCACGAAAGAAGGUCACGUGACGCAUGGACUAAUAAUAGCAUUGGCAUUUAUGCAAUCUCAAAUCUAACUUGGUUUUUGAACUUUCAAUUUUGUGUCUAAUAAGUCUAUUUGAUCCCAAUAACUUUCAAGUUUAUGUAUGAUAGGUCUAUUAAAUUACAAGUUUGAUUCCAAUAACUUUCAAGUUUGUGUCUAUUUGGUGCCUGAACUUUCAGUUUCAUGUCCGCUCAAACUCUAGAUUUCUAAUUUUGUGUCUAACAAAUUUUUUACCUUUGAAAAACCACGAAUCUACUAGACAAAAAGUUGAAAGUUUAAAAUUGCAUCAAACAUAAAACUAAUUUUUUUAUCUAAUAGAUCAAUUAAUUUAUAAGAACUUUUAAUAUGUCAAGGAUGACAUAAAAUUGAAAGUUCAAAGUUCUGUUAGACAAAAUUUAAAGUUCAAUGACCAAAUAGACACAAACUUAAAAGUUCAAUAUUAAACUUAUUAUUCAACUCAAUUUAAAUGAAAUACACCAAGAGGCAACAGAAACAGCAAUGUCCCAAGCAUCCCCAAUAGCCUAGUCCUCCCUUGAAACACUCGUCUAUCUCUUUUUAACAAAAUUACCCAAAAUAUAAAACUCCAUUCAACAUAAGUACCUUAAAUUCUGUAGACAACUACAUACUAAGAAAUUGAAGACUACUAACCUAAUACGCACAAGAACAAGAUUCAUUGAUAGAGUCAGCACUGACCUCCCUUCUAUGAUCUCGGGUAAUCAGUUUUUCCUCUUCUAAAAACCUUAGGGUUCGACGUAAUUGCUUUGAAUGUAGUUUUAAGUUCUUUGCCAAAUCUUCUUCCCGAACCCAUUGCCGUCUAGGAAGGGAUACAACAACAAACAUGAUAAGCAAUGGAAAAAAUGUGGCAGUAAAACAGCUCAUCCAAUUCAUAAAAGAAGAUACAUGCACACGGGGACUUGUCAUCAUAACAAAUUCAUGAAAGAAGAUGCGAGGAUUUGUCAUCAUAAUAAAUUCAUGAACAGGGGAACAGGUCCUGACAACAAAUUAAGAAACUUGAAACUUUCAAAUGACAUAUUUCAAUUACCUAUUUGCUCAGACCGUCCAAAAAAAUCUAUCUUAACAAACAGGGUAAGGUUUUUUAACACAAAACAGAUGAACCAACAAUAAGCAACAAUGAAAUGACAGCCUCGAGUUUGAAAGAAACAGAAGUAUAAACUAAGCUAUUGAGUAAGCUGCAUCAAUGUGCCAUGCCACCCUUCAACUUAGCUUGACUAGAGAAAAAAAUGCACACGAGAUAAGUUUCAAGAAAUACAUAUAAACUACCAUGAUGAUUUAGUUGUUCCAACCCAGCAGUAGCAGAAUUGGGUAUACAAUACAUACAAUGUCCGGAACCCAUCAUGCGAUGGCCCAGUGGUAAGAAGAACAACGGAUUUAAUAAAGAACUUGGUGUGAAUGGGGAUGCCUAUGAUUUAAUAUCUUACAAGUUUCUUAAGUACUCAAAUGUUGUAGGGUCAGGGGGUCAAGUGGGUUGAAAUAAAAUGCAUUCAGUGCUCAGCUUAGUCUGUAAAUAUAACUACCAGGAAUCCACUGCGUUCAAGAUCAAGAAAGAAGAUGCCGUUCGAAUUCCCACUAAUCCAAUCACGAAUUCCCACUAAUCCAAUCAUAUUCAAGAAUAGUUCCUAUGUAAGUUCAUUCUACUAAUCUAGCUUCCCUUCCCCUUCCUUUCAGUUGCUUUAAGCGGCGGUAUUCUGCUUCUGCCUUCUAUACAAACACUAAAAAUUUCCAAGUAAAUAAAAACGCCAAAGAGCAGUACCUGGUAAGAGCAUCAAGAACAACAACCGCAAUUCCCCUAUUAUCACUCCGACCGGUUUUGGGUUGAUUAUCCCCUUUAGUGGUAAUGUCAUCGUAGAAAGCUCUCGCAGCUAGCUUCACCAACCUACCCAAUUGAUCAAGAUCGUUCAACACACCAAAUUGAACAGAACCCAAUUAGAAAAAUGAAAACAGAAAACAGCCCAAGGUAGAGAAGGUAUUCAAAUUUGCUAUUUCAAUCAUUUGAGAGGGCUCACAAGUUCAUAGAGGAAAGAAAGUACCUGUUAAAAGGUUCGAUACUCAUGGUGAUUUGAUGCUGAUGAAUUAACUUGGGGUUCAAUUCAAUUCCUGAAUCAAAUACUUAAAACUGGUCUUGCUAAUACAUGGGGAGCUGAAUUUGUUCGGUAUUCGAUUCAACCAAGUCUUUACAGAGGAGAGAGAUCUGGAAAUCGUGCGAAUAAACGAACGCGAAUUUGAGCAUUGCCCGUAACAAAUAAAUGAAUGAAAGCAUCUUGUGGGUCGGGUUAUCUAUAUUUCCUUCGUAAUGGGCUUUCAUCGUCUAUUGGGCCUAAUUGGUCCAAUUUGAUUUGAUCAGGAAUACAAAGAUCGACGACGGCGCGAACUCUAAACUUAAAUUUCACAAAAAAUUAUUAAAUAAUAUAUUAAUAUUCUAUUUUGUGUCUAUCAAACUCUAUUAACCUUUUAAAUUCUAUAUUUGAAUGAUGAGAAAUCUCGUUAAUUUUUUCUAUUAAUAUGUUAUGCCAACAAACAUUAUAAUCUAUUCAUUUAUUAAAUAAAUUUAAAAACUAUUCUAAAAUCAUCAACUAUCAACUACUUGUCCCUAAUACUAAAUUAGUAUUAAUAACUAAAAAUUAAAAAAUAUUAGAAAAUUUGACCAGGUGUAUUUUAAUCAACUUGUAUAACAAGAUAAUUAAAAUAAAAUUAUUUUUUUUAAAAAUCAAUCCAAACCUGUCUAUAUUUAAAAUUAAAAUUAGAUAACUAAAAGUAUAUGGAUUGGAAUUGAAUAAUUCUCAAAAUGAUAUUAUAACCGAUAAAUUGUUGGAUCGAGCAAGAGGAACCACAAAUCAUGCAGUACUGUACUAACACAUUCAAGUUUUACUUGCAACCAAGCUUUCACAUUUUUACUUAAUUAUGGUACAAUAAAAUGUUCCAUUUUAUGUGGUGGCACCUCCCCUAGAGUUUGGAUAUUUAUAUUCAAUACCACAUUAUCCAUUUAUGUAUGUUUAUUAUAUUCUUUUUCUUUAUUUAUAUAAUAAUAAUAGUAAUAAUACGUGUCGCAAAAUGGAUAUGUAGUUUAUUUAAGUUUAUUUUUUGUUAUAGGUUGUAAAUAAUUUCAAUUUUUUUUGUUGUCUAUAAUGAUCUCUCUUAAUAAUAUUAGAUACGACAACCACAAAUUUGUACAUACCAUUAUUAUGGGAGAAAAAAAAUAAAAAGAAUUUUUUUAUGGAUAGAAAAAAAUUGAAACAAUUUACAAAAUAUAGCAAAAAAAAAAAAACUAAUAUAUACUAAGAAUAGUCGAAUAGAUUUAUCUAAGUUUUGUAAAUAGUUUCAACUCUUAUGUUAUAUUUGAAAAUACUUUAUAAAAAAGAACGACGUUAUAUUUAGGUUAGUAAAUAACGAUUUUUUACAUGAAAUAAAAUUGAGUAAAAUUUUCGAAAUAGAUGUAAAAUACUCGAGACUCUUCUUCUUCUAUGUACAUGGAUUUAUUUACACGUAUAAACAAAAGAAAAAAAAAUUAGUUAAUAUAAGAAGUCGAAGGGUUAGAUUCUCAUACUCUACCAUUCAUUUUACUGUUUUUUUUUUAAGAAUGAAAGUAACUUAUUUUUUACUUUACAUCAUGAAAAUAAAACUUCGGUUUGGAAUUUUUGUUACCAUUUUUCUUUUGAAGCUUAACAAUUACAAAGUAUAAAUGAUAAUUAGUAAUUUUAUUUUUUGAAUUAUGCUCGAAUUGGUGUCAUGUUGUUUUCUAAUUAAUAGCGAGAAUGUUUGACAGUUGUAAUUAAAUGAUUGGAUAUUUAAUACAAAAACAAAAAUUAAUUAAUGAUAAAACCCACCAAAUGAAAAGAUAAUACAAUCAUAUGAUAUGCAUUUUUAUUCUAUUGAGAUGUUAAUUAAUUUUUUCUCCUAAUGUUCUGUGAAUUUUUCCAAUUAAUGGUCCAUUCCCACCUUGUUGUCUACAUCUUUUUGGAGGCUUCACAAUGCUUUUCUUGGGGGGGGGUUUCGGUAUUUUCACUGUUGCCCCUAUGCUAUAUGGAUAACAAGUACUAACUAUACACACCCUUUUUUUUCUUGUCUACAAGUAAUUAUAUAUCGAUUUUUUUAGUAUAAUAAAUAGAUGAUGAAAAAAUCAAACCUCUCUGACCGUAGGAUUAGGAGCACAUAAAAAUUAUUCAUCGUAGGUAAACUUAAUAGUCGUUGCAACUUAUUUAGAAUUAGACGAACAUUUUAAAUACUAUAUUCAAAUUGCAACGCAUUAGGUUUUUUUUUCUUUUUUUUUUGGUUAGAAAUUCAAAUUUUCACUUAAAAUAGAAAGAAAACACAUGAUUUGCAAUACCCAAAUCAAUUCUCUCUUUUUUCCCCUAAUUCUUGUUGACCUAAUAUAAUCAAUUUCUAAUUAUCAAUAAAUAAUGUGUAUAUAUCCACACUUUUAAAUCAUGUACUUUUACCCCUAACUUGCUGUUAUUUUGGCAUUACACUCUCAUUUGAAAAACCAUAAAGCUCAUGUGAUGGUUAUUUUUUAUUAGAUCAAAUAUCAAUUCAAUUAUUCAUGAACUAUGAUACCAUAGUAGUAUAUAUAGAGUUUCAUCUUUAUUGAGUCAAGUACAACUCCUUUCAUCUUUUCUAAGGUGAAAUUAUAGACAAAUUGAAAGAAUUAAAUAUUAGGGUUUUUAGAAAAGAUAAAAAAGAUUCACAAAAAGUUAGGCCCAUGGUUUUACCUAGGUGGGAAAAGAAAUGGAAGGAAUAUUAAGCAAAGAGAGGUACUAAUUUUCCAAUUAAAAAUGUCCAACAGAAGAUGAUCAAAAUACUGAUCUGACACUACUGCUUAUACAUAACCCACACAGAUAUAUAUUGGCAUAAGGAUAGAAAGCAAAACAUGUGACACAUUGGACUUUCUUUCCCAUCACCCCUCCCCUAAUUUCAUUUAAUUACUAAAUAAUCAAAUUACAAAUUUAGUCCCUUUGAUGCAGAAGAAAUUAAAAUUUCAAUCCCUAUAACUUGUAUGUUUAUCAUUGAGCUGUCUCUGUACUUGUUUAGUUUUCAUGGUAUACGUUAUGUAGGUGGAGUUCAUCGAUCAUACAAUUUAUCGAACGAUUAGGACUAAGUUAAUAACUUUUAAAAUUACACAGACUAAAAUUUUUUAGUGCUUAUCAAUCCAUGACUUUUUCCUCUCAAUAGGAAGGUUUUCAUCUAACCUCACAUUUAAUCUCACCAUCUCUUUGCUAACUUAAAGAAACGUCAAUAAAAACUUUGCUCAACUAGUAUCUCUAUAUAUUAAGAAUCCAAAAGAUCGUCUGAACUCAAAUCCAUCAUUUCCAAUUUGUAAUAAAAAAUUAUGUCUGAAGUAUCAUUUUCCCUUUUAAAAAAAACUCUACUAACUUGGGAUUGGAUUCGGUAAUUUAACUCGAUAAAUGAGAGAGAAUUACAAACAUUAUGCAAUGUAAAAAAUAAAUUUAACUCUCAAAAUUAUGCAACUAGCGGUAGAGACCAUGUUGCUGGUAAGAGUCUUGAUAAGAGAGUCAUCCAUUGAUAAUAUAUAUUUUACCACAAUUGUAAAGCUUUUUAAGAAGGUUGCUAAGCAUUGAAUUGGUAUUCCUAAAAACACAAUCAAUUACCGUAAUUCUAAUAAAGAUAAGGUCAAAAUGAGUAACUAAGAUAAAAUUUGUAGUUAGAGAUUUGGUUAUGUAUACAUUGUUGUGUAAAGAAAAAAAAGAAAAGAGUUGUGUCAAAAUCAGAAUACUGUGUAUAAAAAUUUAUGACAGAAAAGAAAAAUGGUGGCCUACAAAGGCAAUAUCCAAAGUACUGUGGAGCCAUCCUUGGAAGGGGAAAAGAGGGUUCAUAUUCAUCCCCUCCAAGCCUGAAAAUGCACAUGAAAUCUCUCAGCACAAAAUGUGGGAAAUGAAAUUUCAACCACAAAUAUGGAAAAAAAAUAUGGUCUCUAUAGUGACAGCAAGAGCCAGUGAGUCUCUUUCUUUUCUCUUUUCCAUUUUUUUCCACCACAGAUGGGAAAAGUCACCCUAUGGUGGUAAUUAUUACUUGAUUCAAACUUAUAAAAGUGUUAAACUUAAAACUUACUUCUAAUAAUAAAACUUACUUGAACUUUAAAACUUAUACAAUGUUUAUAAUUAUAUAAGAUUUUCCUCUAGCCUCUAUUUAUUUGUAUUUAGAUUUGGACGGAUAUGGAUGAUGCUAUGGAUGCGUUAAUUUAUAUUAGUUGAGAUUUUCAAAUGUACCUAUUGAUAAAUCGUUUUAAAGGUUGAGAGGAUCAUUUUUGCAAUAUGCUAUUAUAUUUUGUUUUGAAGAAAAGAAUUACUUUUUGUAGGGUUUGUUUGUGUGAUAGAGAUGCCUGGGAGCUUUCACUAUCAGCCACUCUCUCCCAACAAAAAUAUUGUACAUUCAAAGAACCUUUUUUUUAUUCUUUGUUUGAAGCUUAUCUUCUUCCAAUUGAAAGCAACCCUAGAACAACCCAAUUACCCAACUUUACAAGAAACACAUGAGUGGUCAUCAGUUAUUAUGUCAGUCUAAAACAAGCACACACACACAGUGCGGCAUGUAUAAAUGGAAAGUGUUUUUGGGGAGAAAGGGAAGUGUUUUUUUAGGGCUUAAUUCAUAAUUAUAGCAAAAGGAAGAUAAAGAGAUUGUUGUAUUAUAUGAGAGGAGAAAUGGGAUUUCUUUUUCUUCAUCUUCUUCUUCUUCUUCUUCUUCUUCAGGGGGGGAUUGGGGAUUUCUCUUAUGGUGAGUAUAGUUUGGCCUUUUUGGUGAUUGGCUAGGGUUUUUGACUAAUGGUGUGGUAGAUGGCGAAUAUUUUUACCUUAGUUAUCCAACCAUAGUUUUUUAGAUAGAUUUUUUUAAAAAAAGAUAGUCUCAAAUUUGGAUAUAGAUCAUUAAAUUUGAUCCUGUAUUUCAAGAUUUACAAUUUAUCUUUAAUUUCUUUUUAAAAUUAAAAAGAAUUGUAAUUAAUUAAUUUUCACUAUUUUUUACCAACAUCAAAAUUGACUUCAAAUAUACAUCAUUAACACCAAAUAUUGUGUUUGAACACUAAUAACAACUUAAAGUGGGUAAUUAGUGAAAAAUUGAGAUUAAACAUAUCAAACUUAGAGUAGGAUGAGAGUGUUGUACGAAAGUGUCAACCUAGUUUAAAUGUUCUAGUACGUCAAUUAUCUCUUAUUUUCUUUUAAUGAACUGUUAAUAUAUAUAUAUAAAUUACUUUCGAAAACAUAGGACCCCAAAUUGAAACAAAUCUCGUAACGUUUUGAAAAAUAUAACAUUUUGAAACCUAGCGACGAAAAGAAAACUAGAGAGAAAAGAUAGGGUUCAACUUAAGUUACACUCAUACGUUACUCUUUCUUCUAUAUAGUAAGAAUACCGAAUGAUAGAAAAGAUGGAUGCAACACAAAAUACCUUAGACUAUUUUUCGGUUUAGAUAAGUAGGUAUCUGGCAGUGGCAAGUACGAGCACAAACCAAACAAACUCCUUUUUUUUCUUUUUUUUUUUUUGUGUGAAGCUUUAUAGCGAAAGAGAAAGGGCAAAGGGCAAAGGAACUACUUUGAAUUGCACUCCUCCCUUUGAAGAAAAAGGUAAAUAGAUAAGCCACGCAUGGAGGAAAGCCCCACUACCAAUAACAACAUUCUCUCACACAAAAACACUUCAUAGAAAAAUUAGUUCUUUUCUUUUUCUCCUUUUUGUUGAAAGUGACACUAGAAAAAUAAACAAAUAGAUAAAUAAAUUUUUGUGUUAUUAUUUUUUUCAAAUCAGUCAACAGAGACCAUUGGCUCUCUAGACACAGGCUAAUUCAGAGUUGUACACUGAUGUGUUUUAGAGAUAAAUAAUUGUCCUUUCACUCAUAGCCUUAUAUAUAUAUAUAUACACACUAUACAUGUAAGUCGGACAAAUUGCAAAAACUACCGUGCUAAAUUUCUAAAAGUGUUAAAAUUAUUGGACAAUCAAUUUUACAGUAUUUAUAAAAAUUAGACUUGAGAUAGAUAAAAAUUUAUAUAAUCAAUAUAAUUAUAUAUGGAAAACUUAAUUUUUAAUUUUGAAAGUUUGACAUAAUUUAAAUAUCACACUAUUUUAAGAUUGUUUUUGUAAUCUAUCCUAAAUAUAAAAGUAUGGCUAUCCAUGCCCACGUGGACUUGCCAUGUCCUACAUUCAAAUUGGUUCAUGACCAAUUUCCAAAUAAUAAUACAUUAGAAAGUCAAAAGAAAAAAGAAAUUAAAAAAGGUGUUGUUUUGUAAAUAAACCCAAGUGAAAAAUACCACAUUUUUAUAAUGGAAUCCAUGCAGUCAGUGAUAUGAUCAUAUGUUGGGAAAAAAAAGGCCUCAAAGGGCAGAUUUUUGUAUGGUGUGAAAAUGAACAAGAAAAAAAGAAUUAAAUAAUUGUUCUUCAAAGAGUUUUAAACAGUCGCUCAGCUUAAUACCAUUUCUAUAUGAAUCAUGAUGAUCUAUGGACGAGGAUAUUAUCGUAAAUGUUUGAUAUCUUGAUGUACUUCUUCUUUAACUUCUUGAUGGUUAUGAUUAUGAUAUUUCUUAUAUCACUUAGUUGUAAAGUUUUGAUGGAAUCUUUGGUGCAUUAUUGUUGUUUUAAUAAUAUCAUCAUCAUUUCACAAUGUAAUAUUAUAUUAUCGCUUAAGUAUCAUAAAUGCCUUAAACCGUUAUUGAAGUAGAAAUUGCAUAUAUACCAUGAAACAAUAUGUCAAUACAAACUUUUGUUCUCUAUAUUGAACAAUAACUUCUAUUUUAAUAGUAUAGUGUGGAACGCUUAUGAAAUAUGGCAAGAAUGUAAAGUUACAACUUUGAAAUGAUAGAAACUUUUAUAGUUGAAAAAAUCUUCGAAAAGGCCAAAUUUGGUUUAAUUACAAAUCUAAAUUGUACGGUUAUAAAAAAAAUAGAAUUUAAUUCUUAUUGUUUGAUAAAACUUCUCAAACAGUGUAUAUGAUCGAUAAAUUAGUAUUUUGCCUUUUUGGUGCAUAAAAUCUCCCAGUCAUUUGUAAUAUGUUGCAAUGCUUCAUCUUUGCCUGAAACUUAAGUAUUUCUGUUAAGUGUCUAAAGAGUUUCCUUCUAGCUUUUGGUUGUAUAUUUUAUGAACAGAUAUAUCACUCUAGAUAAAUUUUUUUGAUGAGAUCUAGUGUUAUAAAUGUGUUUACCUAAUUGAAAUGUGCUAAUAAUGGUAGACUAAAUUUGUGAUUUAAGGAGAAGGGAAAGGGAAUUUGUGACUUAAUGUGUGUGUCAAGGUCAUCAUGUGCAAGCCACGUGAAGUGGCACAAAUACUAGGUGACUUCUGUCCACUCACCUCCCAUUAUAUAUUAUAAUGUUUUAUUAUAUUUAUCUCCACAUACAUCACUUCACUCUAAAGACGAUCCCUACUUUUUCCUCAAAAGAAAAACCCCAAAUUCCAUCUUCUUCUUUCUCUCUUUCUUUCCCAUUUUCUUCACAACUCUCCCUUUCAACAAACCCCUCCUUCCAUUUCCAUUGCUUCAAGGUCCUGUCUUUCUCAGCUAACCCUAAAUUCUCCCUCAACUUCUUCUCAAAAUUUUACCAAAUAUAUACAUGCCUUUGAUCUUUCUCAACUCUCUUUUCUAUCUUCAAUUAGGAUAUUUCUUUCAAGUCCUAUUUGGAGGAAAGCUCUCUCCUCUAAUUGUCACUCUCAAUUGCCUUUAGUGACAAGGAGAGAUUAUAUAGUUUUUUUUCCUAGUUGAUUAUGUGUUUUUUAUAUAUUUGGAUACACCUACUCAUCUCUUUUAUCGGUUUGUUCAUCCUUGAGUUAACAAGUCAUUAUAUGUUCUUUUAGGGUUUUUGUUUGUUUUUGCUUUCUUUUUGCACAAAUUCCAAAUCAAGGGGAAAAAGAGAGAUUAAAAGAUCAGAGAUAUGUUUGUGUUCAAUAGUUGUAGUAACAACAAUCAUGGUAAUGACUGUAUCUCUUUCCCUGACCAUUCAUUUCUUCACUUUCCUUCUCCUUUUGAUGAUGAUGGUAAUCCUACUAAUUCCCUUCUUCUUCAACAACAAUCUCAACAUGACAUUUUUCUUCAUCAUCAUAUUCCAUUGAAUGAACCAUCUCCUCCUCCUCCUUCAUCGACUUUUGUAAAUGCUUUGAGAUCAUCAGAAACAAUCAAUAAUGAUGUUUUUCAUCAAGACCUCGUCAGUCAAAGGAAAAAAUCUUCAUCUAAGAGAGAUAGACAUAGCAAAAUCAACACUCUUCAUGGACCAAGAGAUAGAAGAAUGAGGCUCUCAUUGCCUGUGGCUAAAGAGUUUUUUGGUCUACAAGACAUGCUUGGUGUUGACAAAGCUAGCAAAACUGUGGAGUGGUUGCUCUUUCAAGCUAGACAUGCAAUCAAGAAACUCUCAAAGGAUCAACAAAGCUUCCAUAUUGACGGCAAUGGUGAUACAAGGAGUCCAUCAUCGGUUUCAGACGGGGAAGUCGUGUCAGGGAUUAUCGAUGAAACUUCAACUGUCGUCAAUAACAACGACAUGAUCAGCACAAAAGAAUUAGAAAUAGGGCGUAAAUCGACGACAAAGAAAGAGAAGAGGAGUAGGGUUGGAAGGAAAAUGCCAUUCAACCCUCUCACGAGGGAGUGUAGGGAGAAAGCCAGAGCGAGAGCAAGGGCAAGAGCGCGAGAGAAACAACAGCAAAUUAAAGGAACAAGUACAACAACAAAACUACAAGAUGUUAGCAAAAUAAGCUCACCAUGGAUGAGUAGUACUCAAAUGGAAAAUAAUGGAAUUGAUGAGCAAUUAAGAACAAGAAAUGAAGGAAGAAUAAUCAUGGAUCAUGAAACAACAGAUGAUUGUUUGAUCAUGGGAAGGUGGAGCCCCUCCAACUCUAUUUAUUGCAAUUCACUCCAUAACAACAAUAAUGGAAGUCCCCAAGAGGUAAAUUCCAAACAUCAACAAACUUAACUAUUAUUGUUUUUCCAAUUCUCAAGUGAUAGAAUAUUACCUAUACCCUUUUAAAAGGUAAAGUCCAAGAAAAAAAUUUCAAGUACAAAUUGUUGUUCAUACAUUUUUGGCCACUUUCUUAUAACAAUUUUUUGUGGUUACAUUUCAGCAUCCAUAUGGAGAUUUUCAAUUUUUGGUAAAAUCAUGGGAGCCCUACAACAAUCAUAGCAUAUGUUAACUUCUACUAUGCAUAUAUCUUCAAGCUCAGACUGAGAUCCCCUUCAAAGAAUCAAUUAUAUAUACUUCCAAGUGUGUCCAAUAAUGGUAAAUUUUAUUAUAUCAUGCAUUAAUCUUUUCUUUUCUUCUGUUUGGAGUUUGUAUGAUUACACAAAAAGUACAUCUUUCAUUUUAUAAUGUUCUUUCCUUUUUCUACGAACAUUUAGUUUUUCUAACUUCAAGAAUGUGGAACACAAACUAGAGGGAUAUUCUAACUCCAAGAAUGUAGAACACAAACUAGAGGGAUAAAUAGAAUCUCUAUAUAAGGUGGUUUGAUAACUAUUUUGUUUUUAGCUAUUUGAUUUUGAAAUUUAUGCUCGUUUGGUCACAAUUUUUUAUCAUGGUUUUCACUUUUUUUUUUCUUUAGUUAUUAACAACAAUCUGGUAGAAAGUGGAUAACAAAACAGUUAAAUGUAAAAUUGAAAACAUUGUUUAUUAGCUUAUUAAUUGGCAAAAAGACAAACAAAACAAAAUCUAAUUUUUUUUAUAACCAUUUGGUUUUUGAAAAUUAGGUUUAUUAAAACAUGCUACUAUUUGCGUAGAUAAAUAUAUCUAGUUUUCAUUCUCUUCUACAAACGUUUUAAAACUACCCCAAGUUUGUCUUGAAAACAAAUUAGAGUAGUAUUUAAAACUCUUUGUUUCAUUUGUUUUAGAAUUUAGCCAAAAAUUCAAAUGUUCUUUUUUAAAAAACAAACAUGACAAAAAAAAUGGAAAGAAACACACAAGCAUCAAUUUGAAAAACUAAAACUAUAAACAAAAUCACUCAACACGACCUAGAACAUACAUCUUUGACAUUGAAGGCUUUCUAACGAAAUCAAUUAAACAUGUAGAAACAACAUAAAUAAAGUAAAAACGAUACAAACUCAAUACUUUUUAACCUUUAUUUGAUAUAGAUAUAGAAUCACGUAUGAAUAAGGAGAAUUUAAACUACUUGUAACUUUUUGGUCAAUGAUAUAUAUAAUAUCUUGAGGUUGAUUGACACUAAUCAAAAUUUAUUUUCAGAACAUGGUUUAGUGUUCUAUCCUAUACCCUAACCAUUUCCUUUAAUCUCUUGUGUAUAAUUAUAUUAAUAUUCAGUUUGAAGAAAAACGGAAACAAAAAAUUAUAAGAAUACUUUUUAGCAAAAGAAAGUGAUGUAAUUGAGAGGAUAAUUAUAAGUUCUAUAUAUAUAAUGUAUUUUGACAUAUUAUUAAUUACAUAUCAUAUUGUCCUAACCCCAUAUAAUUAGUGCAUUACAUAGACAAAGAGUGGGAAAACUUUUAAGAAGUGAUUGAAUGACCCAUGAUUUAAUUAUUAUCCACUACAUAGUACAAACCAAACCCCAUUUAAUUUCAACAUUUCAAAUGAUUAUCUAUAGCGUUACACCUUUAAAUUAAACUUUUAUACUAUGUAUGUAAAAUUAAUUAAUUAAUUACAUAGUAUUUAUUUUAAAUACAGGAUUAAUUAUUAACUUUGUUAUUAUUGGAUGGAUGGCAAUCUUAAAAAGUCCAAUUUAGCCCUUGAGAUCAAACAUGCAUGAACCUAGGGAAAAGCUUUUUGCCUUGAUUUAACAUACACCAUUUUUCUUUGCUCCAAAUAAUGAAACAAAAACACAAAAGUCUCUUAUAGAAAGAGUUAUAAGGAAGAGUUAUUUGUUUAAUUUCUGUUGAUUAAUUUAAUCUUUGUUGUUAGAAAUAAUUAUAUAUAACUGAUACAGUUCUUUUUUCAGAUAAGUUUAUGAUUAUGUGUUUGAAAGAUAUACACACAAUUAUAUUGCCAAUUAUUAGGGUUAAUUUUUUAUUCAUUUUUAUUGAAUUAAAUUCUUUAAACUGUCCUCUUUUUUCCCCUCUCACCCUGUUUCAAUUUUUAAAGAAUCAACUAAAUUUCGUUAGUGCACUGUAGAAGAAAAAGACGAAGGUAUAACUAAGAACACUGUCUCCAACCACGGUACGUUGUUGUUUGAAUGCAGUGUUCUAAAAUAGAGACAAUAUCAUCACACACUAUUGUAGAGAUGUGUGAAGAACAGUAUUACUCCUAUCAAAAGUGGUGUAGAGUUGUGUCUCUAAUUUGAUUACAGUAUUGUUGGAGUUAUCAGGUAUGUCAACAAAAUUAGUGGGGUGAUCCUAAAUUGGAAGACGUAGUAAUCGUGGUUUGAACCAUGAUUGACUAGGAAUAGGUACGGUAAGUUUUAGAUAGAGGGGAUGACCUAUAUAAAAUAUGGCAAAUCGAGAGUUAUAUAGAUAUAGAUAUACAAAAAAAUCAUCAUAUAAAUGUAACUCAGCCAUCGAUUUGUUCAAUACAUAUCCAAACAGGCAGAAAACAAAGAUGACCAACAAUAAUUUUCUCAGAAAAAAUAAUAGUAUAUUUCUAACAAAUAAAAUGGAAUAUAUUUGACUAAUUAUAAAUUCCAAAAUGAAUAAAAUAAUUACCUAGUUGGGGAAUGGUAGAACCUUUGAAGAAGAUGCAGAAAUUUCAAGCAAUAACUCCACGAAAAAGCCUCUCCAAAAUGAUCAAAUGUAAGCCUCUGCAAGUAGAAAGACAAAGAAAACCCUAUUUGUUUUUCAAAAUAAAUUGAGAGAAAGAGAGAUAGAUUUUUUUCCUUCUUUUUUACAAUCUGUUUUUGUAGAAGAAAGAAAAAGUGGGGGAACAUACAUGAGAGUUAUCUUUCCUCUAAAAUGCAAAAGAGCAUAUUCCCAUCAUUUUGGUAAAGUAAAAGUUAAAAAUAAACCCUCUUUUUUUUUUAUUUAUUUGUUCUUUUUCACUUCACCCAUUUAAAAAUAUUUCUUGUUAUUACUAUUAUUAAUUGUUUCAUUGAAAUGAUAAUCUUAUAUUCUUAACCUCUCCAAAACACACUUAAAUUAUCUUUAAUCAAAUUUAUGUGUACAAGGUAUUGAGUUGAUAACUUAGUUGAACAAAUGGAUGGCUAAUUAAUAGUCCAUAUGGGAUUUCACCAUACUACAAUUUUACUAUUAAAGUUUGAAUUUUUGUCUACACAUUUCUUUGAACUUUUAAGCUUGAUUUUUCACUUUUCAUCCUUACUCUUAUUAAUAUUUGUUAAUUUAUUUAAAAUAAUCAUAAUUAAUCAAGUUUCAUUGUUUUUUUUAUCAUUGUUAAAAUUAAAUUUAAAAUUUCACAUUAUAAUUAUUUUAAACUAAUUAACAACAAUAACUAAAAGUGAGUAUUUAAUUAGAGACCAAAUUUAAACAAAAUUUUCAGGUAAAUUGUUCAAUGUUUUUAAACUAACAGGCUGAUUAAAUUGAAUUGAAACAAUAUGUAACAUUUUCAAAUUUAAAAACCAAAAUAUUGAGACAAAACAAAAAGCAUUUUCCCCAAAAAGAAAAAUCAAUUCACAUGCUUAUGGAUGAAAGAGGAAUGAACAAAGAAAAUGACAAUAUAAUAUAAGUGUGGGUUUGGACAAUAAUUGACUGCUUACAUUGAAUCAAAGAUUGUGGGCGAAAUUAAAGCAUUUUACAUUAUCAUAUGGCUGCACCACACAACCCAUGCUGCCUUUAACUUCCCUUCCAUGCGGGUUUCUAAGGUUUGUGCUUCCCUUCGUAUGAAACCAUUGAUUUUUUCUUUUUCUUUUCAAAAAAUUGAUUCUUCCAUAUGAAAGUUAAUAAUAUAGUUUUCAUGUUAGUCGAACUAUACGUUAAAAAGGUUACAUAUAUAUAUAUGCGAAAAACUUGUGUUAAGGCACAUACAUGUUCCAUGCAGGUUAUAAUUUGCCAAAUUUUUGAAAUGUAGUAUGAAGUAAUUUUAAGUAUAAAUACUUUUUUCUUUUUUCAUUUUGAUUUAUGUAUUUUUAGCUCAUCUUAAACUAUAACGAUAUCUCUAAUAUAUUGUUAUUUUUAAAAGCAUAUUCUAUUCAAAAUAUAGAAAAUGUAUUUAAAUAGUAUACUGUCUUAUCCAAAAAUUAUUAAUAUACUAUCUAAGCAUUUUUUUUUUAUGAAAAAUUAAAUUUGAGGAUGAUAACCAUAUUUUUUUAGGAGCCAACCAAAUAUCUCUUUUCUUUCUCUGCCCUAAAGAGUUACCACAUUUUUAACUUUUUCAUAUAUUAUAUUUUGCUCAUUGAUGGAAAAAUAAGAAAACAAAUUUACAUAUAUAUUUUUUUCAUUUUCUAGUCAUUUAUCUUGGUAUAUAUUAUCCCGUCGGACUAAUUUAUCAAUGUUUACUGUUAAUUUUUUAAAUUCUUUUGCUCAUAAACAUUACUCAUUCCUUAAUUAUGUGCCAAAAACUUAAUGGGGUUUAUUGGGAUAAUUUUUCUCUAAGCCAAAUAUUAGGAUUUUUCCCCAUCAAUAUAGUUAAAUAUUGAUAGGAAAUUUCAUAUGUUUUUUUUAAUACAAUGUUCCUUUUUAGGGGUAAAAAUAUAAAACUUGGGAUAUUUUAAAUUAUUUAAAACUCAGUAUUGUUGGUAGGUUUAAAAACAUUUCUAAAGUGUAGAAUGAACAAACAUAUAAAUGAAUUUGCGAUAUGUGAUACCAAAAUACAACGUGUAGUAAAAUGGACAACAAUUUGUGUCCCGAAAUUGUACCAAAAACAUAAAAUUUCAUGAAGAAUGUUACUAACAAAAUUAUAUAUUUUGGAUAUGAAAGGGGGAGGUCAAAUAAAGGUUUUUUUAUAUAAAAAAAAAUACAUAAAUUAGAUGUGAUGUGAAAGUUUAUGUUGAUAAUUAAUUAGCCUACUUUCCAUCAUUAUUGAGUUAACAUAAUGAAAGGGGACAGAAAGAAAUGAAACCAAAACAUGAAUUUUGGAUGAAUCAAAAUCAAAGAUUACAAUCAAAAGAAAUAUGAUUGACUUAAUUUUGUUUGAAAAAAAUAGUAAACAUAUAAUAAGUUUUUGAUCCAAUUCAAUGAACCUUAAAAAUGAAAGUGGAGAGAAUGAUUGAAGAAAAAUAGAAGAUUUUGCACAGUAAUGCACAAAAAGAGGAAACUUGGGAGAAAUAAUUAGAAAUCAUUUACCAUUUUCAUAUGAUCCCCACUAACCAAUGUUAAAUGAUCAUCAUGUAUGGUUUGAACAGAAGGUUUUAUUUAAAAUGGGUGAGUGUUUAAAUCAACUUAAUUAAUCCCCAAAUAUAUUAAAGGUUAAGCCUGAAGAAAUACAACUUUUUAAAAUCAUCCCACACCAACAUAAAACAUAAUUUGAUGAUACUCAAGUUCGAGUUUGAGCUAUCUGUUUAAAUUCUUACUGUCACACAACAAAUAACCUUUAUUCUUAUAACAACACAUGUUUAUAAUUUGUAAUUAUUUUUGCUUAUUCAAGUCAAUAAGCAGGUUAGAGUAAAAAGGAAAAAGAAAUCAAAGAAAUAUAAAUCAAUAGUUAACUUGUGGUUUUCUAAAUCCAAUUUGCAAAAGUCUUAAUAAAUGUGAUUAAUUUGUGCAUAUCAAAUCAAUUCAACACUGCAUGUGUUAAAAAAAAACAAUUAAAAACAAGAAAACCAUAAUAAUCAUUUGAAAAAUAUGUGAGAAAGAUGCAUGAAUUUAUGUCACAGUGCAAGAACAAGAAACCCCAGUAUAUACAAUAAUUAAGAGUAAGUACUUUAUGUAAUAUAUGGCUAUGAGAAUUAGAAUAAAACCUGGAUUUUGCAACUGCCUUUUACUAACAAAAGCUUUUCCUCAUCACCAUAUUCUUCAAUGGGGGAAUACAGAGUUUGCCCUAAAUUAAAAAAGUGGUGGGAGGAAGAAGAUAAGGGGAAGAAAGCAGUAAAGGAAAAGGAGUGGGAGGGGGUAGGUUUUAAAUAAUGAAAAGUGAAGGGGGUUGUUUGAAAAAAUUGAAAGAAAAAAAGGACAUGGAAAUUAAUUAGAAAAGAAGAGAGAUAGAGAGGGUUAUUGGUAACUGUAGAAUUGUGUAUAGGGUGCGUCAGUGUAAUAUCUAAGAUUGAUGGGUUUGCGUGAUUUCGUUUCUCUCCUUAAUUUGUUCCUUUCACCACUUUGCAUGGAUCAUAUCAACUCUACCCUAGAGUUCUAUAUGGCUUUGAUUUCCAACUUCCCAUCUCUUGACUGAGACUGGAUGGUCUUCAAAUAUGUAGAGAGUGAUUUUGUUCGUAUAUUUCCAUUAAGUUAAUCUGAUUACUGUGGACUUUCUAUCAAGAAAUCUGGAUGUGUAUAGAGUAAACCUAAUUUGGAUGUGUGUGGGGGAUUAAAAAAAGGUUGAAUAUUCAGUACAAGGAUUGUAUUUCAUGUUUUCAAAAUACAUGUGAUCGAUAAUAGAUUUGAAAAGUUGGAUUUUAGUUUAAACAAUUGUUUGAAAUGUAUACAUGUUUGAACUCAAAUAUUCAUGUACACAUCUCAAGCAUCCUCCAUAUUUAGUGCAUAUCACUAAAUUGUUCAUUUAUAUGUAUAGUUUGUCACGUGUUAAUUUAAUCUUUGUUUCCUUUUUAAAUAUUUUUUUUGUAUGAAUAAUAUAAGAUGGUAAAUCAUAGAGAUGAGUGCUUCGAGUAUUAUAAAAAAAAAUUAAACUUAGCCUACAACACGAGAUAUUGUGUUUCUUAAUCGCGUUUAUCUUAUUAUAAUCUAGUUUUACAUUAUAAAAUCUUAAAUUCAAAAUAUAUACACAUUCAAAAUUCAUAAAAAGGGUGUGUUUUAAUAACACAAAUGUAAUCAAAAUUAUGCAAAAUCAUGAUGGAAGACACAACAAAGAUGAAAUCAUGAAAGGUGGACAAAUAAGUUAGAUUGUUGAACAAAUUAUGUUUAAUUAAUAUUAUAAUUGAAGCUUAUAACAUUCAAUCAAAAACAUAAAAUUUGAAUUAUAUUACACCUCAUAUUCUAUAACAGUCCAAUACAACCAACAUUGGCCAGAAAUGUUUUCAAAUUUUAGACUUUGAAUUACAAACUUCAAAAAUACCAAACACACCUUCCACAAUCAACGUAGUGAAAAUUGAAAACAUAAUUAAAAUAAUUUGUUGUUGUUGUUAAAUUUUAGAAUUUUGCUGUAUUAAUUAUUGUGGAAAAAAUGUAGAGCAUUGGUGAGUGGGGGCCAGGGAGAGCCAACAAAAGUCCAAGUAGCCAACAGACUAGAGAGGGUCUGGGCCGGCAACCCUAUGUUCCCAUUCCCCAUCAUUAUAUUAUAUUAGCCCACUGUUCCCUUUUCUCCCCCCCAAAAAUGACCCCUUCUAUUAGCCAUACCCACCCAACUCAUCACUCCCAUUUUCUACUUUUCUUUCUUUAGAAGAUUUGAAAGAUUACAUUGUCACCAUGUUAACGUACAUUGCAAGUUCAAUAGAUUUUGAUUGUUACGGGUAGAGUUGUAAUAGAUUUGUUUAGAGUUUAAAUAUUUUAAGAUUAAGUUAUAAUAGUUUAAGAGUGUUUGAUGAAUAUACUAUUUUAGUUUAAAUUAUAACAAUAUGGAUUUAAGAUGUAAUUUAUUUUAGGUUGAGAGAUAAAUGUCAAUAAAAGUAUUACAAGUAUUUAUUAUAGCUAAUUGAGAAUUUUUAAAUCACUAAUUGUGUUAGAUGGGCGAUUCAAUUUACUUGAUUGAAGAAAAAAUUGAAAAGAAAAGAAAAGAAGGGAAGAGGUUGUUUGAGCCGGGAGUGUACUUCCAAACGCGCGAGUAGUCUCAGUUUCCCGCCACUACCAAUCGGCACUCAACCGAAUGUAAAACCCAUCGCCAAGCUUUUCAGGUUCCAACUUCCAAGGGUUUUUCUCAUCAAAGGAGAAAGGAAAAACAAAAGACAGAAAACGGGAAGAAAAGCCAUAAUCGUAAGCUUCAAAACGAAUGGGUGACAACGUUGAUGAGCAAACCAAGCUUCCCGAGCUCAAACUUGGUAGACUCUACAAAAUCAUAAUUUUUCUUGUUCUGUUUCUCUAUUUGCACAUUGGGUUUUCCAGUUUUUUUUUUUUAAUCCAUUUGGUUGAAAACGAUGACAGAUGCUAAGCAGGCUCAAGGGUUUCUCGCAUUCUUCAAAACCCUACCCCCUGUAAGUUCAUUUUGCAAGUUGGUUUCGCACUAUCAGGGCUGAAAUUGGUGUGAUUUGUUGUUGUUACUGGACUUAAGUUCCUAGCGAUAUGGGAUAGAAGGACAUUAACUAGAUGCUUGAUUAAUCAUACUAGAACAAGCUUAUUCUUGUAAUAUUUCGGACUGUCAGAAUUAUUUAGAAACUCAUUUAGCUCAGGCAAUACAAUGUAAUUUAUUUUAAUUUCAUUUUUGUGCUGCAGGACUCCAGAGCUGUUCGAUUUUUUGAUCGUCGGGUUAGUUAUUCAAUCUUCAUUUGUUAACUUUGUUCGUAGGCUAUCACUUGGUGUUAUGUGAAUGAAAGAUAUUCGGUCGGCUUUUCUUUAUGAUUGUCACCUAUGUGAAGCAAUUUGCGUAUUAUCAAACUGAAAUGUCAUUUCUUCGUAUAUGUCCGUAAGAAGCUGGAAUUGGAUAUGUUUUCACGUACAAAACACAUGCAUAUGUUAUUUAUCAUAUUCUAUUUUUUCUGGUGGGAUGAGAUGAAGAGGCUCUUUCAUUUUAGUUUCCAAUUAAUCAGUAUUCUUGAUUUAAAAUAAUACCUAUGUGGAAUAGAUUCCGGGAUUGAUAGUUUUAUAGAAGUAAGAUUUUACACUUAUUUGGCUAUCUUGAGUUUCAUCAGAUUCUCUCAUUUCUAAGGAUUGUAGUCUUUUAGCACAAGAAAACAGUAUCCUUUUUGUUUAAGAAAUAAUGAUCAUACAGGAUUACUAUACCGCCCAUAGCGAUAAUGCAGUUUUCAUUGCAAAGACCUAUUACCGUACUACGACUGCUUUACGGCAACUGGGCAAUGCAUCUGAAGCCCUGUCUAGUGUGAGUGUCAGCAAAAAUAUGUUUGAAUCCAUUGCUCGAGAUCUUCUUUUGGAAAGAACGGACCAUACACUAGAGCUUUACGAGGGUAGUGGUUCGAAUUGGAGAUUGAUCAAAAGUGGAUCACCUGGCAAUAUUGGCAGUUUUGAAGAUGUUUUGUUUGCAAAUAAUGAAAUGCAGGAUAGUCCUGCUAUCGUGGCACUGUUUCCAUACUUCCGAGAUAAUGGGUGCAUUGUUGGACUAGGCUAUGUUGAUUUAACGAAAAGAGUGAUGGGAAUGGCUGAAUUUAUCGACGAUAGUCAUUUUACAAAUGUGGAGUCAGCUCUGGUUGGUAUUGGUUGUAAGGAAUGCCUUCUGCCUCUAGAAAGUGGAAAAUCUGGUGAUAUAAAACCUUUACAUGAUGUAUUGACGAAGUGCGGUGUGAUGCUAACUGAGAGGAAGAAGUCAGAAUUUAAAAUGAGAGACUUGGUGCAGGAUCUUUCGAGGCUCAUCAAAGGUUCUGUUGAACCUGUUCGAGAUUUGGUAUCUGGUUUUGAAUUUGCACCUGCUGCCUUAGGAGCACUGCUGGCGUAUGCAGAAUUACUAGCAGACGAAAGCAAUUAUGGAAACUAUAACAUCCAGAAGUACAAUCUUGAUAGCUACAUGAGGCUAGACUCUGCUGCCAUUAGAGCAUUAAACGUCCUAGAGAGCAAAACCGAUGCAAACAAAAACUUCAGUUUGUUUGGUCUUAUGAAUAGAACCUGUACUGCUGGAAUGGGUAAAAGAUUGCUGCAUAUGUGGUUAAAACAGCCUCUGUUAGAUGUCAAAGAAAUUAGUUCCAGACUGGAUCUUGUUCAGGCAUUUGUGGAGGACACUGCUCUCUGCCAAGAUUUGAGACAGCAUCUCAAACGAAUCUCAGAUAUUGAACGAUUGACGCAUUAUCUUGAGAAGAGAAGAGCUGGAUUACAGCAUAUUGUUAAACUUUAUCAGGUAUAAGUUUAAAUGAGCUGCUGAAAUUCGUUUUAAUUGAAACGAUUCUUAAUGAAUGGUUUGGAUAAUGACUAACGACAUGCUAAUUGAAUACUGAUGCACUGAUAUCUGUAAAUGUACCCCUUUAGCUAAACUAUUUACAUUUUUUUCUACUUUAUUAUAAAGAAGUAAAAUAGACAAGUAAAGACGGAGAAUGUUUAUACAAUAUUUGAAGGUUGUAUACAGUUAUGUAAAAGCAAAAAAAAAUGAUUGUCUUCUCUUCUUUUUUGACACUGGGUUUCCAUAUAUAAAUAUAAUAUAUAUAUCUUGGCACUGGGUAAUCAAGGUUCUUGUACUAUCAUGAAUAAAUUGCUACCGGGGACUUGGUUUUCAUUGCAAGAUUUAUGUUUUUGUGAUAAGUGGUAUUUUAUGUCCUUAUUACUAUGAUAUUUAAACUUUCAUUUUUAUAAUGCAGUCAAGUAUAAGGCUUCCAUUCAUUAAAAAUGCCUUGGAGAACUACGAAGGACAAUUUUCCUCAUUGAUCAAGGAAAAGUACUUGGAAUUUCUAGAGACCUGUACUGACAACGAUCACCUGAACAAGUUCAAUAAUCUCGUGGAAACUGCUGUUGAUCUUGAUCAGCUUGAGAAUGGAGAAUAUAUGAUUGCAUCCAGUUAUGAUGAUACUCUUUCCAAAUUGAAGAAUGUGCAAGAAUCAAUAGAGCAGCAAAUACAGGACUUGCAUAGGCAAGUUGCUAAUGAUCUUGAUCUUCCAGUUGACAAGGCUUUGAAGUUAGACAAAGGUACCCAAUUUGGACACGUUUUUAGAAUUACUAAGAAAGAAGAACCAAAAGUAAGAAAAAAGCUCUCCACCCACUUCAUUGUUCUUGAAACCCGAAAAGAUGGAGUGAAGUUUACAAAUACCAAACUUAAAAAGUUAGGUGACCAGUAUCAGAAAAUCGUCGAGGAGUACAAAAGUUGCCAGAAAGAUUUGGUUCAUCGAGUAAUUGAAACUGCUUCAUCCUUCAAUGAGGUGGAUUUUCUGUCUAUAAUGUAUCUGUUGUUCAUUAAUCAUUAGCACUUUAAUUGGACUUAAAGAACUUUGUGUAUUUGUAGGUAUUCAGACCUUUGGCAGAGUUGCUCUCUGAAUUGGAUGUUUUACUUGGUUUUGCUGAUUUAGCUUCUAGCUGUCCCACUCCUUAUACUAGACCUGACAUCACUUCAUCGGUAUUCCUUUUUUACCGUUGGUUAUCUUAAGCCUCAAUAGAUAAUGUAUCUCAAUUAAAAAUUGCAAUUGCUGAAAAAUUAACUUGUUUGUGGCCAUCUGCAACAGAAUGAGGGAAAUAUUAUAUUGGAAGGAAGUAGGCAUCCUUGUGUGGAGGCUCAAGACUGGGUUAAUUUCAUACCAAAUGAUUGUAAACUAGUGAGUAGCUUGUUUGGAUAAUCAAGAAUAAGUUAAUUCUAAUUUCAUUUGUUGUUAUUAUGUUUUAGAUGUGAAAUAUCUAAUUACUCUAAACUCUUCUUUCUCUCGUAAAUAGGUAAGGGGUAAAAGUUGGUUCCAGAUCAUUACUGGGCCUAACAUGGGUGGAAAAUCUACAUUUAUCCGGCAGGUGCUAUGUUGAUUACAUUUACACCAUUAUUUUAUUUUAAAAUAUUUGAAGUAUCACAGGUGCUUGAUAUUAGCUUGCUGUUAUUGUUACCCCAUGCAUUCACUCUGAAUAAUGGAACUACUUUUUGGCGUCCAUAAACCAUCUGAACCAGUUCAAUUGUGUUUGUAGGUAGGAGUGAACAUUCUAAUGGCACAAGUAGGUUGCUUUGUUCCCUGUGACAAAGCUAGCAUUUCUGUUCGUGACUGCAUUUUUGCUCGCGUAGGUGCAGGUGACUGUCAGGUGAGUUGUCAAAACACACUCGUUUCUUUUGUAAUAUCCCUUCACUAAAUACUACAUUUCCAUCAAACAUUAGAUCAACGUUUCCGUAAACAUAUUAUGGUUACUUUCCAAUAAGGAGUCAAAGGAGAUUGGUUCUCAGUGCAUCUUUCACUUCACUGGAGAGCUUUCUUCGUGCUAGAACACUGAUUAGAACUAAUGCCUAGUUUCUUACAUCUAUCCGUAUGGACAAGAGGGGGAAGAAGAUUCACUGGCUUUCCUAAACUUUUCAUCAAUCUGUGAUAUGUUUUCCAUAUCAUCAAAUGAUCGUUUUCCUUUUUGUUGCAAUCUUAUUUCUGUCUAAUUCACAUGUUUCAUCAACUAAUCAAAACUCGUUCUACAUAUAAAAAGAAGAAGAAGAAAUUGUAUCUUUACAAUCAACUUUGUAAUUGAUGGGGAACCAUUUUCAGUCUUUUUCUGUUGAAGCAUUUGCUUGACAGAAAAUUAUAUUUUACCGGUUUCCUUUGUUCCGGAACUCUAAGAAUGUUUAAUUUACCAUUCUAGCUUCGUGGAGUUUCUACCUUUAUGCAAGAGAUGCUUGAAACUGCAUCUAUACUGAAGGGAGCUACAGAGAAAUCUUUGAUAAUCAUUGAUGAAUUGGGCCGUGGGACAUCCACUUAUGAUGGAUUUGGUUUGUUUCAUUCUUGACUCUUUAACUUCAUCCUGAUAUGUUUGCAUUAUAGAGUUCCCAUUGGUUAUGGCACAAGCUUCACGCGCAUCCUUAAUUCUUAUUGCUUGUCCCCUUUUUGAAGAAUAUCCAAAUGAGUUGUUAAUGUUUAUGGCUGGAAACUCUAUUAAAAAGCAGACUGACCAAGUCUCCGACGUUCCUUGAACUUUUUAUAUAUGAUGCUAAUGAUUGUUUUUGUUCGAAUUAAUUAAAGCAUGUUGUUGAAGAACUUAAGGAGAUCAGUUUAUACAAUAAUCUUCCUUUCACCUAUUCGGCUUCACUGCUGAAAAUUGUAGUACAGUUUAAAUGGGACUCUUUAUAGUGUGCUGAUUUUCACUUAGGAACAUUAAUCCCUUUCUAUCUUUACUUAACCUGCUGAAAAUUUCAAGACAUCUUGAAUGAUACUUUCUUAUUACACGACGAUCAACACCUAAAAUUUUGAUGCUUGGAGCACGCAAGGCACUGCCUUGUUUCCUGGUUGUAAACGAAAUAGUUGGAUUUUAUUUAAAUAACUCUGUAUUGAAUCUUAUAAUCAGGUCUAGCAUGGGCCAUUUGUGAACAUCUUGUUGAAGUGAUUAAAGCACCCACUUUGUUUGCAACCCACUUCCAUGAACUUACUGCACUAGCUCAUGGGAAUACUGAUCUUGAUUCCCAUGGAAAGCAAAUGGCUGGUGUGGCAAAUUUUCAUGUCAGUGCACACAUAGACUCAUCAAAUCACAAGUUGACAAUGCUAUACAAGGUAGAUGUUUGCUUGGAAUAUCUCUUUUUCUUGUAUUCUAUAUUCUUUUCUCUGUCUGACUCCUAAAGUAGAUGGGUUGACCAAGGACAUGAUAAGUUCGGAAUGCUUACUUUUUUACUGUUUCUUUUGGAUUCUGUAUUUUGGUCGAAAGAUUUGUGAAAAACAGGUUAGUAUAACCAUGUAGUUUGAAAGACACUACAGAAGGGCAUUGGGGGUGUCAUUUGAAUAAAUUCUGUUGGAUUAAUAUUAACCUGUACGGUAUCUGUAAUAUGUUGAUCUGGAGUCAUUGGAUCAAUGGGAGUGAAAGUAAAGCUAGAGCCUAGAGUCCUGUUGUCGACAUGUUCUUGAGCCUUUACUAGCAAAGGAGGAUACCAAAGUCAUUUUCUAAAACAUAUUCUUAGAAUAGCGUGGAACUACAACUUGUGAGUUUACCUUUGGUAUUUUACCUAUGAUUUCUUUUACCGGUCUUAGUUAAAAUUGGAUACUGCAAGUUCAUUGUUUUGCCCCAAUUACUUGGUGUUGUAAGUUCUUUUAUGUUACUGAGCUUCGUUUUUCUGUCUUGUGCAGGUUGAACCUGGAGCAUGUGAUCAAAGCUUUGGGAUUCAUGUAGCAGAAUUUGCAAACUUUCCUUCUAGUGUCGUGGCACUUGCCAGAGAAAAGGCUGCUGAACUGGAAGAUUUCUCCAUUGAUACAACUGCUUCAACCACUAAUGGGAAAGAGGUAUACAAUCUUUAGUCUUACAUUUUCGAACUAAAACAAUUGAUUCCAUCCUUAUUCUUUAUCUACUACAGUUCAUGGGAGAAUGAUUCAGAAAUUCAAAUAAGAACAACAUAGCUUACCUUCUUUGUCUAUUAUGUCACGUGUUUUUAUUUCUUUUCAAAAUUCUUGUUACACCCUGCUAAAAGGAUGGAUGUAGUUUUUAAUUUUUACAAACCUUAAGGCUGAAAAAGACAUCAACAAGCUUUGAGACCUAGACUGCUAUUUCUCCAGAAUUCAAUUGGAAUGAAGCUCCUCUCUUACCAAAUAAACUGAAUGCUCAUAUUUGAUUUGUCUGCGCUGAUUCUCUCUUUUUCUUUUUAAAUUCAACAACAUAUCGAAUGGAAGAUUUGAAGCUCCAACUUUUUUAAGCAAGGGUAGAUACUUGAAUCAAUUCAGCUAUGCUCAAAUUGGCUUACUGUUUCUUUUUUCCUUCUUUUGCUCUAAUAGAUGUAUGAGUGCAUGCACAUACACGUGCAUAAAGACACUCAUAUCAUGUUUUAUAUGUCAUUGCUCAUCAUUAUAUUACCAAUUGGAUUUGAAUACACAUUAUAUACACAGAUACCAUUAAAGAGAAAACGUGAGUUCAGUUCAGAUGACAUGUCCAAAGGCGUAGAACGGGCUCGCCAGUUCCUAGAGGAGUUUUCUAAUCUGCCCUUGGAUAAGAUGGAUCUGAAGGAAGCUCUACAACAAGUGAGUCAAUUGCGAGAUGGUUUGAAGAAGGAUGCCGUGGACUCUAAUUGGCUCCAACAAUUCCUUUGAGGUAUCAUUCUUGCCUUGUGGCCUUUGUACAGCUUUUGUUAAGGCGUAAAAGGAGAUGAUUUUGAGUGUCUUUUCCCUCACAAUUUUGGAUGUACAUAACCCCCCAAAUACACUUGCUAGCUUCAUUUUUGGGUAUCUUCCCUCACAAUUUUGGUUCUUUUGUGGAGAGGGGAAAGGCUAAUUAUGUAUCAAAGCCCUGGAGAAUAUCGAAUCUGUGGACUAGUUAAAUCUUAUAUCAGGUGCCUGAUUAUCAUGCUUUCAUAUGUUCAUUGAAAUAGUUUAUUUGGGUGUAUUUAUCGUGGUGCAUUUCCUCGUUUUUUUAAUCACAACUGCAGAGUGGAGGGUUGUACUUUUCACCUCUAGUAAUAUAGUUUAUGCCAAUAUCACUCGUCAAUUACAUUUUUACUAUUUUGAAUAUUAAAAUCGAUCCAGUUUGGGUUUGGUAUAUUUCUAAAUUGAACUGCUAACCCAAAUUGAACCAUUCAGGUAAAGUCAAAUAAGGUUAUGACAUUUAUCUAUGGAUUGAGCUACGUACUUUGAACUAAAAUAAAUAUAAUUGUUUCAAUUGUGUUUAGCAUUCUCAGUUUAAGAUUUUCAAUAAUAUGAAUAGAAGAAUAAUAAGAAUUUACACAAUGAUAAGUUAUACAUUAAUUUAGAAUAGAAGUAACCUGUUUUGUCAGUUAAAUUAUUGUUGUUUUUUCUUUAAAUUUUUAACAAAUAAGUACAAAAUAACCACACACAUCAAGUAUUAUCCAUCCCUCGUUUUUAGGUGGAUCAAUUUUCUUACAUUUUGAGAGAAAUAUCAUGUUAGUUACCAUUGAACUAAGUUUAUUUGGAAUAUUUUCCUCUUUUAAACUUUAUUCUUUAUCCAUGUUAGUUACCAUUGAACUAAGUUUAUUUGGAAUAUUUUCCUCUUUUAAACUUUAUUCUUUAUCCACCAAACGAUUUGAUUGAAAAUUGAUUACUAAACUUCACAGGGAAUCUAUCAAAUCAAACAUCUUUUGAAUUUCAAUUUCCAUCAAAAUCACAUUCAAAGAAAGCCCUUAGUGCUUACAAAAAGCCUUAUCCACCCAUUGUGGAAUAAAUAUCAGUUUCAAAAAGCCAAAAAUAUCACACCAAUUAAUUUAUAGAAAAGGAAUUGAACAAAACUAUAUCUAUUCAUAUCUGACCCCCCCAAAAAAAAAAAAUCUAAUAAUACUUUAUUUCAAUCUUUUCAAAAAGUAAAAAUAGACUCGUCACCAUGUAAAUUAAUCCAAAUAUCUUUAUUUUUAUUUUUAUUGAAAAGAAUCAAAAUUUAUUUGUUUUCAUAAACAUAUAAACACAAUCAUAGAAUAAUAUAUUAACAUGUCAUGUCACUUAAAGAAUCAUAUCAUAUUAGUUGUAAAUAAAAACAAGCUAACUAUUGAUAUUUGGUGUAAAUAAAAUUAUGAUAAUGAUAGAAAUGAUAAUUUUAUCAUGCCAGUCCUUGUUUGAAUUUAUGAUAAAACUCAUUAUCCUAUAUAGGAUAUUUAUCAAUACUUCCAAUAUAAAAAGUAUACAUUACAUUUGUAAUAAUGAGAAUGACGUGUAUAGGACCAUUUGAAUAUCUUAAGUACAGUUGUAUUUGUAUUUUUAAUCUUUAUGAUUAGUAUUAAUCCAUUAUGAUCUUAAAGUAUUGGCGCUCCACGUGUCCUUUAGGUACAACCUGUCUCCAUUAUUUGGCUAUUGGAGCCUUCUCCAAUUAGCCUCAACCAUUCAUCACAUCUCAUUAAAAGCUAUGCUUAGAAUUGAUUUUUUUAAACGUGGAUUUAAAAGUGAUUAUGUUUAAAUUUUUGGUUUCUAGAUUUUGAUGGGAAUUAAUAAUAAUAAAAUUAAUUUAAAAUUAGGGUCAAUUACAAAAAUAGUUUUGUUUUAAAUGUGUUUGAUAGUAGGUUUAUAAUCAUAAAAUUUGGUGUAGUUAUCUAUUGAAUGUUAGUCGACGAAAAAUAAUGUUAUUAAUUUAUGUAUAAACAUAUUUUAUGUUAGAAUAAUUAAAUAAUUUGUAUAGCUAUAAUUUUGUAAUAUUAUAUAGUUUAUAGUCUUUUGUAUUGUAAAUAUUAAAAAAAUAGGUUUCUAUAUUCUGUAUUUGUAUUUGUAUUUUAAAAUUUAAAAUUCAUCAUCUUUAUGCCAUAAAAACACCACAACACCACAAAGUUACUUUUGGAAUUUUGCAUUUUUGUCAUCACAAAAUCCAAAAGUAAAAAUAAAUAGUUUUCCAAAUCAAAAUUCAAAUUUGUCGAAUAUAAUAUUUGAAUUUCACAACAUAAAGCAUUAUUCAAAUUGAGAAUCUAUUUUCUUCAAAUUUGCCCAAUCAAUUAUGUUAAUUACAAAGCUACAAAAAAUAUAAAUUAAUUUAAAAGAAAGAAAAACAAAAUUUGGAAUAAUGUAACAUGAAGAUAGCGAUGUUAACAAAGUUUAUAAAUUGGUGCCUACUGCCUAUGGUUAUUGAUAUAGGGGUGUAAUAUAAAAAAAUGAUAUCGAACUUGUUGGCUGUUGGAGGUUUAUUAAAAUAUAUGGUUAGUUCCAUUUAAUGACACCCUUCGGUUGAGAGAAUGUCUAACAACUAUUGCCACCAUUUUUUAAACCUCGUUUUAAAAUAAAGUAUACAACAUUAAAUAUUGAAAAUGAUGGGUCUUUAUUCAACUCAACUUGACUCAAUUACCCCCAAUUCUUCCUCCAAAUUACAUCUCUAAUUAAAAAAAAGAUCAAAAGUUUUGAAUUUAAUUUUUGAUUUAGUCUAUGUUUUUUUUAUGUUAGUGAGUAUUUUCUUUUUUAAUUAAAAAUUAAUUAUGAAGUGAAAUUUAAGGUUAUGGUUGUAACCAUAGUUAAAUAAAAAUAAAUAAAUCGUCUCUAUAUAUAUAUACAAUUAAUUGAAACUUUGGAAUUGUGGGAUGGUUUAGACAUAGUUAUCAUUAGCUAUUUGUUUUUAGACUUUAGCAUUGGUGAUUGAUGGGAGUAUAUGGUGGUAGGGACAGAAAUGCAUAACCCGCAGGUAAUUUUAGGAAAGAAAAAUGAUGAUAUUGGGCACUCACUUUCUAUUUUUUAUAAUUCCACUCAACUUGGAAAUUAAGCUUUCGUACUUCUACGCUUAUUUCCAAUAAUAAUAAUAAAUAAAUAAAAAUAAGAACUUUCAUUUUUAUUUAUUUAUUUAUUUAUUUAUUUAUUAUUAUUAUUAUCAUUUUUUCCUUUUGUUUUUCUCAUGCAUGUGGGUCCCAUCCUUUCUCACAUCAAAUAUUUUCAACUUUCAUCAAUUCUUAAUUUCAAUAGUUAUACUAAACAUUAACUAUAUAGUUUCAACUAAGAAACAAAAAUUCAAAAUUUCAUGAUAAACUAUAUAGAUUAAGUUUAAGAUUUAUUAAAAUUUGGACAUUUGUUAAAAUAUUUUUAAAAUGUUAACGUUGAUGAGAAUGUUAAAAUGUUGAUUGAAGGUAUACGAUGAUGGAUGUUUAUGAAAAAAAUUAUAAAAGCAACAACAUUUUAAUUAGUAAAUUUAAAUUUAGGGUUUAGGGUUUAUGUUAUAUUCAUGAUAUGUUGUUGAACUUCUUUAUCAUACGGUGAAAUUGUUUAUUUCUUUGUUAAACUUAUAUAUGUGAAGUGGAGCUAACACCACGUGGAUGGAAUAUCUCUUACACGUAUUAGCUUUAUAUAUCAAGACUAGGCUUAGGAUAAACAUGUCAAAGGUCAAGCCUAAUUAAUUAACACUCACAUAGAAACUCAAUGUAGAUGAGAUUCGUAAUUUGAGCGAUAAGAAAAAUGAUAUAUUUUAGUCAAAACAAUGCAUAACCAAAACGAACAUCUAUCAAACCAAUGUGAACAAACAUUUUUAAAUGUAUAUAAAUACAAUUAAGCAUAACAAAAUGAAUAAAAAUAUUUAUAGAUAUAAUGAAAUUUAUUUUGAUAUGUAUUUUUUGUGUUGCAAUAGACGAUUUAGAUUUAUUUUAGAGUAGAUUAUAAUAUUUUACUAUAAUUACAAAUAUUUCUAACAAUUUUGUAGGCUUGAAUUUAGAGAAAAAAGUAUUUACAAUAACAUUGACUUGGUUUAUAUAAAUUGAUAAUUUGACUUUUAGUCUAAUUAUAAAUUGGGUUAGUUUGAAAUUUUGUUUUCUUAAUAACAAUGAAUACAAAUUAGAAAUGGUUGGAUAACUUAUUUAUAAAGGAAAGGAUUAGUUUAUUCAACAUAUUUAUACCUUUUGGAAUCUUUUGAAAUAUAAAUUUCAUUAAUUCUGAAUUACUCUAUAAAUCCAUCUCUUAAAUGAAUUGAUAUAUAUAUAUAUAAAGUUUAGUUGGAUAGUUUAUUUUAUUUUAGUUUUAUUUGCCAAUCCUAUAUAAAAAUUAUAUAUAAGAUGCCAAUAUUAUAAUUUUCAAUAUUAAUAGUCACCCUCUCCACAUUUUAAUGUAAAUGGUUUGAUUUCUUUUAAACAAAUUAAUUUAGUGGUUUUUUCUUAAUAAUCGUAUUAAUUUUUCCUAAUAUUGUAUGCUCGAAUAUAUAUAUAUAUAAUAAUAAUAAUACUAAAUAACUUAAAUCCAAUAUUUCUUUUAUAACUUUAAGUGACACGUAUCUUGAGCAUAAACAAGAAAAAAAACGAGAAAGAGAGUUGGGUUCAUUGUUGACUAUAUAAAAUAUGACUUGUCUUGAAGAACUACUCUAUUCAUGAGAUAAUUAAAUUGCGUUGUCUACACCUAAUAAUUAGGUAGGUCAUUCGAUUAUUUAUUGGCGAUAUCGUAAUUUACGUAAUUAUGUCAUGUAUUAUUAAGAUUAGUAUUAUAAUUGUACGUAAUAAGUGCGUGAGAGGAGUUAUGACAGUAGAUUGGGAAUUAAAUCCAUAUAACAACCCUAAUUUUUUUUCUAAUCUAAAAUAUCUCGAUGAGCAAAUUCAAAUUUAAUUAGAAGCACCAUUGUUUUAUGAUGACAUAAUACAUCCAUAUAUAUAUAUAUAUUCAAUGGAUCAAUAAUGAUAGACAGAAGACUUCUUAUGAUUAUACAAACCAAAAUUUGAACAAAAACAAUUAUAGGAAGAAAGAUUCUUUAGACAUAAUUUGCAAGCCACUCCUAAAUUAUAUAUAUAUUUGGAGCCAACUCUUGAAGCAAACUACUGACUUAUUAUUCCUCUAAUUUUUAAAUUCAAAAUUUUGUUUCAUUGUUUAAAAUAAAACUAGAUCAAAACAAUAUACUUUAACAAUUUAUGAAUAAAAUAAAUCUAUUUUAAAAGACGUGAGAAUGAAGACAACAGACAACGUGUUUUGAAGACACGUGCCUUCAUGAACGUAGCCCAUUUAUUCUUUCAAAUUAUAAGAUUAAAAAUGUAAUUUUUAUAGUAACCUUAGGUACGUUAGAUAUCGAUAUUAAGAGUUAAUCAAUAUUUUUUUAAAAAUAAAUCUAUCAAGUAUCUUUAACCUAUCAUAUAAAUUUAAGAAUGUAAUUACUAGUAAUAGUAAAAUUUAUAACUUGUUAAAACACUAAACAUAACUUAUUAAAGUCAAAGAUACACGAGUAAUUUCCUUGUACUUGCUAUCGAUUUUUAGGUCAAAGUUUUAAUUUUUCUAUCCAAAUAUCGUUAAGAAAAUACACCGUUAUUCGUGGAUAGGGACGACAAUUCCACAAUUAGAAAUACAAAUAUAUACCAACAUUAUCCAAAAUAUCUCAUAUAGGGAUUGGGAUCUUUUUGUAUAUGUAUAUGACAAAAAUCUUUUCCCCUCUAAGCUAACAUUGUUGAUGUAGAGCUUUAAUUUAAGAAUUUAAAAAUAUAUAUAUCCAUUGAUGUCAAAUAUAUUAUUUCUUUAUAUAGAAAGAAAUUAAACAAAAAGGAAAAAAAAAGAGGAAACAUGAAUUAGGAUAUUUGUAAAGAAAAGAAAAGUGAGAGCCACCUUUGCCCCUCCUUUAGUGGCUCCAAUAUAUGUGAUUUUUAUGUACAUUCUCAUAUGGUUUUGUCUCCACACAUUUGGCUAAAGAAAGAAAAAUAUUGUAUGAAAUUUUUUUUAGAAAUAGUAUAUUUUACCAAAUAUUUUAAUUUAUUUUACUAUUUUUAACCUUCACUUUUAUCCCAAAAUCUUUAUAAUUAGUUUUUAACCGUUUAUUUACUAAACUUCUAGUUAUAUAACAAUUUAAUAUUUAGUAUGUGAAAAUUUAAGAGAGGUUUUCUUAAUAAGUAGACUAUUGAGAGGUUGAUAGUUUUAUAAAAUACAAUGUAUACGUCGAAUUUUGUUAAUGUUCGGGUUAAAUUGUUAUAUGUUUGAAAAUACAAGAAUUAAAUUGUCACGUUCAAGAGUUUAGAGACUAAAAUGAUACCGAAUUAAAAAUACUCGGACUAAGUCAUUAUAAGCUAAAAUUUAUGAACUAAAUUGUUACUUUUUCCGACUUUUAUGGACGAAAACUGCUAUUAUUAUUAUUUUUUUUUUUUGAAAAAGGACAUUAACGUUUAGUACUUGAAAGGUUAGAAAUUAUUAUUGUUUGAGAUGGAGCUGGAGGUACUAUUCCAAAUGAAACUGCCAAAAGUCUCGUGACUCCAAAUUAGUGCACAAAGUAACCAAAAGAAAAGAAUAUAAAACCGCAACCCCUAAUUCACUCACUUGUAAAGAAAUGAUAAUCCUUUGCAUAUCUCAAAAUUUCAUAUGGUAGAUUACAUUUUGAUAUUGUCUUGAAAAAUAUUCAAAUUUUGGUAAGAAUUGAGAAUAAGAGUUGUAAAUGAUUUGAAUAUGCAGAAAAGCUUAAGCUUUCAAGGCAGAGGAAUUGUUUAGAUUUCGAGUCUUCUUCUGUUCAGAUUGAUUGUCGUAUUCAAAAAUUCACCAUACAUACGUGGAGUAAGGCACCAAAAAUGGUGGUUGAGAAACGCGGGUGAGAUUAGAAAAUCCUCCCACCCCUCCUCAGGCGCCCCAAUAACUCUCUCACUACGAGCGCCCAUCGCUUUACCAUUUGCCUCCAUCCAUCCAAUUCCACUUGGUUGGAUAUUUCAAACUUGGGCUCUGCUUUGUGUUUUGCCGUCAAGCUAAAGCAUUUACACUCGCCAGAAGAGAACAUACAGCUUCCAUUAUAAUAUUUGGGUUUCUGUAACAAACACAGAAAAGACUAAAAAAAGAGAAAGAGGGCUUGUUUCCUUUUCCUUUGUCGACGGUGGAAACAAACCCAUAAUCUUCCUUUUUUCUCUUUUUCGUUUUCCUUCUUUCUUUUGUUUAAUUCAUUCCCUUUUCUUACUUUACACCAACUAAUUGCUCAUUGGGGGGGUUGAAACAGAGCUUCCGGUCCUUUUUCUUCUUAUUCUUCGUCUUCAUUGUUUCCGAUUACACCCAGUUUUUUAUUGUUUUGAUUUUCCUUCUUUUUCCUUUCCGGGGUUGUUUUUUUCGAUGGUUUGCAUGAUGGGUUUUUGGGUUUUUGGGUUUUGAAGAACGUUUCUGUUGAAGAGGGGUGGUGGGAUUUUGAGGUAAAGGAAAUUGGGGUGGAGGAGGAGGAAUGACUUGGAGAAGAGUGUUGAAGUCCGUGCAGGCACUUUUGGCCCACGGUUCACUCUUCUGUUUCACGCUCUUGCUCGUUCUCAAGCUCGAUCAUUUCGUCUCCCACAGUUGGUGGUACUUUAUUUACUUAUUUUGUUUUCUUUCCUUUUCUUCGAUCUCUCUGAUGAUUAUAUUUUGUUUUUUUCCUGGGUCUUUAUAUUUUUCAGGUUUCAUUGCGGUUCACUUGAUUUUGGUUUUUAUUUUCUCCCCCUUUCCAUUCCCUCAAUUUUAGAUUAAAAUACCGUGAAGUUGGGGGGGGGGGGGGGGGGGGGGGGGGGGGGGGGUUCAGGUUGAUGGGUUGUUUAUCUACAACGUUGGUUGUUUUCAUUAGGAAGAUGAAUUGCUAAUCGAAUAUUUGGUUUUUAGAGACUGAGGUGAUCGUGAACUCGGCCGAAAGAAUUUUGAAAAUUUGUGGAGAUAGUUUGACUGAAAUUGAGUCCAGAAUGUAGUACCAUGUCUUGUGAUUGUUUUGAAACGGCUCCUCAUUCUCAUCCGAGAGUUCAGUCUUGGGUUUGUACUGUUUCUUUCUUCACUUGAAAUAGAAAGAGAGAAAGAAAGAAAGGAGGUUAAUUGAGGCUCCAUCCCUUCCGCUGCAUAGCUUUACAAGCGGAGGCUACAAGCCACAUACAGGCCCUUUGUCCCAUUCCCAUUUAACCUGUUCGCAUGAUUUCUUUAGUGUAGUUUUUCUUCGACGUCUUGGUAGUGGCUGUAGGCUGCAAUUCUUUCGUUCUAAAAUGGAUACGUUUAAAUGUUAUUGACUGUUGAGUAGUAGUUUUAUGAGAAACCAGAUUUCCCACUUUCUUUCCUUUGAACUUUUACAGUUUUGAUAUACAGGGUUGUAUUUUUUCCACUUUGGGUGUUUCAUGUGGUUGUUGCUCGAGGAAGGUUCUCAUUACCUGCCCCAUCUCUUCCUCAUAAUCGCCAUGUAAGUUACUAAUGGUAAAUAAAUUUUUGUAAAGAUUGGCUCUAUUUUGUGUUUUUUGUUUUGUUUUCUUUUAUACGACAUAAUUUGUAAAUCUGCAAUGUAUUUCUGUUGAACAGUGGGCACCCUGCCAUGCUGUUGUUGCGACACCUUUGCUUAUAGCAUUUGAAUUACUUCUUUGUGUAUACCUCGAGAGCUUAUCUGGUAUGCCAUUAUUAUGGAUGUGUUUUCAUGUGUGGUUAUGUAAUUUUUUGUUUUCUUUAUGCUGUUGGUUUGAAUUAUGGCUCCUUCAAAUGAUUUGUAAUUGUUUAAGAAUGUUGAUGCCUUAUUUCCAGUGCAACACUUGUUGUUCCCGAAUUUUCAGUAUUCAAUGGGCAUUGUUCUGUAUGUUUAUUGAGGCAAUACCAUUUCUGGCAGUUUAUGGUUUCACUGCUGUGAACUUGAAGAUUGUCUUUCUACCGUUGCUGGCAUUUGAAAUCAUUAUUUUAAUCGAUAAUUUCAGGUACUUGCUCAUCAUAGUUUUCACUGCAUUAAAUGUUGCAUAUAUUGAGAUAUUUUGUAUUGUUACUGUGUAUCUUUUGUUGUCUGAUGCUGCAGUCUUUUAUUGAUUCUCUUUGUGGUUUGAAUCCUUCUUGACCUUUGUACAUGUUAGAAUUAUGAUUACCUGAUCCGAACUUUCUUGUGUGGAUUUGACUUUUAACUCAUUAACUCUUUCUCCCCAUAUGUCCGAAUUGAAUGAUUGGCAUGUCUGCUAUUGUGCUGGAUCACAUUUGAACCUUACCAAACUAAUGUUGAUACUUGCUUGGGACCAUUUUGACAAAAUUCACUUCAAGGUUUCUGAAUUUGAACCGAUUAUUUUAAUUAACAGUCUCUUUUUAUAGAAUACUGAAUUUAUCAGUUAUCUUGUAAAUUCUUACAUUCUUCUCAGUGGAGAGCUUGGUUUCUUACCAAACAUAAAUAUAAUAGUUGUGUUUACAACCCAUAACUUCGACUUCCUUCUCAGUGUUGCAUUCUGUUUUUGAUCUGACAAUGUUCUUUUCUAAAUUUUGAAGCUCUUUUCUUACCAAGAUACUCUGAGUUUCUCAGAAGUAUUAUUAGAUUGGAUAGUUGCCUGGUUGAUCAAGUUGGUUCACACAAGAAAAAAAGGUUUUAUGCAUGAAUUGUAUGCAAUUGGCAUUUGAAAAAAUCCUUCUCAAGAAGCUUUUCCACUUUUCCAAUUUGCUUUUAAGAAGUGUGUUUGGAUAUCAACCAAGUUUUUGUACGCUGAUCUGAUUUGCCUUUCCGAUCUCUUAAGAAUGUGUAGGUCACUGAUGCCUGGUGAUGAUGAAAGCAUGAGUGAUGAAGCAAUAUGGGAGACACUGCCUGUAAGUCUUAUUAAAUUUUAUAUCAGUAAACUAUUCUGUGUGACCAUUCCUUUUCUUAAAUUAAUGUUUUGAGGAUGCCAAAAUGCCUGACCUAUUGAAGUUUUUUUAGUUAUAUGAUCCCUCGAAAAAACCCAGCUUUCGUACGUUUCUGAGCGGAGAGCAACAAUCUUCUGGCUGCUAGUAUUUGAUGUCUCGUAGUGUUUAUGAUAUAAAAUCGAUCUCUCAAACUCGUUAUUUUAUGGUUUGUUUCAACAUUAAUUUUUUUUAUUAAUAUUAUGAUGAUUUGCUAUAAUUUGACCGUGUGAAGAGGGAAAUCAGUUAGCUGGCUCUAGUUUUGGAGAGAGAAAACAGUAAAGUGGCUCUAGUUUUGGAUAGAGAAAAGAGUAAACUGGCUCUAGUUUUGAUAGAGGACAUAGAUGAGCCUGAGUCUGGAUUGGCAAUUAUUAAUGCUAACUUAUGAGAUAAAAACAACGUCAAUAAGAGAAAAAAAAUGAAGUGUUGGAUUAUUUGCUAACCAGUUUUUUUAGUAAUACCAUUGAUUGAGUUGGUCCUUAGGAUACUUGAUCAACUAUUGGGUGGUUUGAAAACAUCUUGUUGUCACCUUCACAACAUGACAGAGAUUUUCUUACUGGGUUUCUAGUAUUAUUCACCAAAUUUCUUAUUGAACAUAGAGAAAGGUUUACAAUUCUCACUUUUAGAUGGGUUUUGCCUAUUUUCUAAAUAAGCAAGUUUUUGAGAACAAAGAAAUGACAAUGAUGAACCAGAUGUGGAGUAUCGACUUCUCUCUUGCAAAUACCAAUUGAAUAUAAUUGUCCAUCUGAGUGAUCUUUAAAAAAAAAAUAAUUUGCUGUGUCCGAUUAGUUUCUUGUUCGAUAAAAGCUGAUUAUCUUCUCAAUUUAUGCAGCAUUUUUGGGUUGCCAUUUCAAUGGUCUUCUUUGUUGCUGCUACAGUAUUUACUCUACUGAAGCUUUCUGGUAAUUUUUAAUUUCCCACAUUUAGAUUGCAUGGUCUUUUUAUUUUGAUUUUAAAUAAUAUGGAGCUGUGUGGAUGGUUAUGUUUAUUGCCUUUUUAUUGUUUAGAAAUAGUGGAUGGUUAUGUACAUUGGAUUGUUGACAGCAUGCAUACGUUUAAUUGCUAGUAUUCAAGUUUGUAAGAUCAUCAUUUUUGUUCUGACCAUAUGUCUAAGACUCUACAUGUUGUGGACAACAAAAAAUUCAUCUUCUUAAGGAUUAACAUUAUUGUGGCUAGUAGGAAAAUAUGAGUGCUAGAUCGUUGUUUUUUAAUUAUGUAUGCAUAUGACUGAAUACUGAAAGGAUUGACCUUAUCUUAUCAAUGUUUUGAUCAUGUUAACCUUUGUAGGGAACGUUGGUGCCCUUGGCUGGUGGGACUUGUUUAUAAAUUUUGGGUAACAUUCACCCACCUUCUUGUGUUAGAAUGUCCUGUUUAUACAUGCUUACAUCUACCAUUUUUUAAUCAAUAUUGUGAGGAUGCUUAACUUGUUUUCCAUCCCAGUUAAUUUGAUAUAUUUUUUUUCCUUGAAUACUCUGGUUGCAGCAUUGCUGAGUGCUUUGCAUUUCUUGUAUGUACAAAGUGGUCUAAUCCAGCAAUUCAUAGAAAUAUUCAAACAAGAGAACGUUGUUCAUCAUCAUCAGUAGUUAGAUAUCUAGAUUGGAACAGUGGUCUAAUAGUUUAUCCAGAGCAGGAUCAGCAUCAGGACAGAAUUUGUGGCCUUCAAGACAUUGGAGGACAUAUUAUGAAAAUUCCCAUAAUUAUUUUUCAAAUUCUACUAUGCAUGUAUUUAGAGGUAUGUUGCAUGUUUAAUUCAGAUCUUUUAUGCACGUUCAUUUUCAACUUCCUUUUGUUCAGAUCUUGAUUGUACAAUUAGCAUUAGAUUUAUGACCUAAAUACUCAUGAAAUUUGCAUGUUUUGGAAUAUCUUUUCAACCAGGGGAAGUACGAGCAUCUGUCAAUAAUAUGUUCUGAUAUUUAAUCUACUCGUAUCCACAUUUCAGGGAACGCCUGCAGCUGCUAAAAAUAUGCCACUUCCCAUCCUUUUCUCGCCUCUUUUUAUGUUGCAAGGUGCUGCUGUUAUUUAUGCUACAUCUAGAUUGUUAGAGAAAGCAGUACUUCUCUUAAGAGGCGGAUCUGGCACAGCAUUGUAUUUCAGUUUUUCAAUUAGGGCUCAUGCCUGUUUGGAGUUCUUUCAUCAUGGUUCAAGGUGAUAUCCUUAUUAGAGUUCUAUCGUUUCUUCUUCCUUCACUUCUUCUGAGGUUUUAGCACUUUAACGAAGAUAAUGUUAUUAAGUUUAUAUUGUGUACUUGAAGCUUGCAAUAUGCUCAUGAAAUAUGAACUUACUUGAUAUGACAAAGACAGGCUAUUGGGGUGGUGGUCAAUUGAUGAAAGCAGUCGAGAGGAGCAGGCACGAUUGUACCACGAGGGUGCCUCUGGGUCAGUAUUUUUUUCCCUUGAAAUUGUUUUGUGAGAACACUACUACAUGGAUACACUACAAACCUGAACGCAUAUAAUAACAAUAAUAAGAAAACUUGUGUGACUGAUUGGUUGGCAUGCAUGCACAUUUUCUAUUGCUACUUUGGUGCCUUAUUGCUUUCGCUUGUAUGUGAUUAUUUAUUAAGAGAAGUUUAUGGUUUUCUGUAAAAGUCGUCUGAAGUCAAGAUACUUAACCAUCUUACUGGAGCCAGUUUCAUUAUGCUUUUGGAGUUUUCCCCCAAUGGAUUUUAGGAAACCUAGAAUUCUAUGAAUGAAGAAAAUGCUUGUCUUUGUGCGCAAGCAGCACUCUACUAAAUUAUUACAGACCAUUUAAGUUUCCAAUUAUUAAUAUAAUUAGAUUAUUAUUAGGAGAUAUAAUUCUAGAGAUAUUAUUUGAUAUUAUUUCCUUAAGUGUAUUUCUCUAUGGUUAUAUAUAGGCUUGUAUCUCUACUAAAUAAUAAAUGAAAUAUAGAUUUAUUCCAUAAAAUCAACACCAAUCACUAUAUUUUUGGUAACCUCAAGUUUUCCAAUCUAUUCUACCAGAUUUAAGUUCAGAUCCGGGUGGUAUAUAGACUAGGCUGGUCCAUCCAUUUAUGAUUAUUGACAAAUCAUACUAGAUGCUAAACUCUAUUCCAAUUGGGUGUAUGGGCCAGUAUGGAAUGGAAAUAUGUUAGAAAGAGCAUGCCAUUCUUUUCUUCCCUUAAUAUUUGUGAUCUUCAAGGGUUUUUUACCAUCCGGCUGAGAUUAAUUUAAUCCAGAAUUUUUCCAAAAAUAAAAAAUCAGAAUUCCUUGAAAAUUAGCUUUCAAAAUCUUGUUGUUUUUGGGAGGAAAACUAUUCUAAAAAUAAUCGGAGGAUAUAACCCUAUUUUAAAAAAUAGGAAACAAAAAUUGAAGUCAUUAUCAGUGGGACUUUUGUUGAACAAAAUUGUAAUUCCGAUGAAGCUAUCCAUUUUCUUAUCUUUCAUAUCAUCAGUACGUUGUAUUUGCAUUUCAUUCCCACAGCUAAAGUUUGAGAUUUUGCUUCUCUAUGCCACACAUACGUCAAAUCUGUCGGCAGUCUAGAUCACCUUUUUUUGUUCCUUAAGCUACUAUAUGUGGAUUUCAGUAUUUUGUAUUGCUCGUCUUUUGCUUUCAAACUUCUAUCAAUGCAAUUUCUUCCCUUGUUAAGACUUUGGGAGGAACUUCUUUCAUUUCUUUUGUUUCUAGAUGGCCAUUCAUUGAAGCUUCAAAGAGUUCAUACUUCUAAAUUUUACCUUCCUUUGGUUCUAACAAAUUUCCAAAUCUUAGGGGUAAAUUAUGGGAAAAAUAAUAAAAUCACAGGUAUUUAUAGAUUUUUUUUCAACAGUCAAACCAAGUAAGAACUGUGUUUGUUCUGAUUGCAUUAAUUUUUACUUGUCUAUGUUAAGCUUAUACGUAUAUUUUCAUUUUGUCCUUUGACAUUGGACCACAAUCAUUCUUCUUAUGGAGUUCUCCAGAAGGAUAUUUGGAGUUUAGCUUUAUCAUAUAAAUGGUUCCAGAAGUCUGAAUCAAAUCAAGACAGCUCUUGAACAUAAAACAUAAACUAACAAACAAAAAUGUUAUGCAAUGGGCUUUGAUUAUUCAAAUUACAUUUAGUUCAGUACAUCGGAACAUUGUUUUGAUGAAGUGAAAAUUCUAAUGAUCCUCUAGAUCAGUGGUUAAUAGAAAAAAUGCAUUUAAAAAAUAUUUUCUUUUAGAAUGUCAAAAAGCAAGGAAGAAGCUCAUUGGUAUCUUGGCUAUGAUGAACAAUGCAGGUACAAUACUUUUAGCGGAUAUCCUCCCGAGGUUGUGAAGAAGAUGCCCAAGAAAGAUCUUGCAGAGGAGGUGAUAUGUAGUUAGCGUUAUGUCAAUAUAUAUGAUGAGUUGUCGCAUUGACCUUGUCGAUGCUGCUACUAGUUUUAUUUGGCCUGUGUUUGAUGUUCUAAGCCAUACAGGUGUGGCGCCUUCAAGCUGCUCUUGGAGAGCAGACAGAAAUCACCAAAUACAGUCAGCAGGAAUAUGAAAGACUUCAAAAUGUAAAUUCUCCUUAUUUUCUUUACAGAUAUAAACAAUCCUGGAUAAAUCCCUGAAUCAGUUAAACCAUAGGUCUGACAUGUUUCUACCAAAUUUGCUAUGCUUGCUUGAUCUGAUACUAUUUGAUUUUAGUAUGGUUGUUUUUCCAUCUGUCUAAACUUUUGCUUUUUGGUUAUAGAUGUUCUUUAUUGGCUUCAUUUAUCUUGUUUUUUUUUUUUAUGGUAAUAUGAUGUGGUCUUGGCUAUAAUGGUCAGAAUUUCAUUGUCAAUGGUUAAUUCUUGUGGUCUCGUUCUAUCAUUAUGCUGAUUGGUACACCUGGGGCUUUGAACAGGAAAAGGUGUUAUGUCGGGUUUGUUUUGAGGGAGAAAUUAGCGUGGUUCUUCUUCCGUGUAGGCAUCGCGUACUAUGCAGGUAUGAAAUACCUCACCUUAUUAUACUAUUCAACUAGUGAUUUGAUGAAAUUAAGAAGCAUAUAAUUACCCUCUUCCAGCUUUCACCAACACUUGCGAAUAUUAUUGCAGUUCCUGCUCUGAGAAGUGUAAAAAGUGCCCGAUAUGUCGCGUUGUUAUCGAAGAACGCUUGCCGGUAUAUGAUGUAUAGAUCUUUAACCAAUCUAAAGGAAGAACCAAGUGCAUAUUGAUGGUGGGGAAUUGACAAGAGUUUCGGUUAUAUUGAAGGAUUGGAAGUGUUGGUGGUUGGUUCAUUAUAAAUACUGAUUCAAGAAAAGAUACUUUGGUAUAGAAAAUGCAGUUGCAAUACUGAACUCUAAGCCUUGCUUGAACUCUUCUCAUUUUUUAAAUGUAAAGAAGUGGGUCUCUGUGAGGGUAAUUAACAAUGACAGUAGAAUACAAGUCAGUUGAUCUUGUUAUUGUAUAAUUCAGGUUUUCUUUUUCACACAAUUCUCUGUAUAGAACAACUUUUUUACCUCCAAUUAUAAUCCAAGUUUCUUGCUCACCCUCCCUGGGUAAAUAUAGGGCAAACAGCAAAUGCUGAAAGUUCUUUUGAUAUUGGUGACUAAAUCUAAUUGUUGUUGAAAUGAUUAAUUGCUGUCCAUGAAUGUUUGCCAAAAUGAGAUUGAUUAACAAUGACUUAUUACGAACGGUUUAAGGUAUCAUUGUUUAUCAAUAUCUAUUGUUCAUAUUGGUCAACUUCUUAAAAAUGAACUUUUAUUCAUGGUUAAAAUAGUUGUCUAGACACUGGUGAGACAUGGUUGAAAUAGUUGUCUAGACACUGGUGAGACUAUUAACAUUGGGUGUUGAUCUUUGUCUAGACACUGGUGAGACUAUUAACAUUGGGUGUUGAUCUUAUUGGUAUGAAAAUAGUAUCAAUUAUCUUUUCUAGUUUGAUUUACUAAUAGUAAAGGGUUUAAGGAAUGUUAUUAUUUUAUAAAAACUACAACAUCGAACGUUCCAGCAUUAAAUUUCGACUGUAUUAAUCCUUUUUUAAACAAGACUUUAAUAAAUUUUUAUAAGUUCAUAACCUAAGUUAUGUAGUAAAUUAGAAUUUAUUUACUAGGGCACUAUGUGAAUUUCAACAAUCAUUAUAUUGUAUUGUUAUUUUCUGUUAAAUAAAAGUAUUAAAUAUUCAAUAAUAAUUAUUCAUUUAAGUUACAUAAGUUUGAUGUUUGAUAUGGAAUUGCCUCCCUCUAACAAUCAAAUCUUAUUACAUUUAUUGUAUUUAAUAUACACAUAUGGAAGAGUAACAUCUCUUCCCUAUCAAUUGUGUUUAUCAAAACUCAACAGAUGCUUCUACUCUAAGAUUGCAUUUCAUAAUAAGAAAUUUCGAUUUCAAAGGUAGACAUCAACUUCUUUUUUAUCCCCCAAAUUAUAGUUUAAAUUUUUAUUCUUUCAUAUAUAUACUUCUUAAGAUUUUUUUUUUUUUUUAAUUGUAUGUAUUCAUAUCUUUUGGUGUCAUUUAGUCAUAAAUAUUUAUGGUAUUUUUUGCACGAUUGAGGCCACCUUAAUCCCUAAUUGUAAUCAAAAUUUGAAGAAUUGAAAGUUGAUAAUAAUUAGAUAUGUUGAGCAGAAUUAUAAUAAAGUAUCUUCCGUUCUUUCUUUCCCAAAAAGAAAAAAGGAAUAUUAUUAAUCAAAUCUAUAAAAGUAAGAAAUAUGAAUUUUUUUCUUCGUUUUGGCAGACUGAUUUCGGUAACUUUGGUGAAAGAUUGAAAAGGCCCGAUUAGAUGUUAAAUCACGAAAACCCGGACAGACCCAAUAAUCUCAGGCAGCCAAUUUUACGAUUAUUCCAUUGAUUAUUCAUCAGCUUCUUGGAAUUUCUCAGUGAAUUCAACGGUUCUUUGACGGAGUGGAGAGGGAGGAACUAGGAAGGAAGGAAGGAAGUAAAUUAGGUGAUUCUAUUCAAUUCCUUUCCCAAUUUCCCCCUUUUGAAGUCCAAUCCGGAAACGGUAUGCAAUAAUUUCUCUUGGAUUUUUGUUUCUUUUUUCAACCAAUUGCAGAGUCCUCCUUAUUCUCAUGCAUUUUUAAUCAUUUUUGCUUGCUUUUGGACCUCUUCCCACUGUAAUUUUGUGUUACAUUUUCUAUUUUUCGGGUUUUGUCAUGACCCAUUUGGUUUUUUUUUCUUCAGAUACUUGUUUCUUGUUGAUCCAGAUUGGUUCAGGCUGGAAUUUGAUUGUUACUGGGGUUGUCAGUUUAGGUAAAUCGCGACCCACUUGUGGAUCUUUGUUAUACUCUCGUUGUGGUUGUUCUUAGUGUCUUCUUGUCGUUUUUGUCGCUUUAUUUUCUUCUCGUUUCUGCUGUUUGUGGAAACCUCCUACCAAGAGUAGUAAUGCAAACAGUAUAGUUGUUCACACUCGUGAGUUUUUCAUUUACUUUCCGAAGAUCAUUUGGAUUUUUAGAAUCGGUUUAUUUGUCCUUACUUUUUUAUGCUACUUUUCAGUGUUGUAAAGAGGUAUACUUUUUCUCGAGCAUCCUUUGAUCCGCAUGUAAUGCAGGUUUUCUAGUACAUUGUUUCACCUCGCGUUGAUUGUAUUCAGUACCAGUGAUAAGUGGAAGAAAACACGUUAAUCGUUAGAUUAGCUGUUUGGCCUCGUUCUUGAUUAUCGGUUAAAGGCUCGGAUAUUUUGUGAGGGAAGUGGAUAGUGAUGACGAAACACUAGGGGGUAUGGUCCUGGAACUGAUGCAACAAAAUGAGCAGGUCCCCUUCAUUCUCUGUGAAAUCAGAAGUUAAUGUGAAGUUGGAUCCAGAAUCUCUUCAAAAAUGGGUUGUGGCCUUUUGCAUUAUUAGGUUUGAUCUUGAACAGGGUCAACUCAUUGAGGAGUGCUAUCCUCCAGACUGUCUUACUCAAGAUGAGGAACUUGAAGUUGCGUUUAGUUCAUUUCCCGAUUCAAUUUCGCAGCACCAGAACCGUUCAAGCAUUCAUGAUUGUAUCUUCUUUUUCCGGCUUCGAAGGAAGGGAGUUUCUCAACCAAGAAAUAUAUCUUCUGAGAUAACUGAAGUGGAUGAGUUAUCACAAAAUACCAAUGACUCUAAACUUCCAAGAUCAAAGAGCAGCCUUGGUACCAAGCCCAAGUACAUGUAUGGUUUUGUUUUUAAUAGGCAGAGACACGAUGAGAGGCUAAGAAGAGGUGGAGAGCAGAAGUCUGUGGUAAUUCUGUCUCAUAGUCCUUAUUCUACUGUCUUUAAACCUCUGUUGCAAAUCAUGGGUCCAUUAUAUUUUGACAUCGGGAGGAGGGCUCUUGAGCAUAUUGCUGCUUAUGUUUCGAUGUGGCCUGCUCCAGUGCCCGGUAAACAAAUGGAGCUUCCUAUUGGAAAUGCCAUGCUUAAAGCACACUUGCCACCUGUUCAUAGUCUGGUAAUGGAUGGUGAGACAUUUUCCGAAGAGUCUACAUCCUCUAUGGCUCCUUUUCUUCCCAAUAAUCAGUCAGUUCCUCAGGGUCUUUUCCAUGAUUCUGAUCUCUUUGGUACAUUCCGGGGUCUUCUUUUGCAGCUCUGGCUGUUGUGGGAGUUGCAGCUUAUUGGUGAACCCAUCCUUAUCAUUGCACCAACGCCUCCCCAGUGUUGUGAAGCUGUUGCUGGUCUUGUUAGCUUGGUUGCUCCUCUUCUUUGUAGUGUUGAUUUCAGACCUUAUUUCACCAUUCAUGACCCUGAGUUUUCACGUUUAAACGCACUUCAAGAUGGAGCUACUUUCCCACCAAUGGUUUUAGGGGUGACGAAUCUUUUUUUCCUUAAAGCUCUUCGUAAUAUUCCUCAUAUUGUCUCAGUUGGAAACCCUGCUGUUAAUCGGCUUGCCCAGACAUCCAGGUCCUCUUCAGGUAGUGUUCCUGGCGCACCUGAAGGGUUUGGAUUUCGACAACUAUCCCUGAAAAAAUUCUCCCCGUCAAACUUGCUCAAUGCUGUCAAGUUGAGGAGAGAUGGUCCGCUAUGCCUCAUGACGGAACAUAAGGAAGCCAUCUGGAGCACAUACCCUGCAGCAAUGAAGCCAGACACAUCGAUCUUGAAUCGGCUUAUUGAUGCUGGCUUAUCACCAAGGGUUGAGGAGUCUAUGUCUGUUGUCAACAAUGAGAUACUGCGUCGGCAUUUCCUGGAACUUACUACCAACUUUUUGGCUCCUUUUGGGCCGUACUUCCGAACCACCACUCCUUCAGAAGGAUGUUCACCAUUUGAUGAGCCUUCUCGUCCCCAAUUUAGUGCUGAUGAAUUUCUUGCCAAUCUAUCAACGAGAGGUCCAGGAAAAUUUUUGGCUAAGCGAAUGAGAUCUAACUGGCUGGAUUUGUACAGGUAUUGGGGGUGUUCCAUUCACUAGCUAUUGUAUUUUUUUCUUUUUCAUAGGAAGUAUUCAUCACCCUUUAAGAACAGUUUUAUUGAAUUUUGUUUUGUUCAUAUCAAUGGACUUGUUAAACUAUUCCAUCUAGGCGGUUUCUCAAAGGACCAAACUUCAUGCCUUGGUUUCAAAGGAGGUGUGCUGUUGCAGAACAAGAACAGCAUAGACUAUGGAGGCAAGCAAGAAUGAAUUCUGAUAUACCACGGCUUAUGUCUAAAAUGCCUGAAUUGGAAGUUGUUGAUUUAUUUAAUGCGAUUGAAAGACAUCUUCUAAGAGAAAUGGAGGUAUUUUUCCCAACGGUCCUUUUGCUACUAUUUUAAUUACAAAUAAAUUUUGAUUAGUUUCCAAUUUUAGUUUUUUAGUUCUGUUGGAAGUUUCUUUUUUCCUUCUAAUACGUUUUUUGAAAGGUAUCUGAAUGCUUUUGAGUAGGCUAGGUCCUUUUACUUUAUUUUAUUUUAUUUAUUUUAGUGUGUGGGUUUCUGAUCCCUCUGAAUAUUAUUAUUACACUGCGUGAUGUUUUAAAUGUGAUUUUAAAGAAUAUUUUAGGCUUGAUGAUCAUAGAUGGCAGUGAAGGCAGACAUUGUUGAUGUUAUUGAAUAAUUGGUAGGAAUUGGAUUUAGCCUUAUUGAAAACCAUAUUCAUAAGAAGCAUGUUUAGUAAUGAAGAAUAAAAAUUAUAGAAGGUUGGAAUCUCAGGCCAGGGGAACCGUUGUAAACCAUUCCGCUUAUCAAAAUAAAAAAGGGAUAAUAUUAGAAAAACCUCACCAUGUCUCUCUUCUAGUCCUAUUCUUAGGCUAACAAAAACAAAUCCAUGGGUCACGAACAUAGCCAUGUGGCAUGUCUACGAGGAGGAAUCGAACAAAAUUCCUUUAGUCCAAGUUGACAAUAAAUCUCUUGCCGUCUUUAAACCGUCACCCUGGAAGCAACUCUGGAAACUAUCCUCAAUAUACUUGGGAGGACACCAAACUAAUUCAAAAUGUUGACAAAUGAAAUUUCUACCAUUCGAAGCAAACAGACAAAAAAUGGGCGAAUGGUUGAGCAACCUUUCGUUCGUUUCAACUUAUAGAAUUAACUUGAGGAGCAAUAAUCCAGAGCAGUAGUUGGUUCUCUGAUCACAAAGGCUUAUGAAAAAUAAAAUUAAAGAACCAUGGUGUUCUGAAAAAAUUCUAUCCCUUUUCUUAUAUGCAUGUACAUUGGAGUAAAAUCAGAUAUUAGCAUGGAAGGGAAGAUAGUGGAUGGAAGAAGAAUGUUUGCUGUUUCUUUUUUCUUACUCUUGUUUCCCCCUCCUUUUCUUUUAUCUUCUUUCUUUACUAGUCUCUUCCCAGCCCUUCUUUUAUAUGAUCUUUUUUAAGUUUGCAAAACCCACGAGUGGUAUGGGGUUUGUUUCAUGAUCUACCUUAAUUUGUGUAUGUAUUCUAUCCUGCACUUAGUGAACAGACUGGCACUGUUAGACUUCUGUAUGGACGUAAAAUCUUUCAAUUCCUAUAUUUGGGUAAAAUAGUAAACCUAAUUGUGAACUCCUCAUCAUGUGCAUUAUGAAGAUAUCUGGUUUAAGCACCAGAUAACAGCUUUUAAGUAUGUUAGAUACUCAAACACAGAAAACUCAAAGAAAGCAAAUGAAACACUAAACAACGGUAUAUUGCAAUGUCAAGAGAAGUUGCAAUGUACCUAAUAUACCAAUAGCCGUUCAAGAGGGUUCUCUCUCUCAAGGUUCCUCAAUGGACAAUCCCCUCACCAAAAUGAUCUCCCACCCCUAAGGUCCCAAACUCCCCUUAUUUAUAUCAAGUCCACAUUCCCCUACUGCUAUUCUACUAGUAUUACCCUCCCAUUAGUUAUCUCCAGAAUAAUGGUGAACUUUCACUGUUUAUUGAUUUUUAUAUGACAAACUUAUAGACUAAGAUGCAGUAUAGCAAGACAGCUAUGCUGCUCAAAUAUGUUGAUUGUGGUUUAUGAUAUAUAUUCAAAAUGCUGUUAUUUCAGUUAUGCUACUUUCAUCAAGAAUAUGUAAGAAAUAAAGAGAAAAUAUGAAGUGAUCACAAAAAAUUGAAGGAAAUUGUACAUUUCUUACAAAAUAAUAAUAAUAAAAGAAAAUAAAAAUAACAUAAAAAACUGACAAACAUAACUAUUGGAAACAUGCUUUAAAAAUGACCAGAAAGGUCAAUCGUUUUAAACUUUAACACGUUUUCUCAACUUAUAUUUUAUUUUUGUUGUCUAUAUAUUUGAAAGUAGAAUAGUUGGCAGAUUAAAAUGUCAAUGUUUCCUUUUCUUUAACACUUGCACUUGAAAAAUGUUUGGUGUCAGGAUGAAUACUCAAAUUGGGGAAGUUCAUUUUCCGUAGUAUAUAAUUCUUUAGAUGUCCUAGAAAUUCAAGAAAAUAAAAUAAAAAAAGAUUCCCCUUAUUAACGGUGUAAAAUUGUGUUAGAUUCAAUGUGUAUAAUAUUUUGAAAUUAUUUACCCGCUAUUGUACCUUAAUCGCACCUUCUUCAGUUGUCUACAAUAUAUAGGAUAAUGUUUCUACUUGUUCAACUGUUCUACUAUUCAUAGAUAUGUAAGUCUUUUCAGCUGGGUCCAGGCCUCAAUUUCAUACAAAUUUGGCAAUGAUAGAAAUUAGUUACUUGAGACAAAUAAAGAUGACUGUGAUUGAAUAUGCAUGUUCGAUGACCAUAAAAAAUGACGUAUUUUAGGAGUUUGUGAGACCAUUGAUUAUUUUUAUAUGAGAAAUUGGGAACGAUGAAAUGUUGAAAGAAAAGGAGGAAAGCUAAGUCCCAGCCAAUGAAAAAAAAAUACCAAAAACUCUUCCAAUUUGUUCAUGAAUCAUUUAAACUAUAGUUGUUGGAGACCUAGAAUUUGCACUUUCCAAAGAAGACAAGUUAUGAAGCGUUUGACAAAACAACCCUUCAACCAACAAGUCUUCCUGUUUGUCACUAAAAGCAAUAUACGAUGCAUCCACACUGCAAAUUUCUCUCUCUGUUUCUUGUUUAUAAGAUGUUUUGCACUAUAUAUUUAUGUUUCAAACCCCAUCUUCAGCUGCAGGAAUCCAGGAGAGCUUAUGUAGACUCUGUGGCAACUUGUCAGAAACUGAAAGGGGAUCUGCUGACUGUUUUCAAUGUGCUUCCUAAAGACAUGCAACAACUCUUGCUUCUUAAUCCACAAAGGGCAUCUCUUCUCCGUGGAAGUCCUGAACCAGCGAAACUUCCAGGGCGUCCGCUUGUACAAGUUGGUGUUGUAUCACCAAGAUAGUACUGAAUACAUGUUAUGAGUAAGUAGCCUCAGGCAAAAAAUUGGUUUUCUUCUGAUUUUUAGAGCCAGCCCUCAUUGGUUUGUUCACAUACAACACUUGAUGGGGAGAUUUCCCCCCCACUGGCUGCUGCAAAUGUUUUAGUAGGUACCAUUUUAGACCUCUCCUAAUCUUUAUACUUAAGAUUCAAUCUGAUAAAGUAUUAGGAUGAAUUAUAUGGUAUUUCAUGUUUUUAAAAACAUGUUUAUAUUUCUACAAAUAAACAGAUGACCAAGAAUGGUGGAUAUGGUGGUUGUGUUACUUUUCAGUCAUCCAAUUUGACAUCUGCAACCUACUGUGAACUUAUGGAUCAUCAAAAAUUCUUUCAGGAGAUGAUAGUUAGCCUUUUCUUUUACUAGAAUUUCUGAUUUUGUAUUGUCUUCAUCACUUCAAGGAGAGGAUAAUGUCAACUUGUAAUAUGUAACUUAUAUUUUUGUACCGAGUCCGAUCCAGCUUUUAUCGUGUAGAUGUAAAGUUAAAGCAAAUAGUUUCAGCUUCAAAACUCUGAGACUGUUGCAAGAGAUGUUAUACAUCGCUGGGUUUUUAAGCGUUUUGAAUUUUAUAUCAGUGGAAGGAAUUAUCUAACUGUAGCAAUUAUUUUCAAAUUGCCCUAAGUUAAUGGUUUUACGUCAAACAAAGCAGUUGAGUUAUUCUUUUGCACUCUUCAUUCUUCUAACUUUUCUUCUUUUAAUGGGUUAGGAGGAAUAUAACCUCCUUUGGUAUUUUUUUUCAAUCAUUCCUUUAUAAAAUAAUAGUAAUAAUAACAAGGGUUAUAUAUUGGUCUCGAUAACUUUUCCUUUAAUUUAUUUUAGUUCUUGUACUUGUAAAAUGUUCGUUUUUGUCCUCGUACUUUUUACUUUUGUUUAUUUUGGAUUCUAUUUGAAAAUGUUUAUUUAGAUUCUUUUACUUUUAAAAAGUGACCAUUAUAAUUAUUUUUAAGGAACUAAAUCAAAUGUUUAUUUAGAUUCUUACUUUUAAAAAGUAACCAUUGCAAUCAUUUGUAAAGAACUAAAUUGCCACUUCUUAAAAGUAAAGAAUCGAAGUUAACAGUGAAAUGACCGAAACCAACAUUUUGGUUUUUUCACGAAACUUAUCAAAAACAACAUUUUAAAAAAUACAUCCAUUUCAAUCAACGAAAAUUGAAAAUUGAUCAACGAAAAUUGAAAAUUAAGAGAUAAAAAUGAAGAUUUUAAAAUUACAUCAACUAAAAUAAAUUACUUAUGGUGUUGAUAAUUUACUUAUGGUGUGUUUGCUUCAAGGAGUUAUGAAAUAGUAUGGAAAUAGGAUUCGUGAAUUUCACAUCGUAUUUGUCCCAAGAAGUUAUAUCAUAGCCAACAAAAAUUUACUUGAACUGAAUGUGCUAAGAACCAAAAAUCCCCCCUCGUUCAAAUUACCUCCCACUUGCACUAAAAAUACAUCUUAGGCUGUGGAUCUUCAUAGUUCACAAUUCAUAGUUCCAUAAACUUCCCAAAAUGGCUCAGUAUAUAUAUAAAAAUUCAAACUUUCUACAUAGGGAAGAUUGAUUAUUAACCAUUUAAUAAAAUUGAAUUAUGGUUGGAUUAGGAAACACAGAUGAUGGAUUGUGGAUAAUGAAGUUCGUUGCUAUUGGCUUUACAAGAUUACCCUUGGAUUCUCUUCCUUCAUCAUAAUGUGAAGACUUGGUGAUUAUGACUAGCCAAGUAAACCACUCCACAACUGAACUUCAGAAUAUUUCUUCAUCUCAAAAUAAAUAUAAAAAAUAAAAAAAGCAAAUGCAACCUUAGGAGAGCACACAACAGUACAAAUACUCAAAUAAAUAAAUCCUAUUUAAAAUCACUUCAAAUCACACCAUCAAACAAUUCAAAACAAGAAAGCAAGCAUACAACUAAAUGCUAAGAAUUCCAAAAGAAAUAUUGAGCAGUUGGCAAACAGCCACAAAACUUUGAAAUAGAUGGUUUCAAAACUCAAUUAAAGUACUCAUUCAGUUCAGGUAUUCUGGCUUAGAACCAAAAUAUCACUAAAGCCACACAUAAAAGAGGUGAAAAUGAUACGAGCCAUUCUAUUUUGAAGACAAAACUAAAAAGGGGAUAAACAUAACAUUCAGCAACUGCAAAUUGGUGAAGUGGGGGUUUGAUCUAACGCAAUCUUCUAGCUUCCCUCUCAGACUCCAACAGAGUAAGAAUGUCACCUUCCCUCACUGGUCCCUUGACAUUCCUCAUAAUGUAACGAUUUUGAUCAUCAAGAAACUUAACUCUCACUUGAGUCACUUGACCUCUAGAUCCAGUUCUACCCAUUACUUUGACCACAACAGCAUGCUUGAUUUGGGAUUCCAUUCCUGCACGAACCCACCAAUAACUUAAAUCUUAUUCAAUCCAAGAAUCUUUUCCUUUACUAUACAGCUCCACUUCUAAAUUUGAACAACAUAAUAAGUUCAAGGAACAACUAGUGGGAAACAAAGAACUUACGUAUAUCAGUGCAUAAUAUUCUAUGAAACUAGAGAUUUGUUAAAGAAACCAACUUUCAGAAAGCAUAUACGAGUUACAAUUCUAAUUACUUAUAUUUUGAACCAAGAGAAGGAGGGAGAACGAAAAUGUCUGCAUAACAUUUCAAGGUUUCCAACUCAUAAACAAAACGAACAACUGCAAAUCAAAAUAUCUCGAAUCUCAAUCCCAAUAAUCAUCUGUCUAUCAUGAAACAAGAUCAUAUAACCAACAACCAAAAGACAAUAACACUAAUCACCGAAGGCAAACAAAAGCAAAACUGAAGAAUAAAUGCAAUCAUUUGUCAGCUUUCUCGCAGAGAAUACAAAUAUGAAGUGCUGCCAAUGCUAUGGAUAAGGAACAGAACAAACAAAGAAAAUCACAAAAAAUCCAUGGAUCGAAGAAGCACGUCGAUACGAACCUUAAACGAGGGAGAAAGAAUGAGGGCGGAGAGAACUCAGUAGAAUUUGAAGACACGCCGCCGGCAACACAAAUGGAAGGGGGGGGGGAAAGGAAAUACUUUGGGCACAAUAACUAGGGUUUCUGAUUGUGGAUGAAGACGAAUAUACCCCUCUAUGGAGAACUCAAGUGUAAGGGCUUUCUGGUAAUUUAAUAUGAAGGCUGCAUACGGAAAAUUAUUGUUAUUAUUAUAUUUAAACAACUAAAAUUUUACAUUUUACGUCACCUAAUUCAUCGGAUUAAAAAAAAAUGCAUAUUUAAUUAUGUUUUGAUCUCAUUUAAUUAUGCUCGAUCUUGUAAUUGUAAUAUGAUUAUUAAGAUUAUAUCUUCCUACUUAUUACUAAAUCAACUCAUGAUGAUUUAUUUUUAACCAUGUUAAUAGAAAGAUGAGAUGUCAUUUGUUUGAUAACAUUUUGUAAAAUAAUUCAAAUUGUAGAAAGUUGUUUGUUGGGAUAAUGAUUUGAUAAAUAAAUGUAUGGAUGAAAAAUAAAAUAGAAAUUUAUUAAGUUUACACCAUAAUAACAAUUAGGUAAACAUGAACAAAUGAUAAUCAAAUCAAUGGUUUAGUAAACGUGUUUAAAAACAAUCCAAUUAUUGUACAGUGAGACUCAUUUUUAUUGAUGGUUAAGCCAAAAUCAACCCAAUUUAUAUUGUUUCUCACUUUUUAAGUAUUAUUAUAUAUUUAUAUUGAAAAUUUGAAUCCCUCUGUCCAAAAAUCUUCGAAAGAAAGAAAAUAUAAUCCUACAGACAAGAAAUUUUAGGAAAUUCUUAAAUAUGUAUUUAUAAUUUUAGUUUUGUGUGUUUAAUGGUCUUUUUAAACAAAAUCAAUACUAUAAUUUUGUUUAUUUUAAAAAACCGUAGAAAUCAGAUUUAAGUUUAUUAAAACCUUAAUAAUAUAGUAAUUAUUACAUACAUUUGAAUGUUUGAGGAACUAUUAAAUAUAAACACAAAAUUAAAAUUGUAGGAAGUAAAUUUAUAAUUUAAUAUCAACAAAAUAUAUUUUUGGUCAAUGGGAUUAGAAGUAGUUGGUGUUCAUAUAGUUACAAGUGAUAAAAGUUAAGUUUGCAAUGAGGUGAAGCAAAAAGUUAGAGAAGUGGUCUAGGGUUGAAAAGGAAUCUGCUAUCUAUGGGUGGAAAGGCUCCAUCAAAGCAAUGUCCUAACGAUCCAAAUUAUACUAUAAGUUGUUUGAGGAGCUUCCUAAUAGCUUUAGGAAAGAUUUGAAAAGAAUGUAUGCUUGAUUUUAGCGGGGUUCUUUUGCGGAGAGGAAGUGAAAAAACUAGAGAAGUUGGAAAAAGAUGGGUAUGAACAAGGAGUCAUCUUACAAGAAUUUUGAAGGAAAGAAAAUUUCCAAACGGAGUAUUCUUGAAGGCAAACCUUGGCUAUACCAUAAAGAGUAUCAUGUGGGUGGAUUAUGUCUGCUCAUGGCAUUUGGAGAAGAGUAGGGAAUGGUAGAAGCAUUUCAAUUGAAAAGGAAACUGUGGAUUCCAAAAGAAGACGGCUUCAACCCGAGUUGGGCUCAAGAUUAGGCUAAAUGUUUCAAGUAGUUUUUUUUGUUUAAUGAGUCCCUAGUGAAAGAGAUCUUAUUCCUACCAUUCCAAAUCUAUAUGCCAAAGAAGUUCCCUCUAUUCACUGUGGAGACUACAAAUCAACGCAAUUUUUCAAGGGAAGUAAGGAAACUUUUUCUAUCUUCUCCUUUUUUAUUGCUUUGAUUGGCUCAAGCAAAGGUUGAUGAUCCCUGCUGAAUUAUUGGGAGCUCUAGAGGACUACAUGUUUGAGUGAGUGUGUUGGACUGUUGGUUGUUCCACAUAUGGUAGUUGAAUCAUAGUUGGCAUGGGAAAUGGAGACAUUUGAUUGUGGAUAAUGAGUUCUCUUGGUACUGGCUUUAGAAGAUUCCCCUUGGAUUCUCUUCCUUGAUCCUAAUGGGAAGAUAUUAUCAUGACUGCACUCCACAAUUGAACUACCUUUAUCAUCUUAAAAGAACUAUAUAAAAAGAAAAAAAGAAACCCAUUUCAAUCCAGCAGAACUUAACAGUACAAACACUGAAAUAAAUAAAUCCGAUAUAGACUUGUAUAUUCUUGAAACCAUAAACUUCAUUACUUCAUUAGGGUCUAAUUUUGUUGUAGUUCAAAUCUCUGCAAAACAUAUUUCCAUCAUUCAACAUCAUUUUAAUGUAGGCACAAUUCGGAUGAGUAAAGAUAUAAUUUGGAGUGAUUUUUAAACCUAACAAAAGCUAUUUUAACCACCUCAAAACCACUCGUCUCAAGAAUCUGCUACACCCAAGAAAGUUAGAAUAUAAAUAAGCAAACAAGAAUUCCAAAAAAACACCAAUAAUAUUGAGCAGUUGGCAUAUAGCCACAAAAUUUUGAAAUAAAUGGUUUCAAAACUCAAUUAAAGUACUCGUAUUCUGGCUUAGAACCAUAAUGUCACUAAAAUCACACAUAAAAGAGGAAAAAAAUGAUAAGAGCAAUACUAUUUUGAAGUUAAAACAUAACAUUCAGCAACUGCAAAUUGGUGAAGUGUGGGUUUGAUCUAACGCAAUCUUCUAGCUUCCCUCUCAGACUCCAACAGAGUAAGAAUGUCACCUUCCCUCACUGGUCCCUUGACAUUCCUCAUAAUGUAACGAUUUUGAUCAUCAAGAAACUUAACUCUCACUUGAGUCACUUGACCUCUAGAUCCAGUUCUACCCAUUACUUUGACCACAACAGCAUGCUUGAUUUGAGAUUCCAUUCCUGCACAAACCCAAGUUCAAAGAAUCUUUUUCAUUUAUAAUAACCCCUUCUAAGUUCCAAGUAGAUAUUUGCUAAACAAUCUGCCACCAGAUAACAAUUAGUUACAUAGCUACCUUUCUUAAUUCGAACAACCUAAUUUUAAGUUCUAGGAACAAGAAAACUAGUGACAAACAGAAAAACUAUUAAAUGUCAGUGCAGGAUAUGUGUAAAAGAAAUCAACUUUCAGAAAGCAUAUGCGAGUUCCAAUUCUAAUCACUUCAAUGUAUUGAGUAUCAUGAAACAUUUAACAAACAUUAAUAUGGUUCUCCAUUUAAUCAACUACUCAAAAAUUUUCCUCAGAGUAGGAAUUCAAUCGUGGUAACAAAAUCACACAACCAACUGACCGAAAGAUUCACUCCAUAAAUCUCACACUAAUCGCUAGAGGCAAACAAACACAAAAUCGAAAAAUAAACGCUUGUUUAGUAACUAUCUCGGAGACACGAGGUGGUGCCAAUGGUAUGGAUUCGAAACAAAAGUAUGAGCCAAAAGAGAUCACCAUGCAUAGAAGAAGGGAGUGAAUACUGACCUCAAACACGAGAGAAAGGCCGGAGAGAACGAUCUGUGGAAUUUGUAGAGACGGCGCCCGAGAAUUGAUGAAUGCAAAUGGAGAGGAAUAAAUACUUAAAACCUAGGGUUUUUGAUCGUGUGUGAAGAAGACGAAUAUACCCCUAAGUCUCACACGUUUGAAAGACCAAUGAAAGAAAGAGGAAAAAAAAAUCAAUCUCGAAAUUACAUUCAAAUUAUUAUCUAAAACAAGUUCAAAAUAAAUUAUAAUAUUUAUAAAUAUUAUCGUCUAUUAUAAGAUAACUAAUAAUUUGAUAUGGUAAGUUUAUUGGUAUAGACGAUGCUAUUUUGUUAUAUUUAUUAAUAUUUUGAAUAGUUUUGACAUUUAAAGUAAUUUCUCUAUUGUAUACUCAUUUGAAAGCUUGUAAAUCUAAUAAGCAUGACUAUAAAAGUUUAAAAACUAAAUUUAUAAUUUAGUAUAAUUUAGUCUUUUAUUUUAGUUUCCUUCUCGAACCUAUACAGACAAAAGAGUGACCUUUUCUACUUAGUGAGAAGGAUCGUAGAAUGAGUCCUUUAUCGUAGAGUUUUUUCUUCCUCAAGAUGCAAACAAGUAUUCUUAAGAUCAUCAUCAACAUGAAAGUGAUCGAUCAAAAUGAUGUGUUUUGUAACUUCAACAUAAGAAGGAAAUCCUAAGCUUGAGGUUAAUUUGAGGAAUCUUUCAUCUUCUAAUAUGGUCGUGGCUUCUUUGGAAGGGGAUUUUUCAUGAUCAAAAGGGGCUCUUUCACCGGACGAGUUGGAUAAUGUGUGUGAGAAAUGUUGGUUCCUUGAAUCGUACCUCUCAAAUUAGUCAUUUUGAAGGUUGAAGCAUGAUAUGUUUUUUUUUUUAAUUUAGGAUUCUUAUCGAGGACACAUUACUCACUUUUCGAGAAAAGACAAAACUACUUCCAACAUUGCAACUUUAGCAUUCUCUUAGUGACAUUUUUUGAUUAGGAAAGACAACCAUUCAAUUAAUUUUUAAGAAAAUGUUAAUGGAAGGAAUAGUUGUUUGUUUGUUUGUUUUUUAUUUCUUGCUUAAAAUACUAGUGAACUCUUAGUUGCUAUUAUGAAUGGCAAAAAGAGUAAACCUUGUCCACAUUUGGUGAAGUAAUUAAUGAGAAUUAGAAUGUAUACUCACAUUUUUAGGAAAUCUACAUUUUUAUUCUCAUGCAUUUUAAAAGUUGCAAUCAAUAAGUUUUAUAGUAAUUAUGAAUCCUCUUUUUGAAAGAUAUAACCAAAUCGUAAAUCAAUUAUUAUAUUUAAAUCAUUAUUCUUUCAAAGUACUACCCACUUUCAAAUUUAUUAGCAAAACUUGUGAUAUGAACAGUAAUAUACUUGUUUCAUUGCUACUACGGCCUAUAGAAUAUUUCGAUUCGAAGAGAAAAACAACUUGAGUAAUCUAAUUUGAAAGGAUUCUUUAAAACAUUUAUUUUUCGAACUUUCAAUCGUAGAAAUUGAAUCUUCAAACUUAAAUAAGUGUUAAAAUUUGUAUCUCAAACUUGCAUUGUUGUAGAAAUGGUAGCACUUAAAUAAGUUUAAAGUUCAAUUUUUAUCAUUUAAAGGUCCAAUUUCUACAACUAUUUUAAGUUUGAAACUCCAACUUUAACAAUAAUAUAAAUUUGGGAGCUCAAUCCUUACCGUUUAAGAAUGUAAUUGCAUCUACUAUCGUACUUCAAUGGUAACUUUGACAAAUUGACAAAAUUGUAUAUAAAUAAAAGGUAAUUGCAAAAUUCACUAUUGUUGCAAUUAGCUUUUUUUCUCCUACUAUCAACAAAUGAAGGUUGAGGAACAAAAGACCAUGUCAAUUAUAGUUUACCUAAGCUUACUUUCACACACACUAAACUUACUUUCAACCUCUUAAACUUACACCAUGGUUUAAAAAUGAACUCUUCGGAUACAAAUCUGUGUGCGUAAGAUUCCAAAAGUUAAAUAUAAAUUAAAAAAGGAAGAAGAAGUAGGCCUAUCACUCCUCUCUCUUUCUGUCAAAAUCAAAGAGGUGGACGUGAUCCUUGAAUAUUUUGUGUGGUGAAGUUUGGGGUCAAAAACUUGAAGUGGAGAAUAGACCACGUCUAGCCAUAGACAAAACAUUUCAGCUUCAACCUUCCUCCUGACUGACCUGUAAAUUUACAAAACGGUGGCUGACAAAACCAUCUGAUUAGAGACAGAAAACAGGAAAAACCUUAUUCAUCAGCAUUAUUCAUGUUAAUCAGAAACACAUAUGCCUUACAAAGCAAAUGGAAUAACAAAAAAUCCACUUUCCAAGAGAUUGACUUUCAGUUUCAGCACUUUCUCAUUUGAAAUUGCUUGUUCAUGUAUAUUGUGACGAGGCAAUUGAAACCUUAACCUUCACCCCUUUCCCAGGCCUCUUCCAUUGAUUAUGACAUCAGUACUUUAGUUACUACAUGGGUUAUUCAAGAGAGAGCUUCUUGAGUUACACAAGUUUUACUGUUAAAUAUGUGUUUUUCUUUUAAGAUUCUCACUACCAACUCUAUGAUUGGUGAUGUCUGGCCAAAAAGUCUCUCUUUUCCUCUCUCUCUAAUGUUUCUGCUAGUAUGAUUGUUGAUGGGGGUAUGAAGAUGACAAACAACAUGUCACUUCAACUCCCAAAAAGUGGUCCUCUCUUAAUUGAUAGUUUCACCACUCACCUCUUUCCCUUGCCCUACACCACAUUCUACUCUUCUCUCUCCUUUUUAUCUUUUGCCCCAAACCAGACUCUUGCCCCCCCAGAAAAUUAGAACAAUUCAGUAAUGAUUUAAUUCAUUAUUCCCCAAACAUUUCCACUCUGGUUUUGAAUAACAUCACUGGGCAACUAUGUCAACUGGAUCAGCUGUUUGGACCAAAGAAGAAGAUAAAGCAUUUGAAAAUGCUAUAGCCACGCAUUGGGGUGAAGAAUUGGAAGGGAGUAAGGGGUCAGAAGAGAUGUGGGAAAAGAUUGCUUCCAUGGUUCCAAGCAAGAACAUGGAAGACUUGAAGCAGCACUAUCAAAUGCUGGUGGACGAUGUUGGUGCUAUUGAGGCAGGCCAAAUUCCUAUUCCUAACUAUGCUUCUUCUGUUGGAGAAGAAACUGCUUCCACUAAGGAGAAGGAUCAUCAUCUUCAUCCUCAUGGAUCUUCUGAUAGUAAUAAAAGACCAAAUUCUGGUUUUGGAAGUGGGUUUUCUGGGCUCUCCCACGACUCAUCUGCCCACGCCACAAAGGGUGGAUCCAGGUCUGAGCAAGAAAGAAGGAAAGGAAUCCCAUGGACAGAGGAAGAACACAGGUUCGUAUAUUUUCAACAACUUCAAAUACUGGGUCAUUUCAUAGCGAGCUAUAUAAUUAAUCAAUCAAUAUAGAUAUUAAGAAAAGAAAAGACUUGUUUUUGUGUUCUAUGUGAUAUGGACAUAGAUUCAUUAGGCAGUGCAGAAUGAGAGAGAUUCUUAAGUAUUGCUAUUUUCAGGUUAUUUCUACUGGGUCUCGAUAAGUUUGGGAAAGGGGAUUGGAGAAGCAUUUCAAGAAACUUCGUUAUAUCCAGAACACCGACACAAGUGGCCAGUCAUGCACAGAAGUACUUCAUACGAUUGAACUCAAUGAACAGAGAUAGAAGACGAUCAAGUAUUCAUGACAUAACGUCAGUUAAUAAUGGCGGUGGUGGCGAUGUCAUGUCCCAUCAAGCUCCGAUCACUGGCCACCAGACAAACGGCACGAACCAGAGUAAUCCGCCGGCUUUGGGACCGCCAGGGAAGCACCGGCCUCAGCAGCAUCUGCCCGGAAUAGGCAUGUACGGGGCACCUGUUGGGCAACCAGUGGCAGCUCCUCCGGGGCACAUGGCAUCAGCGGUUGGCACUCCAGUGAUGCUUCCUCAAGGAAUCCAUCCCCAUCCUCCAUAUGUUAUGCCAGUUGCUUAUCCAAUGGCACCUCCACCAAUGCACCAAUGACAAUUAUUUUUUUUCUUUUUUCUUUUCCCCUUCCCAGACAGAUUUUUGGAUUCGUGGAUCAAAAUAAGAAGUUGAGGCAUAACAAAGAAGAGCAAAGGGUAAAGUUUCACUUUUCAACUUUUCCAUUCACCUGUGAUUCUCCAAUCAUGUUGUGACGAGAAUAUACCAAUAUAGAGAGAUCCGAUAAGUCACCCUUUUUCAGCCUUUUAAGAACGACUUAUGAACAUGGAAUCCAAUUUUCAAUUUCACCAAUGUUUUUUGAUAGUAUAACUACCUGCAAUAAAAUACGAGCAUUAGCCGAGAGUGCCAAGGAUCCAUUGAUUGGAGAGGGGUUGUACUCAGUAAAUUUUCAAAUGGCUUGCCACAAGAAAAUACAGGGGAAUUGAAUAUUGACAAACUCAAGCUUCAAAAUUGUAAGGACAAAGCCCAGUUGUCAAAGAAAAUAUCUCAAAACUAAGUACACAAACAUAACCAAAUGUUUCUCAAAUAUAUUUGAUAUAACUCAGUCAAUUUACUAUUUAAGAUAUCGGUUUCCUGCACCUUCCAGACAUUCGAGAGACUGCAGCAUCAGAUAAUGUAUCCCACACCUACAAAAACAUAGAGGAAAUGGUAGGAGAAGGAAUCAAAAUUUUAGUGUACGUGGAAUCCUCCAAGACAUUUUUGCUUUUUUGAGGAAUUCAUCAAUAGAGUGCUUGGUGGGAGGCUUACAAACCCCUUUAGGAACCCACUAAACCGCUGAUAUCGUUUUCCCUUAAACGUGAGUUGGUAGGAAGGUUGAGUGACACACAGUUCACAACAGUGGCAGCUGAAUGAGGGAACAGGAGAGGAGGGUGGCGGCCAGUUUCCAACGGUAAAAACAGUGUGUAUUGAUUCUACUCGUUGUUUAAUAUACAUAAAACCAAUAGUUUAUCCAUUAGUGUCAUUGGUAAAUUAGUUUUCAGCCCCUCUAAACUCAAGUUCAAGAAUAAAUUUUAAACCAAUGAAUGUUCAAACUGUCCUUGUUUUGUGCAUGUCGCUUUUGAACAAAAAUAUCUUAUAAGGAAAAUCCGAAGUCAGUAUUUUCAUUUUAUGCUCUUUAAUAAUCCUAUAUAUCCUUUUUAUUGGCCAAUUUCAAAUUUUCGUAUUAAUUAUUCUCCUCUUGGGGUAAUUAUUUUAGAUGAUAUGCCUCUUAGGAUAGUUAUUUUAAAUGAAAAUUCAGAUCCUUCUCCUCUUUUCAUUGUAAGCGAGCAUUCGUCAUUUUACACAUUUAUUUGUCUUUUAAAUGAGGAAAAGGAAUUGGCUCAAAAGAAGAAAAAAAACGAAAAGAAUGAAGGUAUAAAUAAUAACAAUUAUAGUUGAAAAUGAGUUGUAAAUGAUGUCGUAUGAAUGUAUGAAUGUAUAAAUAAUAACAAUUAUAGUUGAAAAGGAGUUGUAAAUGAUGUCGUUUAUGUAUAUUAAUUCUUACUCCUAGCUAGCUUUGACAUGUCAUUUUACUUUCAAAGUUCAAGAGUUAUAAUGAAAUAAUUUUAGAUUAGUUUUCAAUAGUAUUUCCAGUCAUUUAACACAAUUUUCCUACCUCGAUUUUGUUUGGAACACUUAAAUCUUGUUUUUGAUUACUGAACCAAAAGAGGAAAUUUCAAACAUACACUACAUUAAUCUAGAAUUAUUUACUCUAUUCUUUUACAAAAUCUAAAUGCCUUUGCAACUCCAAACUUUUGGUCAACCACAUUUAAAGCAACUGCAACAUAUUACUGUGAAGUUGAAACUCUACACUGAUGCACCAAACCCACUUGAACAUAGAUCUGUUAGUGUAUAGAUCUCUGCUUCUCACACAAAAAUUAAAUAAUACGUAGAAGAACAAUCUUAAUCAUUGAUUAAGAUGAUGGGGAACAAAUAAGAACCAUAGGAACACCAUCUUUUCCUUGAGAAGAACUGAAGAAUUUUAUGAACCAUCAACGGUCAAAUCUGUUCCUUUAUACAUAGAUAAUCCUUUCCUGAAACAAGAUAAAGGCCAUCACAUUCAUGACCAUGGCUUGUUGGGUCAUCUACCUCGUUUUCUUUUUCCAGCUUUCAUAGAGAAAAAAUGAAAGAAUUCAAAGGCAUACCAAAAGAAAAAAACCAAGCCUACAAAAACUCAUCUAAAGAAAUGGUUUCCAGCUAAGUAAGAUGCUAACUAUAGAAUAAUUACAAAACAUCUCCAAAACUGAAACCCAAAAAGAAACAUGGAAGCUCACCGAGGACCAAAAGUUUACUUGAGUUUCUCUCCACCCCUCUAAACACUUGGUUGUUCCUCUUCUCCUACGUAUCCUACAAUAAAGUACACACCACAACAAACCAUAAAAAGCAGUCUCUCUUUGAGAGAUGGACGAAAAGGAAACUCUUCGAUUGUCUUGCGAACAUCCCUUUAGUGAGCUAACUCGAGAUUGAGCUCGAAAUAAAUAUUUCCACAUGGGUUUCACAAACUAACAACACUAGAAAAGGUGAUCCAGGUCUUCCUCGCAUACACAAAAAGGCCGAGGUAGCAAGCAUAGACUUCUUUCUCAAAAGCCUAUCCAUAGGUUCUAUAAGCUAAAGCCUGUGAUGAAAUCUAACCACUAAGAGAAAUUAUUCAAUAAUACGCAUGCUAUCUAAUAAGCACCAAAUAUAAAUAUAAAGCACUUCUCAGUUCUUCCUCUCCACAUUAAACGGUGAAAAAUUGUUAGCCAUACUGCGUUGAAUCCCCCACCGAAUAAAUUAUCCUAAUCAUAGUGCUCUCAUACAAGAAUUGGAGUUCACAUCUAUAUACAAAAUAAAAAAUCACAUAAGCACAAAGACAGUUAACUUAAAGGGCUUUCCAUUAACCAAAGGAAUAAAUCAUAAACUAAUCACAUAACAAAACACACAUGCUGUUAAUCAGUGAUAAAUUGUAGAAAAGAGAAACAAAAUUGCAACCCAAUUCUUUUCUUUUCAGCCUACACUAAUUUAUUCCCAAAUCCAGUUCUGUACUCCAGUGCCCUAAUUGAUAUGGAAUGAUUGGAGUGUUCUUAUGAGGUCAAUUUCUAAAGCCAAUGCAGAAAACCCUCGAACUUCAACUUUGGCUCUGUAUAAUCAGAACACCCAAAUAGGAAAAGUGUACGAUCCACUCACACUAUAGCGAGUCUUCAAGUUCUUUCAUUUGCUCUUUCUUUUUGAGUUCGUUCUCAUAUUGUUUUAACCUCUCUUUCAUCUUCUCCUGCAUCAGCCCCAAAAAGCAAAUCAAAACGAAAAAAGAAAAGAAAAGAAACCCACAAUCAUACCAUACAUAACCUACAAGUUGAUUAGAAAUCUGAAAUUGAAGAGAAGUGGGGUUACCUUAUAGCCAACUUCAACGCGGUGCAUUACAUAGAAGCCAAGAACGCCGCCGACAACGGUGCCGGUGAUGAUCCGAAUAUAAGCCCAUUUACGAGAACUGCCGACCAUCUUCCCAAAUUCAGAGCUCUAAUUCCUUUUCAAAUGGAACUGCUUCGCUGAAGAAACCUGGGGAUGGGUAUGGAUAUGGGUAAUGGGCAUGCUCCGCCAACCCGACUCCGCCUAGUUAAUGGUUUAUUUAUUUAUUUUGUUUUCUACGAGACACGUGUCAGAAAAUCCAAACUUCUCAACUCUAAAUGCUUAAUGGCAACAAAUUUAUUUAUACAUUUUCAAUCUUGCAAUAAACCAAAAUAUUAUAUUGAUCAAAAUAAAUUACUAUUUUUAGUUUUAUCAUUUAAAUUAAAUUUCAAAAUACAUAUCUAAUUUAAAUUUUAAAAAAUUAUAAAAAAUAACAAUUUUAAUCAAAUAUUUAUAAUAUAUAGCAAAAUUUUUAGAUUCUAUCAAUAACAGAAGUCUAUAAGUGACUAUCAUUAAUAGAAUUUAAAAUUUUGUUAUACCUUGUAAAUAUUUUAAUUUAUUAUGCUAUUUUUAAAAAUGCUCUCUUUAAAUAUUUUCAUUAUUUUAAAUAAUUCUUCUUAAAAGAAUAUAAAAAAAUCGAAUGGCCCUAGCUAAUUUUUUUUUUCCAAAUUGUGUUUGUUUUUUCACCAUUUUUCAAUACUGAUUUUAAAGAUCUUAAUUAUUGUUUAUCUCCGGUGUUCAUUCGCCACUUCAUGGGGUAAUUGAUUGCUUUGUUGUCGACAAUGCUAAAAGUUAUAGCUCCGAAAGGGUAAGUUGUAUAACUUAAUGUCUCAACCUUUUCCCAAAUCUUUGAAGACGAAAAUGGCAAGACUAAACAUGCAAGUUUUAGUUCGGAAGAAGAAGAAUCCAAUGUUUAAAAAUCAAUUUUUUUUAGUACAAAUUAGGCUUCAAAAUUUAAAUCAAGGACCUCUUAGUUCUCAACAUAUAUCAAUACCAAUUGAGUAAAGCUUUUGUUUGCAAAAUGUAUCAACAUUUAAACUUUAUAGUAGACAAUAAAUGUUUUAUCAUUGUCUAUCAAGUUUAUCAUUGAUAUACAAUGACAUUUUGAUGGUGGUAUUUUACUAUAUUUAAAAAUAGUUUCACUAACUUUUUUCAUUCAAGACCAUUAUCUUCUUGGAGAAUCCCAAAUUGUUUUCUCUUCAACUACCAACACACCAUUUCAUGAAGUAAAUGUCGGGAGAAAAGUGUAGCUUAGCAAUAAUUAACCUAUACUCAUUUGAAAAUAACAACACAACAUAACCUAAGUUUGAAUAUUAUGAUGUAUAUCUGAUUCACCUAUAGUUUACAAAGAAUACCUUUAUACGUAUUUCAAGUUCUCUAUCUAAAUACCAAUAAUAAUAAAAAAAAAAAAAAAAACUUAGAGUCCAAUUAUAGUUUCAUUCAAGCAGAGUUCAUAAUGUUUGAAGGUAGACCGCCAAUUAUUGUGCUUACUUAGAUAGCUAUUUUGCUGAAAGUCUGAAAUCAUUACUUGGAUGUAGCUAUUGGCCAUUGCUUUAUUCUGAUGUUCUUGUAAAGGCAAUUUCAGAAACCAAGGGUAAAUGAUCGCUGCCCACCUUCUGUAAAAGGAGGAUCACAUUUUGUUAGAUUGCUAUCAAGACUGGUGAAGAAAACGCAAUGAUUGACUUGUUCCAUCACCAUUUUGCUUUUAAAAUGUGGUUUUCGAAAUAGUUGGACUAAACUGCAAAAGAUACUUUUCAGCAUUGUAAAAACAUAAAACAUAAAGUGAAUCGGCACAAAACAGGACUAUAAACUUUCAACUACCUCGCAUGGAAGGCCGCCUGUUUUCAGAAGAAUAUCAAUUGGAACAGUAUCAACAACCCUUAUAGGAAUAAGGCCAUCAGAGUACCUAUAUUAAAGGCAAUAAAGACUAUCACAUGAACAGCAGCACCAACAUUACAAGUUAAAGCUACUACUAUAAUCUUUUCAACUACUAAUCACAGCAGCUUACCAAAUAUAAUCGACAGUUCCAAGAAACUUGGAGUGGUAGGAAGUAGCCAAUGGUUCAUCAGUGGAUCCCCGUGUUGUAGGAGGACCCUGAAUGGUGUAUAUAUGAUUUUCUUUUUUAAUUAAAAAGGAGGUCAUAAUUUCAAUAUUUGUUGCAAGAGAAAUGAAUAAAACUAUUAACUAAUAACAAAUAAAAAAUUGUAACUAAAAGGGGUAGUGGGAGAUACAUAGAAACUAACUCUGGAGGUUACAAAAACUUCAUACCUUUAUUGUAGCAUAGGAGCUGGUAAGCCUGAAGGGAUUCCUCACCACUUUGCAGUCAGCACUGCCAGUAGCAACUUUCACCUCUUCUUCAGUCCACAGACCUUUUGUUUGACUAAAAAAGAAGUCAAACCAUAGAAGUUAGCUAAAUAGACUUUAGUGAAACUAAGAAAUACUAUAGGCUCGUCAGCUGCAUACGAGAACAUAAUUAGAAAAGUGAGAACGAAGCCAUAUAAAUCCAACAUAUUAUCCUGAAUAUUAUUACCUUCCCAAAAAGAAAAAAGGUGCGCACACUUCUGUUUUUACACCCAAAACUUUAUCAGGAUGACAUCCCGAUUGUCCAGACAAUUCUCUUCGGUCAUAGGACAUGAAAUUUAGCUGUGAAUGACAUGGUCAAUCAAACUACUGGAUCAAACACUAGAUCAUAUUAUUUCUAGACAUAAUACAUUAAUUUUGAGUAAUCAUGGACUAAGAAGUGUACCUCUGAUGAUGAUAAGAAAUUGUAUAUUGCGCUCUGCCAACAAGCAGUAAAGGGUUAGACCUUCGUGUUACAGAUGAAAAUUUGGGAAACUUAAUGGUAUCUAAAUAUAGAUAAAAUUUUGAUAUGAAACCUCAGGAGUACUAUUGAAAUCACCAGCAAGAACAAAAGGAAGAUUUCUCCAUUUCUUAGAAAGAAUCUCUGCCCUUGACAACAGAUAACGUAACUGCAAUUUAGUUUUAAAACAAAGAAGAAUAAGAUAAAAUUUCAUUUUCUAUCCAUCAUCAAAGAACGUCUAAAAACUUGAUACGAUUCAAUAUUGACAUAACAAGCAAAACCGUCAAAGCAAGAGUCUUUUUCAUAACUUCUAUUAAAACGUGAGCUUCUCUGUUUUGUUGAGGUUUGUCCUUCAUAUUCCAAGUUCCUGUGAUAGUUUUCGUUCCUUUUUUCUUUGGAAAUAAAAGACUACAUACAAUUCGAAAUCACAAAAAGAAAGUGUGGAUACACUUGAACGAAUAUUGAAUGAAUAUUCACAUUUGAGUAAUGUAAAUAUAUUUGUUGCUUUGCUUGGGACUUACUUGACCUAAUUUGACGUCCCCCCUGCUUGGGUUGUAAAGCACAUGGAUGUUACCAAUUAGUAAUCUUCUUGAUUUAGCUUUGGACAUCUGCCUGCAUAUAGAAAUGUUAUGUUUGGAAGUUGGUCUCAAAUAAAUUAAAUCUCAGAAUUUCAGGUGAAUAUCAUAAGAAAAUAUGAAUACAGGCUACUUCAACCGUUGAGGAUCCCACAUUGGAAAUAUGGGAGGUAUUCAUGAGCUACUCUUUUCUUGCCAAUUGGUUUAAAGAUGGAAUCCAUAUAAACAAUUAGAACUAAACUUUUAUCAAACAAUAACAUUUAUUGGCAAACCGAUACUUGGAAUGAGGAUAACUUCAGAAUUAUCACCAAUGACAUCAUUACAACAGCUCAAGCAUAUGACUGGAUGAUAAUAAAUGUCUACCUCUAGCACAGAAAGUUGAGCAACAUUAUCACGAAGAUUGAACAUCUUGAAUUUGAUGCUCUCUUCAUCUAUCAGUCGAAACCUUGCCAAGUGAAAUAAUAGAUGUUAGAUCAUUUACUUAAGCAUAACAAGGUGUUAUACAUUAUCUAAAAAGCCAUAUCCUCACUUGUCAGCUUUCCAGAAUAUAGCACAUCCAUCAAUAGCGUCUCCAGUGCGUCUCUGCCAUUUCAAAUUAUUCUUUAGCAUCAUAUUCAAUAAGCUGCAAAAGUUUGGACCCACUAAUUGUAAAAGAAUAAAUAUCUAAACUGAACGCAACAAUCAAGAACUCCUGAGUGAAGGUUUUUUCUCUCCCUAUUUUGGCUGAUGAAAUCCAAUGUUUAAAUAAAUAUUUAAUGUACAAGUUGAAUUUGUAAGUCACAAGUUCACACAUUACUUUCUCAUUCUAGUGGAUGGAACACAUCAAAUUUAGAAAAUGAACACUCACCGUGUAUGACCCAACGUAACCGGCUUUCUCCAUGAUUUCUGAAACAUCAAAAUACUUGUCCACUUCCUACAAGGAAUUGACAAACAACUACACUUUUCACCUUUCAUUACAAUAAUCAGUAAGAGCGAGCGAGAGAAGAUCAAGCUCACCUGCAAGCAGAUUAUAUCAGGGUUCCACAUAAGAAGUUCCUCACAUAUAACUCUCUUACGAUGGUUCCAUUUCAGGUACGGUGAAGGAACAUUGGGAUAUAAACCUCUGUGUUUCCAUGUAUUCCUUUCAGCCAAUAUGUUGUAUGACACCACACUAAACUUUUCUGGAACAUCAAAUUUCAUUGAACAUUUGCAGGCAACAUUUGAAAUAUAAUCUCUUUUCAUAUAAAUAGCAUUCCAUAACACAUUUGAUCAGGUGGCAAUUCCAUGAAAAACUAUAGCCUAUUUGUGGUUCUACCGUAUUGAAUUUACAGAAUCUAUAUAAUAUAAUUAACAAAGGAUGACCCCUAUCCUGCUUUCAUGUUGCUGCAUUUCAACCCAAUCCAAUCCCUCUAAACUUAUUCUCCUUUAUCCUUCUAGAUCUUUUCAUUUCUACUUCUUCACUAACUUUUCUUCUGAUAUUACUUUAAUCACACAUUAACAAUGUUCAGACGUAGACGAUAAAGAAUAAAAAAAAACAAAAAAAAAAAACGUAAAAGGUAGAAAAUUGACAUAGACGUUAAAGUGGUUUGUGAGUUAGUUACGUCCAGGGACAGAGGAAAAGAACAGUUUAUCGUUAGAGAAAAACAUAUCUACGUUUGUAUUUUCAAUGAUUUUUGUGUUAAUAGCAGCGAUUAGCAUAGCGAUAAUGCUGGUCGGUACUUCACUAACAUUAACUUGCGAUGGAAAUACGAAACAGAAUCCCGUUUAGAGAAUUUGGAGAGUUGAAAUGGUGUACCUUCAGAAGCGGAAGGUUGAUCAGUCUCAAUCCAGUGGCGCAGAAUUUGAACACCUUCUUGGUUCAAUUGUCUUCGGCCGGAGGGGUUGUACCAUCGACGGGUGUAGUAAGAGCUAGUGGUUGAUUUUGGUAAUGACGAUGUGGAAGAAGCAUCGGCAGCAUCGUUAGAGCAGCAAAAGAAGAAUUUGGAGAAAUGAGAGUGGUGGCGUAAAAACGGACCGCAGCUGAGGAAGGUAGUGGCCAUGGUUGCGCGCCACAAUCUCAACGACCCAAUAUUUGGAUAGAUAACUUUUUCUUAUACUUCUUUGUAGCACUUAUUUUUGCAAUUACUUUGUGAAAAUGACAAUAAUGUUCCAAAUACUUCCUUUUUAUUUCCAUAUAUAAUAUAUAUGCACACACAUUAUUAAUUGACAAAUUUUGUUUUUUUUUUUUAAUAAAAAAUAUUUUAAUAGUAAGUGACGAGAAGAGAUGUACAAAUAAGUACAUCUUUAAGUAUUAUUGAAAUGACAAUAUUUAAAUAAACACAAAAUACACUCAUCUUUAUACGUCUUAUUUAAUCGAAAAAAAUACAAUAUUAUGUGAGCCUCAAUAUAUUUGGAGUAAAUCUCCAAAUUCAAUUAACUUUUUUACUAAAGUAUUUUUAAUAAUUCUAUAAACUAGUACAUAAUGGCUUAAACUUAAUAUACUGUUUACUUUAUCUUAGAAAUGGUCUUAAAGACAAUUAUAAAAAUGAACGAUCGAAGAAAAUUAUAAAUAACGAUUUUUUCGAGUGCUAACAUUUUUUCUUUCAAUUACGCGUUUGAUACCGUACGAAGAGUAAAAAAAUGUAUUUAAUCUCAGACUAAUCAUUACUCGUGAUCAAGACCAUAAGCUUAAGGUAUUUAAGCUAUAAAAUAAAGUAUUAUUCUGUACAAAAGGCCAUACGAUGUGCUAAAAAAUGACCUUUAACCAACAUUGGACGACUUAGAAAAUCAACACAAAUCGAUUAAAUAGCUCUCACUCUAUUGAAGAUGUACUCAUGAAGGAAAUAAAAUAACCCCUUAGUCAUUCGAUAUCGAUAUUACUCGAGUUUACGUUUCUCAGAGCAAACAUUUUCAGUUGAGAGAAAUAUUAGAAAUGGAAGGGAACUUCUCAACCCACCAAGCAACAUAAUAUCAAAUAAUUUUUACCAUUAACAUUCUCAUUCACAUCAUUCUCCCUAGGAAAGGCAAUGUUGUUGCACUACCAUGUAGUACUAGUGGCUGCCUUAAAGGCCAUAAAUUAAAAUGUACAAAUAAAACAGGGGGCAACACAUUUGCAUAUAAUGAAAAAGAUGGAAGUUAAUUUAAACCUCUCUCUACUAGUAUAUCAGGGAAUUGAUGGUAUUCUAGCCUUGCAGAUGCUAAAAGCAGCUAAACAGAAUUACGGGAGUUGCCUACGGAAACUAAAAGUUAACAACCUGCUGUCCUGAGGACGAAGCUUACAUCUAGAUCGAGCGUCCAAAAACCUGGAAGCAUGAAGAAACCUAUGGUUAUUUGAUAAGAUGGAACCCAAGUUUGAAAUUUUGAAGUAAACAAGAAGAAAUAAAUUAUCAUUCUUCCAUGGAACAGGAAAUAAACCUUCAUAGUUUAUCAUUUCAAAGAAAGAUGUCUACUGUCUAUUGUCUACGGGCAUUUUCUUUGAAUGUAGGAAGCCCCAUGUUCUUCGAACCUGUUAGAUGCAAACAAAAUGAAGUGACUGUUAUGGUAACAAGGACAAAUUUAAUAUGAUUCUUAACUACUUCAAAGUGAAACCUCCACAUUUGCUGAGGCAAGUAUUUGAGCCUUACUCGGAUUUGGAGAACCACAUUUGCUGAAAUGAACCAAGAGAGGCCAAUAUACUCCCUCCAAUCCAGACACUGCAUUAAAUUUUUUCACCAGAACUUAGACAAAUAACAUAGGAGGAAAGUAAAAUGUGCAUAAACAUUAGGGGAAACAGUAUCAUGGGGCCAACCGCACAUGAAGAAAAGCAUAGAGUAGUUUCAAAUUAAUUUCAAAUGUAUCCAACAGAGGACAUAGAAAACAUCAAACAUAGAAUUAGAUUAUUUUCCUAUGUAGCUGCCCCAAUGGACAGGUAAACAUUAAACGUUGUAAAUAGAAUAUGUGAAGAAUGUUCCAUGUGAUAUAACCAUAAGAAAUAAGAUGAGCGUGCUCAUACCUGAAUCUUCUUUCUGUUGCAUUACCGCUUGCCAAUACUUUAACCCUAGCAGCUUGAGGAGACUCCUACAAGUUCAGGACAAACUUAGUGAUUUUGUCUUAGAUCUAUCCUCUUCUCCCUUUCAUUCAAGUGCACGGAGAUUUCUAAUCAUUAGUAGAUAUACCUCUAACAAAUCUUUCUCAAGACGUUCUUUAAGCUGUUGCAUUGAAGCUGUUCCACCAGCAAGCUGGAAGAGGUAGAAAAAGAGAUCAAGUUCACGAGUGUUUCCAAUAAACACACUGAUUAUGACGACAAAUAUGCCAAAAAGAAAGCAAACAUAAGUUGAAACAUUAAAGGAAGGCUGCUGCCUUGUUUGCCACAUUGGCAUGUUUCAUGAGCCAUACGCUGGACUUGAGAAUUGAGAUGAUCACAUUUUAUACUUUUUCCUAGCAUCUAAAUUGGAAAACAAACAGAGAGAAACUAAAAAAUGUGCAGCAUUUUCACCAACCAUAUAUCACAAGAAAUUAAUAUUUUUUAAAAAAAAAUGUAAAAUAAGAGAGAAAUAAUACUUAGAGCACUGAACUAUACCAGUAUACUGCUAAAUAGUUCUCUCCGAAUAUCCACAUCACAUUUAUUUAUACUCUCGAUUACCUGCGCACAAAUAAAAAGUAUAGUUAAUGUUGUCUUUUCAACUAAAAAUACAUGAUUUUAUUUAAUUAUAAAAACGCAGAACAAAAUUAUGAACAGAACCAAAAAGUUGAAAGGAUUAAGUGGAAAUAAUUAUCAAAUUGGGUGAGAUUAUGGAAGAACACACAGGUGUGCCUAAAAUCAAGAAAACUGAAAAACUAAACCAAUGAAACUGGUUUGAUCCAACUUUUGUACCAUAUUUGGUUCUUCAAUCUCCAAAAGUAAAGACUGAGAGAAUUAAGAAUUGAAGAUCCAGUAUGGUUUACGGCUUAUAAUGAACCAUACCAAUAACAUUGAUUUAUUUAAUUUUUUUACAAAUGGCCUCAAUAGUGCAAGUACUUUGUUGAGAAUGUUGGAAAUUCUAUUGUGGUUAAGAUUUAGGUUGAUUUUAGAAAGAAACAAAAUCCAAAACACCUUGUUGAAAAAGAAAAGAAAAUAACCAUUUAUUUGUUCAAAAUCCCUUAUAACUUGGAUGCUUAUUAGAGAUUUAAGCUCAAAAUAGGCAAUAAAAACUAAACCAAUAAACCCAGAAUUGGGAGAACCAAACCGAUCAAUAUAAUUAAACUGGUUUUCAAUAAUACCUAGUCCAUAAUUCCGUAUAUAUUAAAAUUAAACCAACCUAUGCAAAUCUACCUCUAAGACUCAACUCAAUUUGUUCUUGUGGUAGGACAUAAUCGAUGUUUUAGAAACUGAAACGGAGCAAAAUAUAAAGGUGGUUAUCAAAAAAUGAGAUUAUGGUAAUAAAAGCACAGACAUACCAUAUGCGGCAAUCCCUGAACCGAGCGAGCUGUUUCAGUGAAACUCUCCAUCCCAGGUAUAGUCUAGUAAUAAUAACAUAAAAGUGUGAGAGAGCAAGAGAAGUAACAAUAUCACAUAGCUACUCAUGACAAGAACCGAGAUGAUUGAUGACUCAACAAAGGCCUUGGUCCAAAUAACAUAAAUAGCAUAGUUUAUGAGCUAUAUGUCUAUUCUACAUGCAUAGGCAAUUACGAGACGAGACUUGUCAAAUUAAAUAGUGAAAUAAUAAAGAAAAAGAUGAAAAAAAAAAGGGAAGAUAAAAAGAAAAUCGUUUUCUCUUCAUCCAAAUAUGAUAAAAACUAAUACAGCCAUAUAAGUGAAAGACAGAAGCAGCACAUAGCGUCUAAUAGAAUCAUCAUUAAUUAGCUUAGCCAUUAUGCACACCACUCAAUCAAAAUUUCUCAAUUCAAGAUAUGGAAAUUAAGUCACUCACCUGCACUAAGGACGGGUUAAAUAGAACAUCAGGAAUCUUGAAUCUGUCGGCUCCAAUCUCAAUAGUCCUGUUCCAAGCAUGAAGGAGAACAAAAGUAAAAAAGAUGAUUUAAAGAAGAAAAAGAGAAGGGGAAAAAAAGUACUGAGACUAGGAGAAGUUGCAUAGCUAAUAACCAAAAGUUCGCAAUACAGGAAAAAGGGAAAACAUAAGUUAAGACAAAAGUAUCAAUCCAUGCUUGAAAAUGUAAUCAUCCAAAACUCUCUUAAACGACUUACUGGCCAUCAGGAAGUUCAUAUGGCGUCAUUGGGAUAUUUGAAUAUGCACUUUCUGCAUAGAUAGAAAUAUAAUACCACACUAAUUAGCAUGCAACAUGCAGGAUCCUGUGAAAUAAAUACGAUGCAAGAAUGGUAGGGUCAAAGGGGAAAUUCAAUAUAACAUAUCUUCUCAUGCUCACAAGCAUAAAUUAGAAUACUCCUUUAAAGGGAAAGAAAACUAACAAUAUAUGAAAGCCUAUGUAUGAGAUGCAAAACAAUAAAAAGACAUGCCAUGCUCAUUCUUCACGUCAAAGAUAAAUUAAUGAACCAACUCAAUAAAUUCUAGCAACUAAAGAAAUUAAGGAAGGGCAAACCAUCAUAAGGAGUAUCUGGUGCUCGGCAUACACAUUCUUUUAUAUCACUGGCAAUGACCCUCUGUCAAUAUAGAGUAUUUUACUCAAAAAUUGAGCUAGCAAGAAUGAUAACUGGGAUUAUUUAUGAUCAAAAAAAUACCUGUGAGUACAGUUUGUAACUUUCAGUUGUGUUUGGGAAAUCAAGUUCCACUAUCUACAAAAGAGAUAAAUGAAAUGUCAAAGAACUAAUGACCAACAACAAUUAACAGUUAAUGAUAACUUGAAGGAGUAUACUCCUUUGAAUUUGUGAUAUACUACAACUACAAGUACCACAAUUCAAAGAUUUUUCUAUUAUUUUAUAUAAUUAAUAGUUUAAAGGUAAUGCCUGAAAUUCUCCUGGUCGAAUUUCCUUUCUCUUGAAGGAGUAUCUUGGCAUUAUCUGCAAGCAUAAUGAAAGGUAUGUUUCAGCAGUUGCACACUUGCACAAUAAAAUAAGAACAUAAUUUUUCGUGAGAGAGAACUUGAUAAUUUCAUUGAUGAAUUUACAUUGAAAAUGAAUUACAAAAAGGAUCACCAUGUACAACAAAAUAAAGAUAAAGAAUAAGAGUUACUGCCAAUAGUACCUUGAUACCUUUGCUCUCCAAACUUUUUAACAAACAAUCAGUAAGAAAAUCUCCACCAACAGGAGAAGAUACAACAGCCUGAACAUUAAUUCUUUGAUUAUUCCAUAUUUACAUAAAUAGAGCAUAAGGCAGAUAAAUAGAUAAAUAAAAUUUAGCCAAGAUUACGCAAGUCUUUAUAUCCACUUCAAAAUACCUUUUGAAAAACAUAGCCAUCAUGUACCGGAGCGACAGUUGUUGAUCCACCACCACUGCAUGUAUCAAUCAUUUAAAACCCAAUUGCUUACAGCCAGAAAACAUUCCCGCACUAAAGUUAUCGUAUAGAAUAACUCAAUCUCAAUGAAAUGGAUGUUUGGAUGUAAAAUUACAAUUCAACUUAACUUCUACCAAGAAUUUAUAAAUAUGCCAUUAGUCUCCAAACCUUGAAAAACUGAAUGAAUAAAAAAAACCCGAAGUGUCUUUUAACUUUUUUUGUCCUAUCUGUGAGUGUCUGAGUCAACUUCCGAGUACCUCGACUAAUCUAACGGGACAACCCGCCUAACCCUACAACAUUUGGGUGUCAAAGAAACUCGUAGGAAAAUAAUUCCUAGGUAGGUGGCCACUAGGGAUUGAACCUACGACCUCUUAGUUAGUUAUCAAGACUUUGCCUCCAUUUUUACCAUUGGGCCAACUCAUGACAGUUGUAUCUUUUUAACUAUCUGUUUUAAAAACUAUGAAAAUUUCCAGAAUCCAUUUGAUUUUGACAUAUGACUUAACCAUACAAUGAACUAAUUCUUUUCCAGAUUUGAGGGGCGAACUAUCAAAAUAAUCGGCAUAUAACUGAGUCAAGAAAAGACAAGAACUACUAAGAAUAAAAUAAUUAGAAACUGAUUAGACACGAUAUGCAAAAACACUAUCUAUUCGGUAAUAUUAAGAUAUAACAAUAGAUUCUGAUGAAAUCAGAUCAAUGAAUUCAUUAUUGAGCAAGAAAAUGAUAUUAUUAAAGCCUUGGCCCACCAAGUUUCAAAGAGACAAUAUGCAAUGGUCAUACAAUAAGUAUAUGUAGUAUAGGAUCAGCUGAUACCUGUCAACAACGAGUGAUGUAGCACGACCUGAUGCAAAUGACGUGAGAACCUAGAAUCCAAGUUUCAAUGAAUGAGUUUUAAAAAACAAAGCAUGAUCAAUCAAUGAGGACACCAAAAAAGAAAUAAAAAACAAUUAAUUUGAGGGGAAGCAUCUGAAAACGGAGUAAAUAGGAAAAACAUACAGCAUUUUUUGCCAAAAACAAUGCAGGAACUUUGUACUUCUCAAACAUAAUCUCAGCCGUCCUGUCAGAAAAAGUCUUAUUAAAUAAUUGAACUCAGUGUAAAUCCCAUAUGGAACAGAAAAAGGAGUUUAUCUGAGACUGAUUACUUUUCUCUCUGUUGUUGUGAAUUAGAAGAUGGUUCUGCAAGUAGCAUUGGAUGUUCUUGGGGAUCAAUAAGUAGACAUUCCCUGAAAGGAUACAAAAAAAUCAUAAAAGUUAUUAUGAAGUUAAGUAAAUUCUACAAGAUGUAGAAUAAAUAAGAAAAACACUUGAAGUAAGUAGUUUCUAACUGCUUGCACUAGAUCUAGAAAAUGUCCCAAAUUUUCUCCACGGAUUUGUAACAAAGAAUAAUACAUAGGAUUAGUCACAAGAAAAGGGUCUCAAUGAGCAAUUUUCUCUGUUUGCUUCUCUCUUUCACCAUCUAGGACCUCCUUAUUCUGAGUCUACUUUUAUCAUCUCUAACAUAGUUUCUUUUAAAAGCAGUGAAGAAUGAGUGAGUGUCCCUUCCAAUGAUCUGUGUAAGAUUGAGUGCACUAACUUUUCUGUUGGUUUCAGAAUUUUUUUUUUAGGAAAUCAGAUACUUAAAAUCACGUAUCUGGACGUAUUAGUCUCAUAUGUGUAUCUAAUAUCAAUUCUAUACACAAUUUGAAGUAUCUAUAUUUCAUAGGUGGCCACAAAAAGAAAUUAUGCCAGAACUCUCAAGACGAUGUGACUGACAUCCGUAAACAUAAAAUAUGACGAAAACUCUUCGAACCAUGAAGAAAAAAAAAAUGAAAUGGACAAAGAGGAGCAUGACAAGAAUUCCAAAAGAAAUCAUAUGUCAAUGAGACAUGAUGUAAUAACAUUGAUGCUACCCGCUAACAAAUUAUUGGUAUCUUUUAUAUGUUAAAAAUGAAAAGAAGAUAAAACACAAUAGAGUAUGCCCGAGUUAAUCCAAGUUAUUGGCUUGAUUAAAUAAGCACAUCGACAAACCUGAAUAUAGGAAGGAAAAAGAAACAAAAAAGAAAAAACACAUGACCUAGAUAACAGAACUUCCAUUACAUUAUGCAUUAGCAAGACUAAUGAAGUGAAUACUCCAUAGCAUUUAAAGGCUGCAAAAUAAAGGGAUUACAAGAUUCUAUUAAUUACCUGAAAGCAUGAUCCCAUAUGCUAUCGACCAUAUCCCAGUCAACAACAACUCCAUCCUUAAUAGGCGAGAGUACCUAAUGAAUCACACGAUUGAUAUAACAUUUUCUUAGUAUAUAGAAUACAGCCACAAAAUUCCAAAUAACUACCAAUGACAGGAAACAACUUACCUCCAUAUUAUCACGGCGGAACCCUAAAGCUUGAGAACCAACAUAUAGUUUGCGUUUUCCCUUGCCUUUAUCGGAGUCGAGAGUUUUAGCAUUACUCUUAGAUUCUCCAGCAGAUCCAGAGUUCUUUUCGGUACUUGUAGUGUCAUCAACAUCCAUUUCAUCGGUACAUCCAACAACCUUAUCAAACAAAGGUAAAGGGUUGAGAUAGAUACAGCUAUAUGCCUUACAUCAUUACAGAAGCAAUAACAGACCUAUCAGCUACCACAGGCAUCAUAUAAACCAAUCAUAUAUUGAAAUGUACGUAGAAAUAUAGCUGUUGUACACACCAUCUCUCACAUGGUCCUUAUAUGGGCAAGAACCAUUUGUCAUAUAUCAUUUUCUUUCCCAUGGAAUCUUUCUACAACACUACCUCUCAAGUUCAGUUCAGUUUAUGUCAAUUAAAAGUAGAAAGAAGAACAAAAAUCACGAACUCUACUACCACAACCAAGAACAGAAAUCACAAUUAUACCAGACAUCAAUCUCAGAUCCUCCUAAUAAUAACUUAUCAUUGUCACGCCAAGAAUUGGAUUGCAUUGCUAUCAGGUCUUAUCCCAAAAAAAGAAAUAUCCCAACCCAAAACUCUAAGAAAAAAUGAAAAUUUCAACUCAUUAGAAACCAAAUUUCGCAUUGCUUAAUCAAAACUCUCAGUUACCAAAAUUGGUGAUGUAGGACUGGUUUCUAGAACUUUCAACAUUUAAUUACACCUACAAGACUUCAGGAAUGACCACAAAAUUGAUAUUGGAACUCGAAAGUGGCAAGCACUUCACACUUUCACUCUGACACAUAAACUGGGCGCGGCAAAUCAAUGCAGCCAACAAAUCCUAAAAAAAAACAUCCAAAGCUCAAAAACCUGAUCGUUCUGUGCAGCUCAACAACUAAAUCUCGCCCUAAUACGACAAUGAACACUCAAAUAGUUGACAAAAUCGAGACCACCAGAAUGUAGCCCGCCAUAAGCAUCAAUAUUAUACACAGAACAUGUCAAAUGCAGGGAAUGCUUACAGAAGGGAAAACAGCCUUAGGAGCAUCUUCUCCAGCAUAACCAGCUUUGCAAGUGUGAGAACCCAGAUCAAUAACUAUAGCAGAUACCUCGUCUGUAGAAGAACGAACAAUUUAUGGGAAUUAAAGCAGAAAUAAUUCAUGGAUAAACGCGGGACCAUGCGUAUAUUUGAAGAGGAUAGGAAAUUCGGAAUACUCACCACCACCAUACAUGGCUGAAGAAUUCAGUGGAGGAAUAAGAGUGAAGUUAGGGUUUUUGAGCCUUUACCUAAAACCCAAUUCUAGGAAGGGUUAGGGAACACAGGACAGAGUUCCGACUCCGAGCUGGAUAGAAGUAGAAUUAAACCUCAACCCCGGAAGCUUAUUGACUUGCCAAGUGAUCGGCCGGCAACCGGUGAAGUACAGUGGUCGGAAUCUCCCUUCUCAGUACCGGAAGAUGAAGGCCCAAUUUUUCGCCCAACAAAAUACGAUGACGGCCCAAUACAAUAUUUCUUUUUCUCCCGUUUCGGCGGUCUCUAAAGUUUGAACUUAAAUUAUUUAAUUUUCUAGAUAUUUAAAACUUUAUAAAAUGUUUAUAAAUGAAAAAUUGUAAAAAAUAGCAAUAAAAUAUUUUCAUAUCCUAUCCAGUUUAAUAAAUUUUAAUUGAUUUAACAUAUACUUGUGUUUAAAUAUAAACAUGUAGGUCUCUUGAUUUAAUAUAUAGUGUUUUGCUGCUUUAAUGUAUUAUUCUUAUUUUAAAUUUAUAGUUUGUUAAAUAUAUAUAAGAUAAGAAUAUGUUAAUUUUUAACCCUAAAUUCCAUAAAAUAAGAAUAUGUUAAUUUUUAAUGCUCUUCUUCUCUGAAGUUUUAAGAAACCGCCCCUACAAAAUUAUUUCAAUUAAUCUUUUGUCUUAUCAAAUUAAACAAAUUUCAACUAGAUAAUUAAUUUUACUUUUUUAGAACUUAAAUAAAAGCUUUUGAAACUUUAUAAUCAACACAAAAUAAAAUUGCCCAAAAAAUUAUCUAAACAUUCAUAUUAUUACUAACAUUUGAGGCUAUAUUUCAUAAUAGUAAUUUAUAAAUUAAUAGCAAAUAUAUCUUUGAGGUGUAGAUUAUUUUAAUUUUAAUUAUAAUAAUAUUUAUUUAAGAGGUAAAUUAUUUUAGUUUGAAAAGAAAAUAGUAAAUACCGUAGCAAACUAUACUUUUGAAACAACGUUGUAAUUUUAAUAAAUAUUGUUGUAAAAAAGUCACUCCCAAUCAAGGCCAUAUGUCCUUACUUUGGAAUUUCUAACCUUUCACACAUACUUUUGUUUCAUUGUCUAUCAAAACAAAUUUAUCGUUUGUCAUCUAACAAGCUUCAACAAUUGUUACGAUGAGAUAUACACCGUAAAGAUUUAGUAUAAUGUACUUUUGUUUCAUUAACUAUGAAACCAUUUUAACUCAAUUUUCAAAUAGUAUGAUACCGAAAAAUAUAUAGUACAAUUUUAGGUGUCUAGGUUUUGAAUCUAAUUUCCAAAAGGUCUCUAGAAAGUUUUGAACACGUACAGUUAUUAGUAUUUAAAUUUUGAGUUUCAAUAUUACUGUUAAAGUGUGACUUUCGUUUUAAAUUAGUUAUUAGGUUUUGAAGUUUAAAAUAUGGUUGUUAUAUUAAAAAAAAACCUCAGAAUGUUACUAUAGAGUCAAAUAAUUAAUUAUAUGAGAUAAAUAUAUUCAAAUUAUUGAUAAAAGCAUAUAGUACUCUACAAUGUAUUUAUUUAAGAAAAGCUUUGUUAAGAUUGUGGUGUGGGUGUAUGAAUCCAACUGUAAUGGAUAUAUUUAUUAAUUGCCUAGAGGUUGUCGUCAAUUUCAUACACAAACGAGAUUACCAAUAAUACAUUAAAAUUUUGUUAAUACAACUUUAAUGCUCACUAAUUGCCAUAUUAAUUAUAUAUCUUAUAAAACUAUUAAUUAAUUAAAAAGUUUGAAAUUUGUAGGUUGAUUUUUUAAAAUAUUAUAUUGCUUAAUAUUUGAAGCUAUAUUUCAGCCUAAUGUUUUGAUAAAAUAUUUUCAUUUCAAAAUUUUGAUAUGAGAUUUGAAUAUGAAUAUAACCAAAAGAAAAUUUGAGAUAAACCAAUCCGGUCUUGAAUUUGAAAUAUUUUAUUUUAAAAAGAUAGUUGAGUUAAACAUUAGAAUAUGUCCAAUUUCAAUUAUAGAGUAAUUGUUAGAUGUAUAGGUAUACAAAAAUUUUACAAUUAUACCAUCAAACCUUAAUGUUUAAUUUUAGACAUUGGUUACUUGUUUUUGUAUUUUUGCAUAAAGGUUUUGUGCAAGCAUCUAAUUGCAACGUACUAAAAGUUUUUUUUUUUUUUUUUUUCAAAUUGAUCAUAGUUUUAUUUAUUUAUUUAUUAUUUGGAUACUAUGGGUAGUAGAAGAAUUAAUAAAUAAGAUGAGAAUAAAGUUAGCAAAUUACAAAACCAAAGGUACAUAAAGUCAAUACUCUGAAAACCACUAUGUUUCUUACAAACCAAUCUCUAUAAAAACCCCAAAAUCCCAUCACUUCCUUCUUCAUAAAUUCCUUUUAUAUCUUCAUUGCAACAUCAUGAACACUUCACUUUCCUAUGCUUUUCUCUUCCUAACAUUCUUCGCUUCCCUUCACUUCCCAUCAAUUCUCUCUCGCAAACUAACAACACAAUCUCCUUAUUCCACUAAUACCUUUGAUGUCUCGGCCUCCAUUAACCAAGCCUUAAAUGCCCUUUCCAUCAAACCCAAAUCCUUUCAAACUUACUCUAGUUACCAUUCAAGUUCACCUUUGUCUCUCUCAUUGCACCCUAGAUUGACUGUUCAUAACUCUUCUUACAAGAACUAUGGUAGUCUUGUUAGGGCCUGACUUGCUCGUAAUGCCGUCCGAGUUCGAUCCCUUAAUAGAAAGCUUGAGCUCUCUUUAAAUGAGGGCAAACAAUUUGGUAAAAAAGUUAAUGGAUCUCAGUGUACAAAUUCACUUACUGCGCCGAUUUUUUCAGGGGAGAAUCAGGGGAAUGGUGAAUAUUUUGUUGGGAUGCGCGUCGGCCAGCCUCAACAACCGUCUUUUUUUGUGCUUGAUACUGGCAGUGAUGUUACGUGGCUUCAAUGCCUGCCCUGUGCUGGUAAGAAUGGUUGUUAUGAACAAAUAACCCCGAUAUUUGACCCAGAAUUGUCGUCUUCUUACAAUCCAGUGUCUUGUGAUUCGGAACAGUGUCAAUUGUUGGAUGAAGCUGGUUGCAAUGUCAAUUCUUGUAUCUACAAAGUUGAAUAUGGGGAUGGAUCAUUCACAAUCGGUGAACUCGCCACCGAAACGUUAACAUUUGUACAUUCUAAUUCCAUUCCUAAUAUCUCGAUUGGUUGUGGCCAUGACAACGAAGGCCUCUUCGUUGGGGCCGAUGGUUUAAUUGGCCUCGGUGGUGGGGCCAUUUCCAUUUCUUCUCAAUUAAAAGCAUCAUCAUUUUCAUAUUGUCUAGUCGACAUAGACUCACCAUCAUUCUCCACUCUUGACUUCAACACAGACCCACCAAGCGACUCACUCAUCUCCCCACUUGUUAAAAAUGAUCGAUUUCCCUCAUUUCGAUAUGUGAAAGUAAUUGGAAUGAGUGUCGGCGGAAAGCCUUUACCGAUUUCCUCGUCAAGAUUUGAAAUCGACGAAUCAGGAUUGGGGGGAAUAAUUGUGGAUUCUGGAACGACUAUAACACAACUACCAAGUGAUGUGUAUGAAGUGUUAAGAGAAGCGUUCCUGGGGCUAACAACGAAUCUCCCACCGGCACCAGAGAUAUCACCGUUUGAUACUUGUUAUGACUUAUCAAGUCAGUCGAAUGUGGAGGUGCCAACCAUAGCAUUUAUUUUGCCAGGGGAAAACUCGCUACAACUACCAGCAAAAAAUUGUUUGAUCCAAGUGGACUCAGCUGGAACUUUCUGCUUGGCGUUUGUUUCAGCAACAUUCCCGCUUUCUAUCAUUGGAAAUUUCCAACAACAAGGAAUACGUGUCAGCUAUGACUUGACCAACUCCCUCGUCGGCUUCUCGACUAAUAAAUGUUAAAAUUCAGCUGACACGUUGGUGGGAUUAGAGUGGUUUAAUUUGGGUUUGUUACAUUAUUUUAAGCCAAUAAAAUACUAUUGCUUCUCAUACAUUGUAUAAAAAAAGUUCAUUCAACAGUGGGUCGAAUUAAUCAAAUCAUGUCAAUGUAUUUUCUUCAUGUUACUGAUAUUGUUUGUCGACUAAUAUGUCAACCAAUUAUGAGAACAACGGUACAAAUGUUUUCUAAUCAUGAAAUUUAAAAUAGGGAGGUGAUGAACCAAAAGUCUCGAUCGAUCAGUGGAGGAAUGUGAGUGAGGUUAGGGUUUUUUAGCCUUUACCUAAAACCCAAUUCUAGGAAGGGUUAGGGAACACAGAACAAAGUUCCGACUCCAAGCUAGAUAAAAGUAGAACUAAACCUCAACCAUGAAAGCUUAUUGACUUGCCAAGUGAUCAGCCGGCAACCGGUGAAGUACGAUGGUCGGAAUCUCCCUUCUCAGUACUGAACGAUGAAGAUCCAAUUUUUGCCCAAGAAAAUACAAUGACGGCCCAAUACAAUAUUUCUUUUUCUCCCGUUUCAACGGUCUCUAAAGCUUGAACUUAAGUUUUUUUUUUUAGAUAUUUAAAACUUUAUAAAAUGUUUAGUAAAUCCUUAUUUAAGAUAUAAAUUACAAUAGAUUCAUACCUUCUAAAUUUUAUGUUUAAACAUAGACUAUCUAUAUAUCAUAUUUUAAAAUUCUCAAAUUUCAAUUAUAGUUAAGAGAGAACAUCUUCCUAACACAUUGCUAUCUAACUUGCAUGCGACCAACCACAAAGUUUUGAUGAUGCUCUAAACAAAAUGAGUGUAUAAAAAAAAGAAACAUUGAUUCAAGUAGGCCUAUGAGAAAGAUGGUAAGUUAGUUAGCCAAUUGUGAUUGGACGAGUUUGUUUAACUAUUAUUGGACACUAUUUUAUUCAAGUCUUUUCUCAUCUUGUUGUGUUUAUUGGCAAAGAUCCAAUCAACCCUACAUGUUAUAUUUAUUCAUUUAAGUAUCUCUUUUCUAUACUUUUUAGUUUCCCUCUUUUUUCUACUUGAGAUAACUUUAUUGUCUAUAGAAUAAUUUAUCUCUCAAAUGUAUGCUUCCAAUAAAUCAAAAAUCACAAAAUAAAAAUACAAAAUAUUAGUUCUUUAAUAACCUUUUCAAUCAUAUCAAAUCAUUUUAAAAUAAACUAGGUUUACAAUUAGAUCAUUUAAAAAUUUUAAAAUUGUACUCGAACACGAUAUCGAUCAUUAUUAUCAUUACAAAUUAAAGUAAAACUACACUUUCAACUUAAAGACACCAAAAAAGAUAUGGAUUAGUUAGAAAAGGGAGAAGUAGAUUAAUCCUUCACGCCAGAGUGCUAUUUUUAGGGGUUUUUUUUUUUUUUUUUUGCCCUUUUUCUUUUAGAUGGCCACUAAGGAAAAAAGAAAAGUAAUAAAGUAGGUUAAGGUUGUUCUUUCUUUUUUCGAUAAUUGAUAGAUGUGAAAAAUUGAAUCUUUAACCUUCGUAGUCUAAAAAUUUAUGUUAAUUUAACUACACAUACUUUUAAUCACAUGAAUAAUCGAAAGAAAACAAAUGUAAUGUGUGUUGUAUUUAGAAUAAUUAUUAAUUCAUUAUUCAUGUUGAAAGACAAAUCUAAAGUUAAAGAUGAAUUUAUAAAUAAAGCAGUAUAUUAUUAAAUAUAUGAUGUGGAAUGUUUAAUAAAACUAAAAAAAAGUGUUUUUCUUUAGCGUUGUGAUUUCAUUAGUUGUUUGUUAUUAAGUAUCAUUUAAUAAAUUGUCAAAUGUUGAAUGGAAGGAAUAUGUACUCGACAUUUGGAGUACUAUAUAUAAAGUUUUUUAACAAAAACAAAAAAGGUUAGAAAAACGCUCAAACUAACCAAAUGGUUGUUCGAUCGAUUUAGCCGUUUUUAAAUGAAGAAAAUGAAUUAUUUUCAAUUGGUUUCAAAUUUGUUUAGACUAAAACGAAAAUUGGUUCGAAUAAUUAUGUUUCGAUUCAUGUUUAUUUCUUACAUAACUGAUAAGAUCAAUUACAUUUCAAUACUCUUAUGUCUUGACCAAACCAAAUCACUUGCACUCUUUUGUAUAUAUUAGUUGAAGUCCUUAAUUGAACAACAAUCAUUAAAAUGUAAUAAUGAAAAGAAAAAAAAAAUGUUGUAAAAAUGAGACCAUAAAAACUAGAGAAAAAAUAUUAAAAUAAACAUUAAAUUAAGAAAGUAUAAAAUUCUCCAAAAAUUACACUUUCUUCAAUUUAUUCGAAAAUUUUACAACGCAUGUGUCUUACAAAAAUCCACCAAAUGUCACCAUUUGUAAAUAAUUUGACAAACAUGAGUUGAAUUAUAUGAUCACUAAUAGUUAGCAUCUUCAAUAUAUAUAACAAUAUAGAUGAAAAAAGAGUGACAUAUGAGAUAUGACAUCGUAAUAUUUAUAAUAAAAGUAACUUUCUUCCACUAUAGUUAUUGACUAAUGACAAAGGGAGUAUCCAUCCAAUUGAUUUAACCUAUACUUUAUUUUAUAUAAACAUGUACGUCUCUCAUAUUGAUUUAAUAUAAUGUGAACAUAUAUAUAUGUUGAUUUAAUAUAUAGUGUGAACAUAUAUGUUUUGUUGCUUUAAUGAUUUAACAUGGAAUGAAUCUUAUCGUUUAAUUGUUAUUCUUUUAUAUUAUAUUAAAAUCCACUUGCGAAUGUUUACAUCAAUUUUUUUAAAAGUUAAUUUAAAUUACUCAUACUAUUUUAGUAUUUUAUAGUGUUAGGGAAAAAAAGCAAAAUUAAAAUCUUGAUUUUUAUUCAAUUUUAAGAAAAUGGGCAGUUCUAAUAAUUACUCCUUGUAAAAAAAGUUAUUUUUAUUUUUAAACUUUGACUAAGAAGUUAGCCUUAAUUUUUUUUUUAAGAAAAAGAGAAAACAAAAAUUAUUAAAUAUUUUUUUGGGGUAAUGCAAGCUAUUGAAUAUUGAUGAAAAAAUUAUAUUAUACUCCAAACAAAGGUUCGAAUUCCCAUUAUUUUUAUUAAUAAAUAAAGAGUCAAUUUAUUGAUGAGACCAUAACAAAAUAAAUUAAAAUAUUUACCACUUAUAACAAAAUAUUUUUGUUAUUGUAUAAAAUCUAAAUUUUUACUAUAUAUAUAUUAUAAAUAUUUUGUCAAAUUUAUUAUUUUUUACCCUUUUUUAUUUAUUUAAUAAUAUUAUGUUAUUUUUAUACUAUUUAACAGAAAUUUCUUACGAAAUUACAUAUCUAAAUUUUAUUGAUUUUUUCCUAAUUUAAACUCUUCUAAACACUCACUUAGAAAAUUGUUUAAAUUUAAAAUUUUCUUUGCUUCCAAUUAAAUAAAAAAAACUUCAACUAAAUAGUUAAUUUUACUUUUUUAGAAUUUAAAUAUAAGCUUUUAAAACUUUCUAAUCAAACCAAAAUAAAAUUGGCUAUAAAAUUAUCUACAUUGAUGUGUGUAUUUAUAUAGUUCAAUUUUUUUAAAAAAAUAUUAUAUACACAUAACAACAAAAGUAAACGAGGAAAAAGAUAAGAUAAAAUUAUCUAAAGAUGGAUUAUUAUUAGUAACAUUGGAGCCUAUAUUUCAUAAAAUAAAUUAAUAGUAAAUAUAUUAUUAGAGAAUUUGGAAUGUAAAUUAUUUUAAUUUAAAUUAUAAUAAUACGUAUUUAAAGGAUAAAUUAUUUAAUUUAAAAAUAUUAUAAAAUUUUAAUGUGAUAUGAUUAUUAGUAUAAUAUGUUUGUAAUCUAAAGAAAUAUUGUUGUGAAAGAGCCAAAACCCUAUCCUUCUCCCCUCCAAUCAAGGCCACAUUUCCUUACCUUGAAAUUUCCACCCUUUCACACAUACUUUUGUUUGUUUCAUUGCUAUCCAAACAAAUUUUGACAAAUACUUUUCAAUAAUUCCUAAUUUUUCUUCCAUUCAUUCUGUACUAUAAUAUACUUCUGUUUCAUUCCCUAUGAAUCCAUUUUAACUCGACUUUCAAAUAGUGUAUAUAUGUAAUAGUACAUUAGUAGAUCUUUACGGUUUGAAUCUAAUUUCUAUAAGUUCUUCACAAAGUUUGAAUAUGUAUACUUUUUAGUAUUUAAACUUUGAGUUUCAUUUCAAAUUAGCACGUAUGUUUGAAUUUUAGUAUUUAAACGUUGUUAUAGGGUCAAAUAAAUAAAAUAAAUAAUUAUAUGAGAUAAAUAUAUUCAAAUUAGUGUAUUUUCUUUUUAGAAUUUUUUUUAUUAAGAUUGUGGUGUGGGUGCAUGAAUCCAACUUCAAUGAACAUAUUUAUUAAUUACCUAGAGGUUGUCGUCAAUUUCAUACACAAACGAGAUUACCAAUAAUAGUGUGUAUCUAAGAGGGGAUUACAUUGAAACUUUGUUAAUACAACUUUAAUGCUCACUAAUUGCCGUAUCAAAUAUAAUUAUAAUAGUUAUAAAUCUUAUAAAACCAUUAAUUAAUUCGAAAUUUUAAAGUUUGUAUGUUGAUUUUUUUUUUAAUAUUGUAUACUAUUUCAAGUUAGUUCAGUUAAAUGUUUGGAUAAAACUAUUUCAUUUCAAAAGUUUUAAUUUUUCAAUUUCACUCAAAAUUUAAUAUGAGAUUUGAAUAUGAAUAUAAAAAAAAUAAUUGAGAUCAACUAAUCACACCAUGAAUUUAUAUUUUUUUAUUACCAUGAAUUUAUAUUUUUUUAUUUUUGAAAAUAGUUGAGUUCAAAAUUGUGGUUUUUUCAAAGUAAAUUUUUUUGACAAACUAUUUCAACUCCGUAAAACCAAAUAAUUAAAAGAUAAAUUUUUUUUUGAAGUGUAAAUAUUUUGUUCAAUGUUUUAUUUUUUACCAUUUCUCUUAAAAAUAUUAGAAUAUGUCCAAUUUUAAUUACAAAGUCAAUGCUAGAUUUAUAGGCAUAAAAAAUGUAUACAAAGAAAAUUGUUUUUCUUUCUUUUUGAACUUUCUUGUAAAUGAGUUUAAAAUUUAAACAUUUACAUGUUUGUUUAGGUCUUUCUAUAUAUAUAUAUAUAAUUUGAUUUAAAAAUUUAUUUUCUCAAAAUUUGGUUCUAAGUGUUUUCUUUAAAAUAGUUUAUUUUUUAAUCUUAUUUUUAAAAAUGCAUUUUGAAAAGUUAUCAAAUACCUCAAUUUUUUUAAAAUAUAAUUUAAACACUUUAAAUGCAAUCUAAACACAUCCUUAACAUCUAUUAAUUAAUUAACAUAAUUAUUAAAUAUUAAAAUUUAAACUUAAUUUUAUGGAUGAUGAAAAAUAUAUAGUUAAACUUAUACGUCAUGAGAUAUUUUUCUUUCUCCCAUUGGAGUUGGCAAUAGUAUUUGUAUGUUAUUGGGAUGUUACUUAAUUAUAAUUAUUAAAAAAUUAUUUAAUAGUAUUAUUUGAGUAUUUAGAAUUUAAAAUUGAAAAGUAUAGGAAAUAAAUGGAAACAAAACUUAAAUGAAGAAUAAAAGUAAAAUGGUGGGUUUAUUAAAAAUAAACACAAAAUAGAAAAAUAAAAAAAAAAUGUAAACAUAAAAUUUAUGAGCAAAUUACCAAAACUACUAAAAUCACUUAGGAAUCAAACUUAACUUAUUUGAACUACAAACAUUUGAUCUUUAAUUUUAGACUUGUUGGUUGUCUUUUUGUUUUGUUUUUGUAUUUUUGGAUGAAGGUUUUAUGGAUGGUAUAAUUGCAACCCAUCUCAUAUUUUAAAGGUUUUCUUUAUUUUCAAUUUGACCAUUUGAUUUGAUUUUUUUAUUUAUUAUUUGGAAACUAGCCGUAGUACAAUAAUUAAUAAAUACGAUAAGAAUAAGGUUUAGCAAUUUACAAAACCGAAGGAACAAGAAGGCAAUGAACAAAGUCCAUACUCCCAUCAAACAUCUCUCUAUAAAAACCCCAAAAUCCCAUCACUUCCUUCUUCAUAAAUUCCCUUUAUAUCUUCAUUGUAACAUCAUGAACACUUCACUUUCCUAUGCUUUUCUCUUCCUAACAUUCUUCACUUUCCUUCACUUCCCAUCAAUUCUCUCUCGCAAACUAACGACACAAUCUCCUUAUUCCACUAAUACCUUUGAUGUCUCGGCCUCCAUUAACCAAGCCUUAAAUGCCCUUUCCAUCAAACCCAAACCCUUUCAAACCACUCACUCUAAUUACCAUUCAAGUUCACCUCUAUCUCUCUCACUCCACCCUAGAUUGACCGUUCAUAACCCUUCUUACGAGGACUAUGGUAGUCUUGUUAGGGCCCGACUCGCUCGUGGUGCCGCCCGAGCUCAAUCCCUUAAUAGAAAGCUUGAGCUCUCUUUAAAAGGGGGUAAACAAUUUGGUAGAAGAAUUAAUGGAUCUGAUUCUACAAAUUCACUUACUGCUCCCGUUACUUCAGGGGCGAGUCAAGGAGCUGGCGAAUAUUUUGCUCGGAUUGGAGUCGGUCAACCUGUGCAAUCGUAUUUUUUUGUGCCUGAUACUGGAAGUGAUGUUUCGUGGCUACAAUGUCAACCAUGUGAUGGUGAGAAUGGUUGUUAUAAACAAAUUGGCCCGAUAUUUGACCCGAAAUCGUCGUCUUCUUAUAGUCCGCUGUCUUGCGAUUCGGAACAAUGUCAUUUGUUGGAUGAAGCUGCUUGUGAUGCCAAUUCAUGUAUCUACGAAGUUGAAUAUGGUGAUGGAUCAUUCACAGUCGGUGAACUUGCCACCGAAACGUUCUCAUUUCGACAUUCUAAUUCCAUUCCUAAUCUCCCGAUUGGUUGUGGUCAUGACAACGAAGGCCUCUUUGUUGGGGCUGCUGGUUUAAUUGGCCUCGGUGGUGGGGCAAUUUCCCUUUCUUCUCAAUUAGAAGCGACGUCAUUUUCAUAUUGUCUGGUCGACCUAGACUCAGAAUCAUCCUCCACUCUUGACUUCAACGCAGACCAACCAAGCGACUCACUCACCUCCCCACUUGUGAAAAAUGAUCGAUUCCCCACGUUUCGGUACGUGAAAGUAAUUGGGAUGAGCGUCGGUGGGAAGCCUUUACCGAUUUCCUCGUCAAGCUUUGAAAUCGAUGAAUCAGGAUCAGGGGGAAUAAUCGUGGAUUCUGGGACGACUAUAACUGAAAUACCAAGUGAUGUGUAUGACGUGUUAAGAGACGCGUUCGUGGGGCUAACAAAGAACCUCCCACCAGCACCAGGGGUAUCACCGUUUGAUACUUGUUAUGACUUAUCAAGUCAAUCGAAUGUGGAGGUGCCAACCAUAGCAUUUAUUUUACCAGGGGAAAACUCGCUACAACUACCAGCAAAAAAUUGUUUGUUCCAAGUGGACUCAGCUGGAACUUUCUGCUUGGCGUUUCUUCCAUCAACAUUUCCACUUUCUAUUAUUGGGAACGUCCAACAACAAGGAAUACGUGUCAGCUAUGACUUGGCCAACUCUCUCGUCGGAUUCUCGACUGAUAAAUGUUAAAACUCAACCGACAUGUGAGUGGGAUUAUAGUUGUUUAAUUUGGGUUCAUUACAUUAUUCUAAGCAAAUAAAAUACUAUAACUUAUCAUAGUACAUUGUAUAAAAAAAGUUUAUUAUAUUUAAUAGUGUGUUGAAUUAAUUAAUCAAAUAAUGUGAAUGUAUUUCUUUCAUAUGAUUGAUAUUGUUUGUCGACUAAUUACUCAACCAAUUACGAAAACAAUGGUACAAAUGUUUUCUAUUCAUAAAAUUUAAAAUAGAGAGGUGACGAACCAAAAGUCUCAAUCUAGUAAUUGAAACACUAAAACACAAAACAAACCCACAUAAUCGUUUUCUUCUAAAUUUUAAGCUAAAAAACAAAUAGACUAACUAUACUCUUAACGACCUCAAUGUAAAUUAAACCAUCGUUUUUAUCAAAUAACAACUUUAAAAUUAUGUUAAAUUUGCAAUUGCAAAGACUGCUUUGUUUUCUUCUCAAGAAAGGUGACAAAAAUUAACAAUGCUCUAAUAUAUAUAUAUAUAUUAUCAAUGAAAUAAACUCAAAUUUUAAUGUUAAGAAAAGCUUGAUGACCUACAAAAUGUGCUUCAAAUUAAUUCACAUCUCUAGUCGAAUAUUGGAUGUUGACCACUCCGACUCAAUUAUUGUUCUCAUCCCAUGGUUUACUUAAUUAUAAUCUCUUUUAUAUUGUUAAUUAUUGAUAUAAUCCUCCAUGGGUUGCUGUUUGCCAAAAUAGUAACAAUAAAUGUCUAUUUUAUGACAAUAAUGAACUCUAAAUAGAUUGUGACAUGAAUUAUUGCACAUUAUUAUAAUCCAAAACAUCAUUAUAAUUUACUUAAAAUAAUUUGCACAUGAGGGGUAGAUUAUUUUACUUUCAAUUAUAAAUAGUAUAUGUUUGACACGUAAACUAUUUUAAUUUUAGAAAAAAAUAGUAAACAAUACUAUAGCAAAGAAUAAAAAAUAAUGAAUAUAAAAUCGUAAAAAUGUUGCAAAUAGUAAAUAUUGUAGUAAAUAGAGGAUUUUGUGUCCUCAAAUUUUCUUUUUUCUUAAGUUAUGGAAAAUAGUAAUGAUAACGUUAGUACUAUUAUGAACAAUAACAUUUUUCUUUAAAAAAACAUAUUAUAUGAUAAAAUAGCAAAGAUGAUUUUACAAUUUUUAUUAAACUUUUAAUUCAAUGGUCACAAUCAAAUGUAAUAAGAAGUCAAAUAAUAAUAGUUUUGAGUGAAUGCAAAGUGUAUAUGUUUGUAUUAUCAAUUAAGAAUGAAUUAUUAGGCCGGAAUGGAGGGGGUGAAAAUUAAUUAAAUAUAUAUAUAUAUGGUCUAUGAAUAAAUAUAAAAUAGUUGAUAAUUUAAUUAUAUGAAAUACCAAUUGAAUUUUCAAAGUAAAUGAGUGUUUGAUUGGAAGAAAUAUUAUCAAUUAUGGGUGCAAAAUUAUAUUAUUAGCAACAUGGCAAAGGACCCACAAAGAAAAAGGUUAAAGCAUUAUUUUCUCCCCAAAAUUGUUGGAUUAUUUCGAUUGAUAUUAAAAUAAAAUAGUUUAUGUGUUUUCUUUUAAUAUAGAUUUUAUAACUAAACAAAUUAUUACCUUUUUUAAAAAAUUAUGAUUUUAGUUUAUGAUACUAUUACAUAAAUAUGAAAAUGAAUAUAAGUUUGUUGGGGUGAUUUAAUAACUUUUAACUAAUUAAAUAAUCAUCUGUUUACAUUUUAAAUUUUCAAUUUAAUUUAGGGAUAAAAAAUUGAUUUUUUUAUAUAAAUAUAUUAAAAUGGAUCAAAAUAAAUAUAAAGAUAACAAAACGUUAAUAGUCUAUCGAUGAUAUCACUAAUUGCAACUAUCAUCAUUUAUUAACAAUACUAAUAGAUAUCUAUUAUUGAUAAAGAAUACAAUCUUAUUAUAUUAAUAAAUAUUUUUAACCGUUCCAUUCAAAAUAAUUACUCUAAGAAUAUAUUUAUUUAGUAUUUGGACACAAACCCUACAAACAAGUAGUAAACAAAAACUUAACUUAACUGACACUUAGUUACAUUUGAAGAUUAAAAUAUUUCAAUUCGAACAAGAUAAUAGGCAGUAAAAAAGAAUAAUUAUGAUAAAGAAUAAAGUUUGGAAGAUGGGCAUGAACAUCAAAAGUCAAAUCAAUCUUUAGAAAAUCAAUAAUGUUUUCACAUAUCAUUUUCUAUAAAAACCAACCAAUGUCUUCACUUCCAUCUUCAUCCAAUAAUUCAUUAUCUUUUCAUUCCCAACAUGAACACUUCACUUUCCUCUGUUUUUCUCUUCCUAACAAUCUUCACUUCCCUUCAAUUCCCUUCAAUUCUCUCUCGCAAGUUAACACCAUCUUCCUAUUCCACUUCCAUCUUCGAUGUCUCUGCCUCCACAAACCAAGCCCUAGAUGCCCUCUCCAUUAAACCCAAACCUCUUCAAAAUCAUUCUCACCUUCCAAAUUCCCCUUUCUCUCUGCCAUUGUACCCUAGAUUGGCCCUUCAUAACCCUUCUUACAAGGACUACAAUACCCUUGUUAGGGCCCGACUCACUCGUGAUGCCGCUCGAGUUCAAUUCCUUAACCGAAAUCUUGAGCGCUCUUUAAAUGGGGGUACUCAUUUUGGUGAAAGUAUUAAUGAAUCUCUAAUUGGAGAUUCAAUUACUGCUCCGGUUGUUUCGGGGCAAAGUAAAGGGAGUGGUGCUGAGUAUUUAGCUCAGAUUGGGGUUGGUCAGCCUGUGAAGUUGUUUUAUUUGGUGCCUGAUACUGGUAGCGAUGUCACGUGGCUUCAAUGUCAACCUUGUGCUAGUGAGAAUACUUGUUAUAAACAAUUUGACCCUAUUUUCGAUCCGAAAUCAUCGUCUUCAUACAGUCCUCUGUCUUGCAAUUCUCAACAAUGUAAGUUGCUAGAUAAAGCCAAUUGCAAUUCCGACACAUGCAUAUACCAAGUCCACUACGGUGAUGGAUCAUUCACAACUGGUGAACUCGCUACCGAAACACUAUCGUUUGGAAAUUCAAAUUCUAUUCCUAAUCUCCCAAUUGGUUGUGGGCAUGACAAUGAAGGCUUGUUUGCUGGUGGAGCUGGUUUAAUAGGCCUCGGUGGUGGGGCCAUUUCCCUUUCUUCCCAAUUAAAAGCGUCAUCAUUUUCAUAUUGCCUCGUCAACUUAGAUUCAGACUCAUCCUCCACUCUUGAGUUUAACUCAAACAUGCCCAGUGACUCGUUGACCUCUCCGCUCGUGAAAAACGAUCGAUUUCACUCGUAUAGGUACGUCAAAGUCGUUGGAAUAAGUGUUGGGGGAAAAACUCUACCAAUUUCACCGACAAGAUUUGAAAUUGAUGAAUCGGGAUUGGGAGGAAUAAUCGUUGAUUCUGGUACAAUUAUAUCUCGACUACCGAGUGAUGUCUAUGAAUCAUUAAGAGAGGCAUUUGUGAAGCUGACGAGUAGCCUAUCACCGGCACCAGGGAUAUCAGUGUUCGAUACAUGUUAUAACUUUUCAGGUCAAUCGAAUGUGGAGGUCCCAACAAUAGCAUUUGUGUUGUCGGAAGGAACCUCGCUACGACUACCUGCAAGAAAUUACUUAAUUAUGUUGGACACAGCAGGAACUUAUUGUUUGGCGUUUAUUAAAACGAAAUCUUCACUUUCUAUAAUUGGUAGCUUCCAACAACAAGGAAUACGUGUUAGUUAUGACUUGACAAACUCCCUCGUUGGAUUCUCAACUAAUAAAUGUUAGUACCAUAAACUUAUAAUAACUCAUGUAACACCACGUGGGAUUAGAAUUUGGCUUUAAUCACAUUGUUCUAAGUCAAUAAAAUAUUGUUGUUUAUCAUACACAUGGGCUUUGCCUAUGAAAGUCUUAAUUUAGUAGUGUGUUGAACUAAGCAAAAAUAAAACAAAAACAAAAAAAGUUUCUUUCUUCGUAUUGUUAUCGUUCCUAAGAAACAAAUUAUAGAGAAGUUUUAUAUUCCUAAGAAAUGUGAAUGUAGAAAGUUUUUGUUAAUGGAUUUGUAAUUCUCUCUUAAUAACAACAAGAUUGCAAAGUUCACAUCCUUUGGUAUUUUCCAUACUUUGUUUUGGUUUAUUAUUUUCACAAUAUAUGUGGGAACAAAUAAACAUCUAAUCUCUUUUACAUUGAAUGGGUCAGGGCUUUGUUGUUUGGACGACUUUGAAAAAGACGAGUUAGGACUCAAGUCAACAAGCAUACCCCACAAACUCUGCUCAUUGAUUCUUAUAAUUUCUCUUUUGUUUGAUUCACUCAUUCCUUUAGCUGUUUUCCAUUUCAAAACUUCAAAAUUAUGGAAUGACGUAAUUGAUACCUUUACGUAGGGUGUGGAGUUUACUAUUCGAAUUAAAUUGCUUCUUCUUCUGUAUAAAAUUUAACUACAAAACAAAAACUGUUGAAUGAAACGUUGGGGGCUUAGGGCCUCCCCAUGUGGCCGCCGGCAGCGUGAUUAUGGGAAACUUCUGGGUGAUUUUCGUUUAUUAUUUUCCUUCUUCAUCGUUUUCUCCAUUUAUGGAUUCACAACACCCAAAUUUUUAUAUAUAAUUAUUUUUAUCUUUUAUGCUUCUUUUCUUCUUCUUUUUCUUUUUAAAAAAAACCAAAAAAAUUAUAUAUAAUAUUUUAAAUUACUAUGAAUUUCUUUUUAAGUGAAGUUUUGGGUUCUUUUUAUUUACAAAUGUAUUGUUUCUAUUGAGUUUUAAGUUUGGUUUUGAUCCAAUUCAUACACACUAAUUAAUUUAAUAGAAAUAGAAAUAAAUGUAAAAGUGAAAAAACAAUGAAUUUAAGUAUCAAAUAAAAACUAAACUAAAAAACUUAGGAGUAAAAAUUUAAUUAUAAAAUCUAAAUUAUAAACUGAAAAGAACCAAAGAGGCAUUUUCUAAGAAACAAUUCAGUGACUCUUUUUUUAAUUAUCUUUUUCGCUCUUUUUAGAAUAUGCAAUUAAUACGUUUACUAAAGUAAUAGAAAAAGGUAAGAAAAAAGAAAUAUAUUCGCCGUUGCCGGGGAUCGAACCCGGGUCACCCGCGUGACAGGCGGGAAUACUUACCACUAUACUACAACGACUUCUUGUUUAAUCAACAAAUAUAAUCCAAUAAAUCUAAUAUUUUACUAAGCUAAUUUUGUUGUUAUAUAUAAUUCUUUUAUGAAAGUAAUGAGCCCCCCAUUCUUAUAAAGAGAUAGUAUUUGUUAAUUACAAUUAAAUUAUUAUGCAACUUUUUUGUUUUUUAUAUGUUGUUUUUUCAGCAUAACAACAGUGUGAAUCACUGUUGAGCUAAAAUCACUUUGGCAAUUUAUUAUAUUGUUAAAAGAUACAUUAUACGAGAUAUAUAUUAAAAUGAAAUCUUUCUUUUUUUCAAAUUUUUUUAAAAUUUAUAUUAUAUUUUGAUAGAAUUCAAAAUUGGAUUAGAAUCAGAAAGAUAUCAUUUUAAUUUAUUCUUAUAUUAAUGUUCCAGAAAUAUGAAAAAAUUAAAAAUAGACAUAAAAAAACCUAAUCCUAUUCAUAGUAUGACACUUUUUUUUCGUUAUUCCUACUUCGAUUAACCAUCAUGAUAAGGAGAUACAAAAACCAAUAUUCGAGAUACUAGUUGAGUUAUAAAGUCAAGAGUUAUUAUGUAGAAGUUAGGAAGUCUAUGUUCGAAGUAAAGAUUUGCAAGAUGAAGUUCUUCGAUAAAUUUACAAGUUGUCAAGUUCUUGACCGUAUUGCUCUUAAUUUUCAAGCUUGUAUUUUCUAGAACUUUCUUUGUUUCAGUCCUUUAGCAGCAUAAGACUACGAUGAAGACAAUAGCUGACCCCAAAAGUAUAUAGGUAGAAAAAUGGUAAGAUUUCAUUAAUGGCAUCAUCAUCAUGACUAUUUGUAUUGAUAUUUUACAUUUACAUCUAUUUUCCCAAUGGCUCCAAGUGCCUCCAAGUGCAUAUUAAACUUUCUACUCUCUAUAACAUAUAAUGAGAUUAGUAUGUAGCUAAGCUAACUCAUCAGCAGCAUUCAUCCUCUCAAACAUCUUUGGCUGACUAUACCUUAAAGCAGUGGCAAAACCUUCUCCAACACCCUGGAGUUUUCAAUGUUUCCCAUUCCAUAGUGUCGCUAAACUUCGCUUUCUCGCUCAACUCAUCAAAUGAGUCGACGAGGUUUUGCAGCCUUGCUACAAAUUCAAUCAAGAGAGAAGUAAACGUAGCUAACGACAAUGCGCUUGCAUUUUCGUAUGUUUUCGAUUCUUCUUCAUGUAUUACUCCGUUUUGUUUGACUGAUACCUGUGCAGGCCAUGAUCCUAGUUUCUUGAACAUUUUUGAGGGGGGGAGUGGAGUGGACGUUAUAGAGUUUAUGUCUGAUGACGCAGAGUCAUCCCAGCUUUUCAGGAUUGGUAAGGUCCUAAGAUCAAGCACAGCUUCACUGAGUGAUCUGUAUUCACGAAACCUUAUUUCUUCAUCGUCCAAGUUGAGUAGUUCUUGGGGUUGUCCUACGUCCUCGGGACGAUUGCCAAUUUCCCAGCUCUCUGAAUUGACUAGAAGGUAGGAUUUUGCGUCUAUCUUCUUUUGCAACUCUUCUGCAGCAUCAUGUACCUCAGAGAGUAUGGAUGCCGAAUCUAAUUUCUCCAUUUUCUUCAACUUGUUCCCAAGCUCGCGCAGGACUUUAGCACCUUCGUAACCUACCCUCCGAAGCUCACUACCAAAUACCUGUCGUCUUUCAGCUGAAGCCUAGACAUUCAAAUAUAUUCAUUAAAAGUAAGACUAAAACAAUAUGCAACAGUGGACAAUAUAAAUGAAUGGAAGCUCAAAAGAUUACGUAUCCAAUGAAUUGAUGCAUAUUUUAUGCAAAAUGUCAAACAAAUAUAUAUUGAUCAUGACUCGAUGCAAAUGUGAAGUUCGAGCAUGAAGAACAAAGUACCUGUAUUUCUGAUAGUAUACAUCCAUGUAAUGCCAUUAUAGCAAAGGCACAAUGCCUCAGUGCACCGGCUACUUUAACAUAAUUUUUCCAUGGAUAUUUAAGCAUCCUGUAUCGACCGUGUGGCGGUUCCCAGAUUGCGAAUCCCAUCUUCAGACAAGAAAAAGAGAAGAUUACAGAGAAUAAAAAAGAUGGAACGCAUUUUUUAGUAAUUUGUAAUUGUAUUUCUUUUCUUGAAGGGGAAUAAGGAAAGUCAGCAUAAUGCUGUAAAACUCACCAGAGUUUCCUCUUGACUCAAAGAUUCCAUUGCUGACCUAUAGCCUUUGUACAAUGGAUCAUCAGAUGCUUGGUAGGUGAGGAUUUUCGAUGGUAUUCUCUCGUACUCGACACAAUUAAGGUAGCUGUCAACACAACCUAAUUGAAGGGAAAGUAGUUGAGCAAAAACGAUCAAAAUCACAAGUUAUUUGGUAUCACAUUUAAAUUUGACUAAUGCCAGCAUCAAAUAGAAAAAAGCUAACCGACCUUCUAAGGAUGCAGCCACGCCUCCAAAGUUUUUAACUACUAGAUUAUGUAGAUCUUCACCAGCCCAAAUGGGGUAAAUGCAUAUGUUUACAACCAAACACACUCCAGCACCAAGUGCAAUGAGUAAGAAUCGUGUCACGGCGGUAUGGAUAAAUUCUCUAGUUCUAUAUCCCGACACCAUUAUGAAACAAUAUGUCAACAAGAAGACUCGAAAUCCAUAUUCGUAAGGCUUCAUUGUGGGAUACAAUUUAGCAUAAGUAGCAAAGAAUCCUGCCAAAACAUCAUAAACCCACCAAAUCAGAGAUUCUUUAUAUAAAAUAAACUGAAGGGAUGGGUCAGAAAAGACAUUCUGUCAACUUCAAAAUCAUUAAAUCAAUGAUUAGAAAGAAAAAGAAAACAGACCCAUGAUAAAGAUACUGGUAACAACCACAACCUCUUCCCAUUGUCCUGCAAGAACUGAUAACUCUGCCAUUCCCAAUGCAAGACCUCCAGCUGAAAGUGUGCCAAUUCCACGGUUCAGUCCUUUGCUUAAAGUUGCUCCUGCACACAGAAUCAUCAUUUUGGAUCCAAUAACCAAACAGAUCAUGGUGAAAGAACACAGAAGUUCUAGAUUUAGAGUACUCAAAAGGCAGAACAACAUUAAAAUACAUAACAGAAUGACUAUUAAACAAGAAUUGACCAAAGAUGGGCCCAUAAAUAUAAUAUCCACAACACUAAUUACAACAAAAACCAAAGAUUUCAGCUACCCCACUUUGCCAAAAAGACAAUCAACGAUUAGGUUUGAGGAGCAAGUAAAAAUCUAACAGUUCAAAAGGGGCAACAAUGGGCCAUCCCGAUUUAAUAAACAUUAAAUUAGAUAAACAGUUAUGAGUAAGCUCAAGUUUCUUGGUUUCAGCGUAUGAUUUAAUACAUUAAUCAUUAUGGAGUCUAAUGAAAGUCAAGUGUAAAACGUAACCCAAGGCCAACCCAGAAGCAAAUUCAAAACAGAAUUAAGAAACAAAGAUGGAAAUUCAAGAUUACCAAUGCUAAACUCAAAGACGACAACAACAGUGAGAAUAGCCCAAACAGAGUAGCGGCUGAGCUCUUCAACUGGUUGUUUGAAGAAUAUCAACAAAGAAAUGAGCGUAAGAGCGAGACCCAUUUUAGCAGAGAAAACGAUCUUUCUAGGGUCAGAAACACCCAUCUGCCAAGCUUUGUAAAGAACAUCCUGAACGGAGUUCCAUAUAUAAGAAAAUCUAUGAGAAACGGAGGAACAACAGGAAGGAUUCUCAUGAAUGGUUUGAAUGGCGUUGAAACCCAGGUCGGGAAAUUCCUUGGCCGUCGAAAGAAGCCUCUCCCUCCUCUCGGCAAAACUGUGUUUGAAGGAACCGUAUUUGGGCACCAUGGCUUUGGUUGUGAAUCGAAUCAAAACUGUUGAACAAAGAAACACAGACCCUUUCAAUGGCGAAAACAAACAAAAACCGAUGAGAUAGAUGAGAAUUUAGAGAAUUUUUUCAAAGUGAUUCCCAGAUAAAAAGGAGAAAAAAUGAGUUGAAAUUGGCGCAAGUUUAAUAGUGGUGGACUGAACUCAGCCAAAUUAUUGUUCAACAAUUCCUCGCAUUUAUCAAAUGUAUUUGUGAAGCCUUCAUCUUUCUAUUAUUAUUAUCAUCAUCAAUACUAAUAAUAAUUACUUUUUCUUUUCCCUUUCCCUAAUUUGCUAACACCAAAUUUAAUAUAUUUACUUUUACAACCAUAAGCUAAACUUAUAAUUUAUUAUAACUAGAUACCAAAUUAUUGAUUUUAAUUAUCUUUGGAAACCUAACUAAGUGUUCAAAAAGAAAAAUAGAAAACUAAUUAGUUAAGCUUGUGAAAAAUUAAUAGAUUAAUUAAAGGUUUCAUGGUGGGUUUUAGUUGUGAGUAUGUGUUCACUGUUUAGUGUUAGGAAGUGGAAAUUGGAAUGGGCAAAAUGUGAUGAUGAGAGGAGAGAUUUUGAAUUUGAUUGGUGGGAGGAAAAGGAGGGACCCAUGUGAUUUUGAGGCAUCCCACCUGUCAUUAUCCACGUCGACAUUCAUUCCAAAUUCCCUCAACGCUUUUCUUUUUUGUGUAUCAAAUUAUUAUUUCUUUAUAUAUAAAUAAACAUUAUAUAAUUGUUCAUGAAUUUGUCCACUAAAAUAUAGUUAAGUGAUUUAGAUAGCUGCACGCUUCUCAAAGAUAUAAUGUAAUGUGUAUCAAUUCUUUUAAAUUUGAUUUUUAUAUAAUGUAAAUAAUAGAAAAUUUGUGAAAGAAUAAUAAAAUAGUUAGACAAAAAUAUUUACAUGGAUUUUUUUUAAAGAGUUUGUUUCUUUACUUUUCUAUUUUUUGAAAAACCUUUCUAGGUUAUCUAAAAAUUAACUCUAUAGCUGUUAAAAAAUUGAUAGCAAACUUGUGAAUAUUUAGAUUAAAGUAAAAUGAAUGGAGUUAAUGAUAAUUUUACAUUUUCACCCUUUUUUUUCUUUUAACUAAAAACAUGAUGAAGGGCAAUGAUGGAAGCAAUUAUGGUUAAUUUGGAACACAAGAAGAAAGUUUUUUUUUUUUUUUUUACUUUUUAUGUUUCCUUCUAAUUUAAAGGAAAUAAAAAUAGUAAAUGAAAGUGAUGAUAAUGUGGAUAAGACAAAUGAUGAUAAAUAAAAAUUUAUAUUCAAUCAACUUUACACCAUACCUUUGUGUUCCAUCAAAGUAUUCCCAAUCCCAAUCCCAAUCCCAAUCCCAAUCCCAAUCUUCUUCUUCAGCUAUGUCAAUGGCAAUAUUGUUAUUAUGACCUUAUAUAUAAUCCGACAACCCCGACUAACCAAUCGAGAAGGUUAGUAUUGAUUGGGUUAAUCUUUAUUUUUAGUUCGGUAAUGUUAAAUUUUUUAUUUUUUUAUUUUUUGUUGGAUUUAACUUAGGUUACCGCUUUUAAAAUUUGAGUCCAACUUGUAUUUCUAAUAUCUAUAAUAUAUAUAUAUAUAUGUAUGUAUAUAUAAUAAAUAUUAUAAUGCAUGUAUAUUAUUACGAUGUUUGUAAUAGAUAUGUUGGAUCUUGUUACCCAGAAUUGCUAUGAAUAAAAAAUUAUGACCCAAACAAAAAAGUCAGUAACAAAUUUAAGUAUUUUAAGUUAAUAAAAAAUUAAACUUAAACAAAAAUAAAUAAAUAAUAUGAUAAUUCAAUUGAACGAACGUGGGUUGAAGAUCAUAUUUGAGCAUUUGGGUUGUCAAUUUAACCUAUCCAAAACUUUGGGUCGAUCCAAAAAAUCCCACAAACCAGUACACGUACAGUCCUACUUUAUAUUGUAGAUAGCUCACAACACCUAGUGAUAUUGGAGGCUUUUAGAGGGUUAUCGACUUUUACAAUUUUAAAAAAUUUGUGAAAUUUGUUUUUGACAAGUUGUGAUUAAAUAAUUGAGUGAGAUGUAAUAAGUGAUAUUCGUGAUAGCAACUAAUUUUAUGUUUUUUUCUCAGUUUUUUUUUUGUUAUAUUUGAAAUUGCAAUAUCACAUAUUUAAAACUCCAUGUCUUAUAUAACUAUGGUUGCUAUCAAAUUUUGAUUGAUAGAACUAUUAAUGUAGAGUUCGUCAGUGGUCCACAAAUUGGACUUCUUCGACUUUUCUCCCCACAAAAUUAAUAUCUAUCUAUAUAGACUUGAGAACAUAGGCUUGAGAAGGCUCGAACUAGUUGGUUUAUGUUAAUGGUGGUAGAAAAAAAAUGCAUUGUUUACUUUUCUUUUAUCAAGAUUAAAAUAGUUUUUACCCCAAACAAAUGCUAUUAUGAAGUGGAAAGGAAUAGUUGGUGUUGUGGGAUUAAGAGAAAGAAGCUUUUGAGCCACUACUUCAUUUUAUGCCAUUUUGGGAGCAUGUGGGUCACGUGGCUACCAUUUGAUAGCAAUAUCAACUCCAACGUUGGGCCAUUCAAUCUCAAUUCUAAUAUCUCAAUCAUAUACCUCCAAAAUCUACGUUUCUUUUUUUCUUUCUUUCUUUCAAUUGCUACAGUUUUGGUAUUCACUAUCUUUGUUUUAAGCUCCUUUGAGUAUAUUGUUGUAACAAUCCUCUUGCUAGUUGUGAUCCUCUGAAUAUUUUGCUUAUUUAUGCUCCAGAUUUUGAAUAAUGAAUAAGUUCUUGUCUUGCCUACUUGCUACUGCUUCUGAUUUUGAGUAUUUUGAUUGAAGUUUCUCAACUUCUGUGGUGGUGGUGUCCGAAUGUUGUUUGUUGUAUUUCAAUUUCGCUGUGAGAUGGAAAGAUUAUAGUUCUGAGUAACUCUCAUAUUUAGCUUAAUAAUAUAAUCACAGUGAUUAUUCAUGGAGCAGAGCUAUUACAUCGUUCUAAUUGCUUAAUUUCAUAUUAGUAAAAGUAUUUUUCUUGCACACAUUGUCUCCCAAACGUAAAUAACAUAUUAUCAAAUUGAAUUACUAAACCUUGUGUUUUUUGAAUUUAUCUCUUUAGUUUAUCUCCCUGUUCUUAAAAUUGUUUUCGAGUAAGGUGUCAAACAUUGUUAUUUUUUAAACCGAUGGUUAAAUUGAAAUUGUAAUUUACUCAUAUAUCAGAUUCAAUAACUUUCCAUUUGAGUUUAAUUGGUUUAUAAAGUUAAGAAAAUAUAGAAUAAGUAGAGUCCACAAAACACAAUACUCUGCCCCUACUCUUUAGUAUUUUUCAAUUUUAUUGAAAAUUUUAUUAAGCAUAUUUUUAAAUUCAUUUUUAAGUUUUUAACCAAAUUAAACAUAAACCCAAAAUUAUUGACUUUAGUAUGUUUGAAGUUUAAGAGAAAUUGACAAAAAUGAAAAUUUUGGCAAAACCUUUGCACACUAGUAAAAUUGUUUGUGUAAAUCAUUUUUGGACUUAAGCGAUAUUUUGUCAUUUGUGUAAAUAUUUUGUGAUUUUUUUAAUUAUUAUUACUUAAUUUAAGUAUGCCAUUGACCCAUUUUAAAUUUCAGGCAUAUAAACUUGUGUCUUACUUGACAUAAAAUCAAGGAUCCACCACUUGAAAGAAGUGGUAUUGAUAGCCUUAAUUCGAUUAUGAAGAAAAAGUUGAAUCUCACAGUGAGCUUAGAGUUUGGCAAGAAAAAACAAAAACAAAAACUUAGAAAGUUGAAGUUAUUUGCCCUUAACUCAUGAGUCUUUCACUCCAAGCAUGUUUUGCUUUGGCACUCACAAGUAUUGGAGAGGGAAGAACAAGAAGUGUGUGGAAUGGCACACAGACAGCAUGUUUCAACUCACUUAAACAAUGAACUUUCCCUCUAUUUCUACACUGUAAAAGCUAAAGAAAGCUUUAUUGACUUUGCAACCAUGGCAUCUCUUCCACAUCUCCCCCUUCCUCAACAAGCUAUCUCAUACCUAAGUCUGCUGUUUCUCCUGCACGUUCUACCGAUCACCAUAUCACAAGGUCCAACCAUAUCAACUCCCACCAUAGCUCAAUGCACGACGAGUAUUCUUCCAUUGGCUUCUUGUGCACCUUUUGUGCAAGGUGUAACACCAACACCACCUAUGGGAUGCUGUGAUAACCUGAAACAACUCUACAACGUUGUCCCUAACUGCCUUUGCCUCUUGCUGAAUGGCACUAACUUAAGCUCUUUCCCUAUCAACACUACUAGAGCCCUCCAGCUGCCUGAUAUUUGCAGCCUUCAAGUUAACAUCUCCACUUGUUCAGGUAAAACUAUAAUCCUGUCAUCCUAAAAGAUGUUAUAUUUUUUCUACUCUCUACUUCUCUCUACAAUCUGAUCCCACGGUUUGACAUUUAUAAUUCUUUGAACGGUUCUUUGAAGCUCUCCUUGGGCCACCUAGUCCACCCAGUUCUCAUGUUCCUCCUAGAGUACACAUCAACUCCACAAUUAGCAAUGCUACGGUUCUAGGUAUACUUCAGAUAUUCAUCCAGACGAUAUAGUUUUUGGUUCAGUUCUACUUCUAAUACAGCCUUCGAAUAUGUAACAAUCUGACUCUACUUUUGUAAAUUUCAGCUUCUCCAAUGACUCAACCAACACCAAAACCUAGCAUUGUGGGUUUAGGAUUGGGCAAGAUCAGUGCUAGUUUCAAAUUAAAGGGAGGAAUUCAGCUCACAGUAGUGAUAACAAUAAGCACUUUUCUGUUUCUAGUAGUACUUUAUUGAAAUAAAUUAUCAUAUGAUGUAUGGGGUUGCUUCAGCAGCUAGCAGUGAUGUUCUUCUUUAUUAGACUUCUACUAGAUUGUUUUAGUUAAAUACGCUCUUAACAAAAUAUAGUUGUUUCUUUAGCAUUUUAACGUUUGAACCCGACCAAUUUGAUCCACUUAGCAGCUAGAUAUGCCUUAUUCCCUAAUCUCACUAAAACAGUUAGUCUAAGGACAGCAAUCUAUGUCUACAGAAGAAAGACCUAAAAGAAAAAAACAACAUGUUGAUAAGAAAACUAAGACAUAAGAUCAAAAUCUUAACUAGAUACAAUAGAAUAAAGUUGUCAUAACAUACCUAGAAAAAUAUGCCAUUACAAAUUCACAUAGUAUCCUUUGUUUUCUUUUUCACUUCUUUAACUGCUUGGGAGGAUGAUAAUGUAUCCAAGAUGUGUAAUCUGUUUUUGAUAUGUAAGCAUCAACAUCAUUCCAAACUUGGAGCCACCUCAGUUGGAUUAGAUUCAAACACAUCUGGGUUUGAUGCCUCUGGUUCUAAAAUCUCUCUAGUUUGAACUGAUUCUUUAUAUGCAGGUGUCUCCUUGAAAUCAGUUGCUCCUUCAUUAUAUGUAGUGACAGCAAUUCCACAUGCAAUAAUCUAUUAUAAUGAUGAAUGAAUUAGUGAAGCACUCAUUUACAAAAGGACUACCGAACGUAAAAUAAUUAUCCUUUUUAGAAAAAAAUUUCAAAAGGAAACACCUGGCUAAUGUUAAAUAUCAUAAUUCUGUUCUGUUUAUGAUCAAGAAACAAAUAAGAACUUUGAGAUUGAAAUUCAACAUCUACAAUUUUGGGUUAUGGGUUAAUAUAUUCUCAUUUCAAGUUAAGCAACUAGAUUGCUGGAAUUAAGUAAUUAAUCUGAAUACAACAGAAAACAGAAAACAGAAAAACUAGUGAAAUUAUACCGCGAAAACGAUUCCAAAAGCCCACAAGUACUCUAGGAAGAAGCCAAAGGCAUCCCACUGCGGACCCUCCCAGAAAUCCGGCUGAAGCCCAGGCAAUUGCGGCAAAUUCUCAUCCACGUCAAACACUACACCGGCAUUUUCAACGACGGGACUGCCCAUUUCAACCCCGGCCGUCCGAUUUCGUUCUUCUUCUUCUUCCUGUUCCUUGAUUGUCGUCGAGCUCUUCCGGUUCUUACUGUCGAAUCGGCCUGUUCGGAAGGAGGAUUUCUUGGCUUGAACGAGAUGGAGGGUGCGGGCUUCUUUUGAGGGAUGAAAAAGCGCGUUGCGACGGAAAAGGAAAUAGUUAGAAGGAGUUCUUGUGAAGGUUCUGUAGAGAAUUCCCCCACUGGUGCCGACGGUGGCACCGCCGUUGGUUAUGGUCAGAGGCAUUUGAGUGGUGGAGAGUGAGCUCUGAGCACUCCGAAAAAUGAAAAGAGGAUUUUUUUUUCUUCUUUGCUUCGGAUAAGGAAGAAGAUAUGCGAUUCACUAAAUAAUUCUUUUUAUUAUCAUUAAUAUUAUUCCUUCUUAUUCUCCUCAGUUUUAAUUUUAAUAUUUUUUAUUUAAACAAAAAUAACUUACGUUCUAAACACAAACUAGUAUAAUCGACAUAGCUCUCUUACUUUUCGUAUCUAUUAUCUCACAUACUAUAUAUUUGAAUUCACUUUAAUAUUAUAAUUAUAAAUGAUUAAACCAAAUAUAACAAUGUAAUUAGACAACUAAAUAUUGUAAUUUAGAGGGAAUGAAUCUUAUUGUAUACAUAAUAUAUUUAUGUAUUCAUAAAACAACAAAUUAUUGAUACGUCAAACUUAAAAUGAAAUUUAAGAGUAUGUUUGGUUUUGAAAGAGUUUCAAAAGUGUAUUUGACUUUGUAGAAGAGCAAGUGUGUUUCAAAAUCGAAUUGUUAUGGGAAUGUAUUAUGAUUUAAAGAAUGAAUUUCCAUCUAGAUAUAAUAAGAUUCAUGCACAUGAUACAACAUCGUAUGGUGGGUUCUUAGAUAAAAUAAUAAGAUGUCUUUUAACUUUAAUAUCACUGUCUUAGUUUGUAUACAUUUUGAUCAAGAUGAAUAGUAGACUAAUUUGAUAAAUUAUAUUCUAUUUAUUAUUCAAUAUGUAAGUAAGAAUAAGAUACAUUACUUCACCCAUAAACAUACAAAUCAAACAAGCUCACAAUUACUAUAUAUUGUAUGAUUUAUAAUCAAUAAAUAUUUCAUUUGAAUAUGUAUGAUUGGCAUUAGCUAGACAUAACUAAUUAAUUAUUUAUCAUCAAACAUUCAUUCUCUCACUAAUUUUUUUUAAUGAACGAUUGACUUAGAUAAAUGUUUAAUUUUUUUAGUUGUGUUAUUCCUACCAAAAUUAAACAAUAAUAAUCUAAAAUAUGAAUUAGACAAAUAAUUUAUUAGUAUGAGUCCGUGAUUUUUUUCUACACUACUCUUCAAAUCAUUUAGAAGAAUACACACUACACAUAAUACAAAAUGAAAAUAUUAUAAGGUUUAUAAGAUUGGUAUCAAUUUAGUGUCUAAUUUUGUACAAGAACUAAGGAAGAAAAGAUAGCCAAUUUUAUUGAGUUUGAUCACUACUUGAACUAAUCCAUAUCCACAUAUGGACUAAGCAAAACUACUCCAACUUUCCAUUUAUAUGGUGAAGUCACAUUCACACCCACAAAUUUAAGUAUCUCACUAAAUAGUUCAUGUGAUUUUUCUAAACUCUUAAGUUUGUAAGUUCAAACUAACUAUGAGUGUACGUAAAAUCGAUGAAUCAACCGACCCAUGGAAAACAAUAUGUGUAAUUAAUUGAUUGUAUGCUUUUCUUUCUGUUGUUACUCCUUGUAAUUUUGUAAUUUCUUGAACAAAUUCCACACAUUCAAUUUUCUUUUCUUUUUUUCCCCAAAGUUUUUAGUUUCUUCAUCUUACGAAUACAAAUACAAAUAAAACAAAGUGUGUUCAAUUAACUAUUAUAAACACGGCAUCCUCUCCGAUCGAUACGCCGUCGGCAAUUCCGCCGCCACAUCCGUAUGAUCAAACAAUCCACCCAACGCCACCACCUCCUCUUCCUCUUCCGUACUCCAUUCCUUAAUCUCACAUCUCAAAUUAUCAAACCAACAGUAAUUCGAAACAAUUUCAUCCUCGAACCCUAAACCCCCUUUCACACCACCGCUACCCGAAAACUCCGCUUCUUCAAUUUCCUCUUUCUCACCAGCAGCAGGCGGAAGCCCUAAUUCAUCAUCCGACGCUUCUAAAAGAAAUCCAAGUUCAGGUUGAACAACAGGUACCGUCACCGUCACCGGCACUUCAAUUUCCUUCUCGAAGCUUCUAAUCACCGAAUCAAGAUCUUGAAUCCCCGCCUCCCGAUCUAUGGAAGCGUCGGUAUCGUCUAGAAUCUUCAGCAGGUCUUCCUGAAUUGUGUGAUGCGAGUGAAACGAAUCGGUCGAGUGUGAAACCGGCGCAUCGAAGUUGGAGGCAGCCGGAUUUUCAAGUCGGAGGAACUUGGAAUUGGAUCCAAUAGAAUUGAAGAGGGAGUCGUUGGAAUCGUCCCGAAGACGCUUCCUGGAGUCAAGAGAGGGUUCCAUUAGAGAAGAAGGAAGAAAGAAGAGCGACGACGGGAGGUUUUAGAGUGUAAGACAGAGCAUGGAAUGAGAAUUGGUGACGGGGAAGUGGAGGAAGCAACAUCUGAGCCUUAAAUAGUGAAUUCGUAUGGUUCAAACGCACUUAGGCGCGUACUGAUCUUUUAUUUUUAAAUAAUAUUUAAUAAAAGAAAAAUAGCAAUAAAUAAAUAAAUCAAAUAAAAAUUGUAUAUGAUUGGUAAAUAUGAACUAUAUAAAUUAUACAUUUAUGGCUUCCAAUACCCUAUAUCCAUCUAUGUACCAUCUCCACACACAUGUUGAUUCC